ACAGCCUUAAAGAAUAUUAAAAUAACAGUGGGGAGUGUGUACUCCAAGUUUUUAAGAUAUUUGAGGAAUUCAACCAAAAGCCCCAAAACUUGCUAACUGCUUCGUGGACAAUGGAAAAAACCGGCUACAGUUCAGCUAACAGGCGGGGCUAGCUUGGUAAUUUUCGAGUAAAUGGCGGAGAUACCGCCUCAAACCGGUUUCCACGCGAAUUCGGAUGGUAUAAAUGAUUAAUUCAGUAAUCCAGACUAGUACUGGGUUAAAUUAUUAUUGGCUAAACUACUCCGGCAUGUCUGCUUAGAACUGUGCUUCUUGUGUCCGGGCUCUGUCUAAAUCCUGGAAAAGCUCAGUCCUGGACAUAAACAGCCGCUGAUUCUGAACCUGACCCACUGCAAGCUGUCUGAGCUCCAGAACCACUUAUCCUGCAGUUAUUAGAGAGCAGACACUGGAAACUGGAGGGACAAGGACAAGAAACUGGACUGGAAUGGAGUUUGGAGAGGACCGGUUCGGUGCCAGAGGGAGGAAGAAGACUUAAAAGAGGAUUAAAACGAAAUUCUGAGAGACUGUUGGACUGUCAUGGAGCCCUGGAAAAGAAGCCUUCAUGUUUGACCGAGGACAGACAGAAAGAAGACAUCCUACAGGUAAGAAAGUGCUCCCUGUUGAUGUAUUUGUACACCUGUUGUGAGGAGACAAACUGAUGUGUAUUGGGCUUCCCAUGCUUUCAGCUGACUGUGUGAGCAUACAUAUGCAGAUUGUGUUUUAGAGAUGGAUGCUUUGAAAAAGUUGUCUCUCUCUAGGUCAGGAGAUUACAUGGUACAUACAAUUGGGCUCUUUUUCAUGUUGCAGUCACUGUAUUAUGCAAGUUGGAUGGGUUAGUAUUUGACUGAAAAAGCUUUAAAAAAGUUGUUUGGCUGGUGGCAAAAUGUGGUCUAUUCCAUUGCCUUCAGAAAUGUCAUUACCCUCAUCAGACCAACACCAAUGAAGAGAGGUAAAGAGAAAUUUCUUUCUUCCUUCUUUAUUUAUUUCAAAUUUUAAGAACAACAACAACAACAACAAAAAACAAACUAGAAACAAAAAACACCAAACAAAAUAACCAAACAACUGUACACGUCAAAGAUAAAUUUACACAACAUAUGUCCAAAAUAAACAGUUUGAGAAGGAACAGAAUAAAGCAAAGAGUUUAUCAAGUCCUGCCCCUUCAUUGCAAAUUAGAGAUUAAAAAAAUCUAUUUGUAUAAAUUACAAAGAUCUUUGUUCUAAUAUUACUUCUAUGUACUCAAGUAUAUCUAAUGUAAAACCAUAUUUUUGUCAGUUUACGUAUAUGAACCUUUUAGUACUUCUCUAUAGUUUGAUUUGAAAUAUUUUUGUUAUUGGACGUUGUUAAAGUGACAUCCAGGCUUUUCCAGAGUUUAACACCACAAACAGAAAUGCACAUACUUUUCAGAGUUGUAUGGAGAACUGGACAAAUAAAUGUAUGUUCACCCCUUAGAUUAUAGCCUCAUCUUUUGUAGGUUACCAGGUAACUUACUUUGUGUUGCUAUGUACAGCAACUUGAGCUGUUUUAAAAUUGACAAUGUCAUUAAAUUUUAACAAUUUUGAUUUUAGAAACAGGGCUGGUGUGAUCUCCGUAUCCAGCGUGAUUUAUAAUCCGGAUAACUUUUAUUUUGUAGUGUGCAUAUCGUUUGUAGACUGGUCUUGUGUGUGUUUUCCCAGAUGUUAACACAGUAAGAGAGGUAUAAAUACUUUGAUUUACUGAUAAUCCUGAUACUUCUUGAAAUUUUUGAACACAGAUAUUUUAUGUAUGUUUUCCAGCAGAGCUUAUGGUCAAUCAGAACGCCUUAAAAACUUACUUUCAUAGACCCAUUCAAAUUUAUAGCUUCAAAAACACGCACACACUCACUACUCUUUACAAUUUAAUCACACAACACAUGGAUUAUAUGUUCUGUAGUCCUUCUCAGUUUCAUUGACUUGUUCUUUGAAUUCCCUUGAAUGCCAUAGCCUAGUUUUAAGAAAAAACGGAGAGAUGACAGAGAGCUUAGUGGGAAUUAAAAAGUGCAAAGGAAAGUGUUGACAAAUGGAGAGGAAAAUGACUGUCAUGGGAGAGGAAGUGUGUAGCUGUUUGUGUUUCGGCUGAGAUUGUGGAGCAGGGUGUUAUUGUCUCUCAAUGUCUAAUGCUGUUGCUAAAUUGUGAUGAAUAGCUUGCUGGAGUGUGGUGUAUGUGUGUAAGUGUGUGUGUGUGACUGUCUUUUCCUUGUUUAUUUUGUAACACAUUGUGUGUGAUUGUGUGAAACAACAGGGCUGGUGCGUGUAGCUGAAAAGUAUUUUGGAUGUAGACGAAAGAAGGAUGUGACUAGAGGAGAUAAAAUGCAAAAGAAGUGGAAAGACACAGAGGAGAGGAACAAAGAGAGAGGAGUGAGGGAGAGCUUGACUGCCAUGAUUGAUCAGAUUUUCCUAAUUGGCACGUAGACCUCAGAGCCCAUGUCCUUCGCCUAUACUGAGUGUGCUCAGUGAGUGUCAUGUUUAAUAAGCUUCCUGACUUUCUUUCUGCUGGUGUGAUUGUGCCCUCUGGCUAUAGGGUGACUGCAGAGAAGGGAGGGAGAGAAGAGAAGAGGAGCCAAAUAGAGAAAAGAGGACGAGAUCUGCACGGUUUCAAAUUUAGGCUUAGCAAAGAGAUAAUAAAGAGCCUCUGCUAGUUAUGCUGCUUUCAGAGAAAAACAAGACAAAGAGCCUGCAGCUAUGCUAGCGGCUUUGUGAGGCUGUACACAAACAGCGGAGCUAUGAGCUAACCGCUAACAUCAGCAUGCCAACAUGCUUACAAUGACAACACGAACACAUCUUACUAGAUGUUGAGCAGUUAGUCCAGAUGCUUCUCAAAAUAAUUGGACUCCUUUGGGAUAAAUUUCAGCACCGAUGCUGUGUAGCGGAGGUGUUAUUGAACCCAGGUUCAGUCAUAUGUUUCUCAUCUUCCUCUUGACACUCAUCCCCAGGUUCUCUAAGAGGUCAGGUAAGUCAGCUGGCUGAUCAGGUACAGUUAUAUCAUGAUCAAUAAACCAUUUAGUUGUAGUUUGGUGCUGUCGAUGGGAGCAUGAAGUGCUUAAAAAUCUCCUGGUUAAGAGCUGCGUCGACAUUGGACUUGAUGACAUGGCACCCUGAUAGGGCUGCACGAUAUAUCAUUUGAGCAUCGUCAUGGCGAUGUACGUGUACACGAUAGUCACAUUGCAGAGCCUGCAAUGCCGGAGGCGAAUGAACUCGUCUAAUUUCAAGGGUAGCUGACUGACAUACACUGCAUGUGACUCUGCAUGUGCUGUGCAUGUGCUAUUCAGGCCAUCUGGUGAAAAUUACUGUAUUUUUUAAUAUCACAAUAUAUAUCGCAGGGUUAAAAAACAUUGCAAUGCUAGUUUUUUUUCCAAUAUCCUGCAGCCCAACACCCUGAAUCAUUACAGACAGUGGUAACAACAUAGACUUCAGACUCCUUGAGUUUGAACCUCUCGUCUCCUCCUCCAGACUAGACGCUGAUUUGCAACAGUUGCUUAAACCGAGAAGAAAAGUUUGUCCACUUUGCAGAUAUCCAUUUCUUUUUUUUCUUAUCCUCCUCGGUUAAGAUGCUUCUGACGUCUCUUGCCUCUUGUUUGGGAGCAGCUUGAUAUUUGAAUGCAGUCACUGUAGCGCCUUUCCUGAUGAAGUCUCUGUGUAGUGGCUCUUGAUACAUUGAUCCUACGCUUGGUCCACUUCUUGGGGGGGCUCUCUCAAGUUCCUGAAACUCAAGGCUGUGAACAUCCCCGUUGCUUGUGCAAUUUUCUCUAUCACACUUUCUUUCCAUUGAUAUGAAUUCAGUGCAGCACUGAACAGCCAGCCUUUUCAGCAAUGGCCUCCUGUGCUUGAGGAGGGUGUAAAUGAUUGUUUUCUGGACAACUGCUAAGUUAGUCGUGUCCUUCUUAAUUGUGGAUCGACCUAGAGUUAUACAUUAUUAUUCUGCUGGAGUAGUGACUUAUGCGAUCAAAAUUAAAAAAUAUAAUUUUUUUUUUUAGAUAAGAUUAACAUUUUUUGGAUACUUUUUUGGCUGCAGGACAUAAUAAUAAAAACUUAAUUAAAAAAAUGUUUUUCUUAAAAAUUUUAGAUACUUUUUAGAUGUGGGAUGUAAUAAUCAAGACUUAAUUAAAAAGUAUUAUUUCUUUAUAUAAAUUUUAAAUUUGUAGAUACUUUUUUUGGCUGCAGGACGUAAUAUCAAAACCUAAUUAAAAUUUUUUUUUCAUACAAGUUUUAAAUUUUUAGAUACUUUUUUAAAGCUGUAGGAUGUUAUAAUCAAAAAUUAAUUAAAAAAUAUAAUUUUUCUAUAUUAGUUAAAAAUUUUUGGAUACUUUUUUUAAAGCUGUAGGACGUAAAAAUCAAAACUUGAUUAAAAAAUAUAAUUUUUUAAUCUAAGUUUUACAUUUUUAGCUACUUUUUUAGCUGUAGGAUGUAAAAAUCAAAACUCAAUUAAAAAAAUAUUGUUUUUACUUUUUUUUUUUUUUUAGCUGUAGAACAUAAUAAUAAUUAAAACUUUUCAAAAACACAUUUUACUUUUUAUGCCACAAAUCUAUUGAUACAUUAAAUUGUCACAUUCUUGUAUGACUGAUGAAAAAUAUGAACAUUUUUCACAAUAGUAAAUAGUUUCAGAGAUGCCUGUAUGUUCAUAGUGUUCAUCUUUGUAUUUCUAUUAGUAAGCGUGCUGAGAAUUGUCCAUUUGUACGACUCUUGAAGUGCAUUAGAGUUGAUGCACUUAAAGGGCAUCAACAAACUUGAACCAUGGCUGAAGCCCAUCAUUGGUUUCCCCCAAAAUCAACACCAGCUAAGAGCCGGGAGCCAAAAGGUUUUCAAUUUGGAGAGUAAUUCUCAGAGGGCUGUUUGCCCUCUUACCGGACACACAAACAUAAUAAUGGUUACAGCUGAACCGUAUUUUGUUGUAUUGACAGUUUUAUAGGGGUAACCAGGACAACAAUUUGCAGCCUGACUCUCAGAAAUUCUAAAAGACGUAAAGGUUUUUUAAAAUGAUGUCGAUGACGUCUUAAAAAGGUCUUCAGCUGUGUCAAACUCAGCCUCAGGAUUCCUGCAUUUACCCUGUAACUACAAUAAUCAGCCUUUAUUUCUAAUCUAAGAACACUGGCAAGCAGUAAUAUUUGCAUUCAUCCACUUCUCAGCUCAGAUAAAAGCAUUAGCUUUAAGGUAGAGCAAUAACAAAGCCGUUGUCUGACAGCAGAUAAUUGGUAUUGAAACAAAUUCUUGAAAUUUGCUCCAAUGUUACUGUUUUGUACUGCCAGUGUCUAAUUAAUCUAUCAAACUGACAGCCUUGCAUAUUGCUCGAGCUUUUCUUAUUAUUAGAGCAUUUUCCUCUCCUCCAAAGUAUGACUCAGAGAUGAACGGCUACCAUGUGAAGAAGACGUAAAAAAAAAGCCCUGUGUAUCAUUCAGAACUAUAUGGAUGCCUAAAAAAUGUACAGUGGUUCAUCUAACUCAGUAGCUGUGUUUACAUGGGCACAAAUAAUCGGAAUAAAGGCCCGAUCGGAAUAAAAUACGUCAUGUGAACAUGUCGAUUGGAAGAUUCUGAUCCAAUUCGGCUCAAUCGGAAAGAAACUGUAUACAGAUCGAGAGGGUUUGUUUAUGUCAAUCGUUAUUCCAAAAUGCACAAUGCAACCUUUGACAGAAUAGUAAAAUAUGUACGCAAGGGCGCCAUCUAGUGACAACUAUUAACAGAGGGAAAACUCCUGAAUUGGAUGGAGCGAGCUACUCCGGCGUUUGUUGGUUUGUUGACAGCACAGACGUAAAUACAACUCUUCUUCUAUGGUUGUUUUAGUGAAAUCGGACAACUCUGCGCAUGUCCAAAUGCUUCGAAUCUGAGUGAAAGUUCUUGCACACCGGGAGCAUUUUUUUCGUGCGAUUAUUUCAGAGGUCAGUAUUUUUUUUCCGAACCGGUAUCCUGUCGAUACAAGCGUUCACAUCGUAAAUUCGUAAUUUCGCAACGUAUAUUUCCGUCGUUCUCGGUGUGUAAGGACCUUAAAGCUUGGCGCAUGUGUACGCAUGUAUACGAUCGGAUUAUUUAUUUUCGCGCCCAUAUAAACAGUGGAUUCAGAUUAUCCGAUCCCUCAAAUUUUUUAUCGGAUCGAGAAAUUUUGCAGAUGUAAACAUGGCUAGUGUUAGCCUCAAAAGUCAAGGGUGGACACCAGAGAGUCAAAACGUCAUCAGCUUCCACCUGAAGAAAAACAUGAACGUUUGAUAGAAACUUUGUACACAUACAUAUAUAUAUACUUUAAAAAAUCCCUAUAUAUAAAAUGCACUUACAUAGGAAAGAGGUGAGUGUGCAUUUAUGUGAAAACUACCUCCAUCUGAUACUUCUCAUAUUCACACAAAUGUAAAAAUUGCAUGAGUGCACUCAAACAUGGACACACACUGCUUUAUUGAGCUGCAGGCCGAAACACCACACACACACACACACACACACACACACACACACACACACACACACACACACACACACACACACACACACGCACCUGUGAGUGUUUACAUGUUUAUGGAUGAUGAGGAGGACUGUGUCUCAGAAGUACUCAGAAGUGGAUGGGAGAAAUGUGCUGCAGAGAUUUCCAUUUAAAUGGUUAUGUGAUUGUGUCUCACUGUAUUUGAUCAAGGUUCAUUUUAUAACAUCCUUUCCUAAAGGCUUUUAUGUAAUGGGAGAGUGCAGCUACACCGUCCUUUCUGACAGAAGCGAAAUCACAUUAUUUGCAGUGAUUUCAUGAACAACAACAAAUCAAUCUUACAAACCCUAAAAGAAGUGUUUCAGCCUCACAAAGAAAUCCAUAUCCAUCAGCCUGAAAGUUGCUCUUGUUGUGCGUCAAACAACGACAACAUCGAGCUCAUGACAGCUUUGCCUUUUCUUACACUGUAAAGCUUUUGUUUAUUACCCAGCUUCAAAGCAAUGUAUUUCCACUAUUCAACUUAUAAGCCAAAGCCACAUGUGCAAACUGAGCAUGCACACGAGUCCUCAGCCAGUUUCAGUCCAAUUGAUUGUUUAUCCAGGAGAAAAUCAGUCCUCAACUAACGGUAUUAUCUAGGUAUGUUAGUCUGAUUUUGGCUGAUCUCAUGUUUUCACACAGUUUCAGUCAGAACAUUUUCAAGGUACUGACUCAUUUUCAAUGUACUGAUAGCGUUCUUUGGUAUGAUGAUCCUUGAGAUGCUUGGUUUAACUUUGGUUUUAGACAUUUUCAUGUUUGAUUUUCUUCCUGCAGAAUCAGAUUUGUUCGGUCGGUGCUUUUGUGCCUCUUUAUGAACGUCAAAUCUUCUCGUUUUAGCUUGUUGUAAGUCACCACACAGUACAAAAGGAAGUGUCUGUGUUGUGCACCGGCUUGUAGCUUACUUUAUCUUUUUAAUGGUCCCCGUUUGGGAGGUAGGCAGAAGUGGAUUUAUUAGAGCAUUUUUACUGGAAACACAGAGAGUGAACCUCAGAGUGAACUCUGGGUGAAAGAUGCACACAGAUCUGAAAGAAACUGCAAAGCCGGGUAAUAAUUCGCUGUUCAGUUGAUAAACUCUGGUGACACCUUUUACACUCACUUAGUUAUUCAACCUGUUUUUGACCGGAAAACAUUGAUUCAUGCAGCGUUUAGAGUUUAAACCAGGACUGAGGAACUUAAAGUCGUCCUUAAAAGGAUGUUUUAUUACUCUGAUCAAUAAAUGGUUCAGUCCAGCUGCUCUCCCGCCUCCUGAAUGAUUCACAGCAAACUUAUUUGGCUUAAAUGAGUCCAACCUGCUGUUCUGAGAGUUUGUUCAGUGCUGUAAUAGUUAGAGUGGGGUGCUGGUUGCACUACAGGGUUACGGCCUCAUUUCCCACUGGGAGCAGCCAGUCUAAAUGGAUGCACUCAAGAUGCUCUGGAUAAAAGCACCAAAUAAAUGGCAGAUGUGGUAUUAAGCUAUACAGCAUCAGUACAGGCUGUACAGACUGCCCCACUCAUCUCCUCUUAUCUUGUUUCUUUUCAGUCCUGAGUACAUUUUAACAACCUGGACAAAGCAGUAUUUGAUGUUAUGUAGUUAGGAGGUAAGAACAUGUUUAGGAGGAGAGUUAUGUGAAUAUUUAUUGCAUGUACAUUGUAUUAGGGCUGCACAAUACUGGGGAAAACAUAGUGCAGUAUAAAAACAUGAAUUUCAGUGUAUUUUCUGCACUCAAAAACCAUAUUUUUUUCAUAAUGGAUCCUGGAUCAAGCAAGUCCUGUGAUGCAACAUGGGCGCAUGCAUGUUUAUAAACAUAACAUUUUAAACCCUCAGAGCACAGUUUUACACUAAUUUGAGGUGUCAUCAACAAUAAUACAAACCUCAGCUGAACCUGGUUAGAGCGCCACCUGCUGGUCAGGUGGAAAAGGUGUGGCACCGCACCUGCAGUGACCAGCAGCCCGUGUUAAAGGUGGAGUAGGCAGGAUUCUGCACUUUUUUUGUGGUGUAUGAACAAAAAAAGCUUUUUAAUAUCUUGUCAAACGGGACCUGCUGUAGCGUGCUGUAGCGCUGCUAAACUGUUGACCUCAGGUCCUGGACUAUGUCACUUUAUCCUAGUUGUAGAAGUCCUGCAAACAUUGUCCAUUUUAUCUCAUAAUGUCUUUUUUUCUUUUAAACAAAAAGAUCAAAUUAAAGGUAGACUGAGGAUUAAUGUAGUAGUCACAAGUAUCACACUGGAUGUAUUUGAGUGGAAUUGAGGGAUUUUACAUUUUGGCAUACAGUACGUGUUCAUCAUUGUCAGGGGUUGUCAGUAUGAGGCUAUUCACUGUAAACAGUUAGCUCAGUUAUAUAGAUUUUACCGACGUCGCUUUAUAAAGGUGACGAAUGAAAUCCUCAAAAAAAGAUGUCCAGAAAUAUUUCAUUUGACUUUCGGGAAAGUUCAAAGAAAAGCCCGUCCUCAGAUAGAAACCCACAGCAGGACAUGAAUUAGGAAUUCAUCCCAGAUCACAGAGAGUCCGCGGCCCAUCUGCCAGCCUGACCUCGACACGCUUACUCCAUACUGUUUGAUGCAGAGCUAUAGACCUUAUUUUCCGCCUGUUUCAUCUACUUAUGGAGUACUCCUAAAAUACGUGACAGUCCAGUUAUUGUAAGCACAGGCUGACAGUUGGAGACGUAUAUUUUUCAAGCACAGCUGGUCAGAAACAUUAACUGUAUUUAAAUGAAUGGGACUUUAACAGUUGAAGCAGCACCUAUUACUCCAAAUGUAUUCACUAUUCACCGUGUGUCAGGUCACACAGUUACACACACUUGGAUUUUGCAUUUUGAUACAGGUUCCUCUAAUGACUGUUAUCCUGGAAAAUUAACCCUUUAAUGUGUGGAGGUAUGUGCACACGCUUGUGUGUCUGUGUUUGCCUCUUAAACAUGCCGCACACUCAGUUUCAACAAGAGCAGAGUGUGUGCACAGAAGCAGCUCGUCCGUGGAAACUGCUUAUUCCAGCUGACAGAGUGUAUAAUUCCUACAGUGGAAUAAUAAUGAUGGCAUUGUAAUUCAGAUGGAUAGAGUAGAAAUUAGAUUUGGGGGCUUUUUGCAUAUUGUCAUUAUUGAGUUCUGCAUCAUUCUCUCGGUGAAAGCAAAAUGAAUUGAGAGGAGGAGUGGGUUUACAUGUCUGAGCUGCCAAAGGAACCCAUAAGUCUCACCUUGCAGAAAUUUGAGAGCGUAAAGGGAAUUUAAAGUGCAUCUUAAUUAUACCUAAAAUGAAACACUAUCACACGCACACACAAACAUGCACGUGUCGCACACACACACACACAUACUCGUAGAGCCAUCCUGACGGUAUGCAACCUGAAAGUAAAUUGCUGCAAUUACAUUAAAAGUCUUAGCAAUUACAAACAGAACAAACAGCAUUUCUUUGCAGCAUUACUCAUAAUGUUACUUCCUGCUGCGCCUUAAUUGUGGCAGAAAAAUAAUGUAUGUCUCUGACGCUUUGCUUCACAGAAGCACCCAAACAGCUAAUCAAAGAGGCGACUUUCACUUUUGGAGCCGCACUCAGAGCUGUCAAGUGUUUUUGAAUGAAUACUGAGCAUCCCGGUGUCAUCUAAGGCCUCAUCAGAGACGGAUAAGACGUUUUCUUUCUUUCAGCUGAAGCUCUGGGACAGCCUGUGGCGAGGGUUUAGCUAAAAGUGAAUUUCCCAGUGUGGAUCAAUAACGUCUUGUGUUAUGAUUAGUAUCACAUGAGGGACUCGGCUGUCUUUUUAUUUUUAUAGGAGGAAGAGGGAGGGAGACGAAGAAGAAAAUGUUCUUGUCAAUAUGUGAUCUCAGCCUUUUCAGGGACAGAAAGGAUUUUUUGUGAUUUUGGUAUGUUUACCAACCAUGACACCACUUUACAAUUCACAUAUGCUGUUAAGAUCUCAGAGUUCUGGGUGAACUUUCAUUGCUGUCCCAAGAUUUGUAGCCUCAGAUGCUUGUGUUUGUCUUUUUUAUCCAUCUUCACACGAAGGGUUUGAGAAAAAAAUCAAUCGAUGUUUGAGUUUAAAUUCUUGGAAACUGAACAGAGCCAUGUGUGUACAGUAGGAGUGGGUGAUAUGACUUAAAAUCUAUAUCAUGGAUUCUUUUAUUUUGGGCUUUUUGCAGCAAUGGUAUCAGAUUACAGUAUUAGAAAAUGUAGAGGGAUCAUACUUGAGAAAAUAUGUUACCCUGAAGACUGAGAACCUGAUUCUAGUUAAUGUGACAAAAUGACAAACACACAAGUUCACGUCACCAUGGUUAGGUUCUGGUUUCAUUUUUAUAUCAGCCAAGGCUCACACCUUGUUACCUCUUUCUUUGUCUGCUCUUUUGACAAUCUUACAAAGUCACCCAAACAACUCAAGUCCCAUUUUUACAAGUUUCACUUUCUUGAUCAGGUGAAUGUAGGGCUGGGCGAUAAACCGUCCCAACUUCACUUUAGAGCAAGACCACGAAAAAGAAACCUGGCUACUUUUGGUAUCUGUAUAUUUUUGGUUUAUUGCCCAGCCCUACUAGUGGCUGUUGUAAAAGUCACUAGAAGUUGCUAGAUGACAUCAUCGCCUAAUUUGCAUAAUUUCUCAGUUGAACAGCUGGCGCUUUUCUGAAAAUAAGUCGCUAGUGGGGUCUGAUAAGUCGCUAAAUCUAGCAGCAAAGUCACUUGGUUGGCUACACUGCUAGCAGGCAGUGUCUGUGUGCUUCAUACCAGUUUAACUACAAAUUGUGAUCCUGUUACUGUCACACAUAUCUACAAUCAGCUUAAGUAGUAAAACUAAAUUUAAUACUGUAUUGUCCUGCUUGUCUCUGUUUUUGUUUACACCGAUGAACUAACAGGGACUGAAGACUAGAGUGUUUAUUCUUAGCGUUCACAGUUGCAGAGAUAGACUGUGAGUUGUUCUUUAAUUAGAAGUUAUCACAGAGCUGGUAAUGCAUAUUAAACAUAAUUUUCUACAGUAAAUAUAAAAAAAGGGGGAGUAUUUGAUUUGGAAGCAGAAGGUGAACAAAAAGAUCCAAAUUAUAAAUACUGUAAUCUAGUUACUGAAAAUUAGAAAUGUUUCUAAGCACUUAACCUCUCUCUGGUAUAAAGUCCUGUAUGUUUUUCAUGUUGCAGAAUAUGUACAAAAAAAAAAAUCACAGUAUAUAUAUAUCCAAUCUUAACUUGCAAACUGAAAAUACUGAAUUGUGUACCUGAGAUGUCCUCUGGGACUUGCCGCUGAGUGUGAUGCAUUGUGUGUUCCUGCUCAGUGUUAACCAUUAUAUGGUGGUCUAAGUUAUGCUGCUGCGGUUCCUUCAUGGGCUGCCUCACCCACAGAAAACGCUGUAAUGAAAAGUUUUGUGCUCCGGUCCUCUCAUUGUACACCUGAAGGGUUGUUUUAUCAGAACAGGACAGCAUGAACAGUGUGAGGUGAGGGUAGAAGCUUUUAUUACUUUUCUUUUUCACAGCCGGUGAGAUCAUGCUACACUCUUUCUUUUCGGUGUUGUUACAUGCUGUUCCUUUUUUGAGAAAUGUUUCGGGGCAAGUGUAGUACACAAAAACACGGUUAUCUCUGAAAUUUGAACAAGGAAACAAACACCGUACAAAGUGAGGAGUAAAAGACGACACUAAAAACAAGUUAUAAUUUUACUAAUAUUUAUGCCUCCCCUUUAAAAGAACAUAUAAUAAACUCUGAGUUGUGUACCUUUAUCCCAGCUCUAUAUAGCUCCUUGUUGUUGCUCCUGUUUCGUUGGGCUGCUGGUGCAUAUAGGAGCAGAAAAUAGAAUUAAUGAGCCUCCAGGUGAAUCAAUGGAUUUGGUUGUUCUGCUCCCUCUUUUCCUUACUCUUUCAUUCGCCACAGUACUGACAGUCUAAUCAGUUCUUCAUCUAAUGAUUCAAUCAACCUUUGAAAAAAGUAUUUAUCCAGCCCAAAUGGCUUUCUUGGUAAGCCUUUUUGGGGUCCUGAUAGUAAUGAAAUAAAGCUCUCUCUGUCCUGCUUAGCAGGGAGUUGUGCCAAAAUGACUUUGAGCGAGGCUACAUCGGAGGAGAGAGGAAUGAAUAAUGCCAGCCAAUAAUGAAAUCCCCACAAAACCAUUUUGUAUCCCGAGUGUGGUUACGUGGUCCAACAUCCAGGCAUUGACAGGGUUUCCUUAAUUUAGGCAAUUUGUAAAGCUAAAACAAUUCAAUAGGGACCUCAAGGGCAACUCAUUCUGUAGGGAUAAAAGGUUGAUUAUAAUCGGCUCCUGCACAUUUAUCUUCAAAUUUGACAGAGUUACAGUUUAAUCAAAUGUGUAAUCACACUCCAACAUGUUUGCCAGGGGGAUGAACACGCUCUGCUCCCACAUUGGCUUUUGUUAAAGAAGAAGCACACAGCAGAAACUCGUAACGGCGUUUUAAAACGUCUGAAUGCGGCUGAUAUUGUGGAUGUGGAUGAUGGUGAUCUAACAAUGCUUCUCAGAAAUAUCAGGAAGCACUGCUGGAUUCAGAGGCUUCAGAUACACUCAGGCUUAUUGGCCUUUCAUCUCCCGUGUCCCUCUUCCUUUACCUUUGAUCUCACAUCUCUAACUGUCCGAUCGAGCCCUGCCGCUCCACUUACGACUCUAGACAAAGAAGUUGUUCGGCUUUUAGUUGAAAAUUGCAGAAACAUGCACAAACGUGUACUGUUCACACACACACUCGGUCUAUAUCUCAUGUAGAACAUCUGCUUGACAUCAAAUGUGGCAUCAAAGGCUGCUUGUUACUUGGAUUGCAUGAGCUUUGAUAUGGUACCGCAUUACUUCAGCGAAUGACAGAUCCUCCUGCCUGAAAGUCUGUGAACCUCAGUCCUUCAUAUCCCGACAAUACGAGCGUUGUUUUGGCUCUCUGGAUAAUCAAAUGAAGACAAACGAUACGCCAAAAACUCCCGCUAACAUCAUCUCUCACGAGAACUCCCCAAAGUUAAAGCUGCUGCAUCGGUGCUUAAUAUUACAAGCUAUUACGGUUGUUCCUGAUUUGGACCCAUCAGUACUAUCACAUGAUGAGGGACAGACGUUUUGUUCAUCUCACAGCUUGAAGGUGUUUGCAUGAGAUAAAAAGGAGAUGGUUUCCUGUUUCCUUCAGGGAAUCUCACAUCUUGGCCUUAAAUGUCACACGCAUCAAAAAUCUCUUUUCACUACUAGUCAUCAUCAUCAUAGUCGAAAUUAGCCUGGCAGUCCCGUAGUUAAUAUGAAAUUAGCAACAGCUGCCUCUUUCUUUUUACCAACUGACAACACAAGCCCAUCCAAACUUAACGAGUAUUUCAUGAUCCAUGUGUGUGCAUCCGUGUUUUUCCUCCAGUUAAAGCUAUUUCUUUUUUUUUUAAUGUCUUAGAAAAGCGAACUGCUCAAGUGCUUUAAAAAAAAAAAAACGUGUUCUCCUCUGAUGAAGGAAAGUGUUUCUCCCUAUGCUCUAGUCUUCAAAUAAUGAUCAAAAGAAAACCAGUGAGGAGUCUCAAUUUUCCCCCAGGCUGAAUCCAUUUAAAUGCAUGCUUGACUUGACUUGAAGCCGUUCUGAUAUUUUAGGAUAUUUCCUUGAUUGAAAUUUGUUUUAAUGUCCUUAAUUUUGGUAAGUGUGCUAUAACUUUAAUGGGACAAACUUGAGAGCCACUAAUUCACACACCCCUGAUCCCUACCGUAUAUAUUUCCAUAUACAUACACCAGAGUCAUGCACAUUAAUUUAUGUGAUGCAAUCUAUAUGAAAGCCAGUUGACUGGUACUUGAGGUUUAAGGGCUCUCAAUAAAGUUUUAUUGAAAUCGUACCAAGUUCAGUUUUAGCCACGACAACACUUCUGAUGGAGUCUGAAAGCCCAAAACAUCUUAAGUGUGAGUCGAGCCUCUACUGUGCUCAGACACUUAAAGUGGUGAUUCAUUUGAGUUUCUCUCCUAAUGCAGAACAGAAAACAUACUAAUCAGAAUAAAAGUCUGUCUGAACAGUUACAUAACACCAAACAAAACGUCAAGACAAUUUUCAAAAGCUGAUUUAACAAAUUUGUUUGGAUCUCAAAUCAGUUCAACAAACUUUAAAUACAAAAAAGUGCAAAGAAAACAAACCAAAUGUUAAAACUGUAAAAUGUUUUUACUUUAUGAAAAUAUGCUUAUUUUGAAUGGGCAGCCAGCAGUACAUUAGAAAACUAAAAAGUUGCGAAAUGCUUAAAAAAAGUCCUCUGGAAGAACCUUCAACAACCAAGACUCUGAAGUAGGACUUGGCGAUAAACCGAAAAUUUACCAGUACCGAAAUUUGGGACAAUAACUGACAUAAUUUUGCCCAUAUUGGUGUAUUUGGUGUCAAAAAAAAUAAAUAAAUCAAAAGUUGGUUUUGGAUGUAUGUAGGUAAGCUAUGAUGUCUCAUGUCCCUUUAAGACGGUGUCCUACAUCAGAGACGUGACUCCACCCCAUCCAGUCUGUAACAAAGAGGGAAAGACAGGUGAGGAGAUGGAGGACGGUUCAAAAGUUGGAGCAGCUGGUUAUAAUGUGAAAUGUUUGUUCAGAUAGAUUAAAAAUAAAUAGAUAUCAGAUAAGCUUUGGCGGUUGUUGUUACCCAAGGAUACAGCAGGCUCACCAUUUACCUACUUUAUCUUGAGCUUACCAGCUGCUGGUGUUCACUCAAUAUUUGCCCAAUAGACAACCAUCAAAUUCUUGGUGAAAAGAGAAAAUUUGGUGCAAAACUAUAGGGAGAGACUGUUGACUCACUCUCUAAGAUGUAGAUUCAGUUCAUUUGACUCUUUCUAACAGUUUCCCACUUGAUUUUCUUUUCAAUUUCCUGAUUGUGGUGUUUGUAACAUAAUCUAAUUAAUCCAUGAUUGGCUUGUUUUUGCCUUUUCUCACAGUAUUUGUUCAUAUUGAUUUGUGCUCCGACUCUCGUCUUGAGAAAAUUAAUCACAAAAUAGAAACAGCCACUGAGUGAACAGGAUGGAAAACUGUCAUAUUGUGGAUAUCACAGACGCAGAUGUACGCACACAGGGUCGACAGACACGCAGAGUUGGUUCGUGUGAGCACAUCAAACACCAGUGCCCUCUGGGAUUUUACAGAGGAGAGCGUGGUGUGGAGUUAUGCAUGGUAAUUACAUGGCAGCUCAGUAUGCCCCUUAUAAUGCAGCCCUCCAUUAGCUGUCACAUUCAGGCUGUCGGUGCGCGUGUGUGUGUAAAGACUGAUAACAUGACAUUUGUCAAUCUUCACUUCAUAUAACUUUGAUUUAGUCGUCUUUAAAACUGAUCGAUUAGAGCUCUCUGUUCCUUUUGUUCUAUGAUUGAGAAAGUAAUCUAUCUGUAUUGAUAUAUCAUUGUUUUAUAAGUCAGCAUGUUGUAAUAUGCAAAGAUGAAACCGCCAUCUGAAAAGUCUGACAUUUUGGGAUAAACGCUUGUUAAUUUUCCCAUCCACACAAACUGUGCUAUCUUAACUCUGAAUUUAUCUUUUUCAUUCCGACCAGCUGGCCCCGACUCCUCCUAUUUCUAAAGCCUGUCUGUGUCCUUUUGUAAUUGUGCCUCAUAGUGUUUCAUAGGGUACCUGUAAAUGAAACAACCCGGCAGUAUUUUUACAUCAGAGGAGUUUUAUAUUUACAACAAGGAGCAGUGGUUCUGUAAUAAAACCUGUAUUUGUAUUCCACUAGAUGGGAAAUCAGACUGAUAGAAAACAUACAGAGGGUGUUACAUUGGAAGCAAAUAUGUCAGUUUUUUUGGCUCAAGCAGCAUAACAUACUUUCUUAUAGGGCUGGGCGAUAAACCGAAAAUUUACAGACACCGAAAUUUACAAGUACUCUACAAUUUGAGUACAAAUCAGUUUCUUCAGGGUGUAGUCACAUUGUCUGCAUAUAUGUUUGUAUGGUGGACACACAGCUGUCUAUAAAGUCUAUACUAACAAUGACAAAACCCUUUGAUAACCUGGUGAUCGUAUAGGGCUGGGUGGUCAACCGAGAAUGUACCUAUACAGAAAUUUAUGACAAUAACCGACGUCAUUUUGCUAAUGUCAUUAUUAUCGUUGUCAAAAAAAUGAAUCAAUUAAAGUUGUUUUUGGAUAUGUGUAGGUAGGCUAUGGUCUCAUGUCCCUUUGAGAGACUGUCCUAUGUCAGAGACGUGACUCCGCCCCAUCCAGUCCGUAACAAAGAGGGAAAGACAGGUGAGGAGAUGGAGGACGGAGAGAAAGUUGUAGUGGCUGGAGCGGCGGAGCAGCUUGUGGAGUAGUUAUCGUCCAUUUGUCGUUAUUGAGGUGAACUGAUCAAUAUAUCGUGAUGUUGAUUUGAGGCCAUAUCGCCCAGCCCUAUUGCCUUGCCAUAUACAUGUCUGACCAUCACCCACGAAAAGAAAAACUCUUGGUUUGUACCAUUUGAGCGAUGGAAACUGAACAAAGAGGGGGAAAGUCAGAAUUAUCCUUCUCUCUUAAUGUUUUUACACCAGCCUGCUAAUAGCCCUUAACUUUGUAGAAACUUUUAUAGUUUAAAAUGAACACAUUAUGAACCUCUUUUUGUCUGAAUGAAGCUCGUUAAAUAGCGAAAUGGUUCAAUUGAUUUUUUUGUACCGGCUCAUUAUCAUUUCAGACGGUUCCAAACAAUGACUUGUGUUUGUCUAUUUGAUAUAUUUUAUUUCUAAAAUAUCCAGUAUUUCUAUUCGCCCUUUUUCAACUCUUCACAAACAAACUGUAACAAUCUGAUGAGGUAGAACCAAAUAUUCACUGACACAGAGCAGACUCUUCCUCUCCCUGGAGGUGGGGUUUUUCUGCCUGCAACAUCAAGCACGGGAGCAGCACCCAAAACAGACAGACAAAAGCGAAAAUGAUGAAUGCAUCACAGAAAUGGAGGUGUAAUUUCCCCCCUGUAUGCACUUUGUUUGCCUAAUUAAUGUGCUUUGGUCCAGGCGCUUUGCCCAAAUGCAGUUAGAGGAGAGGAGAGAGAGAGAGCGCCGAGGCUGGGGCGCUGAUGUUCUUGUUUUUGAACACCGGAGCACAUGUGUCCGUAUGUGACUGUGUUUGUACUUUGUCGACUCCGCCGGGUCUUUCUUUCGCGUCCAACAAUUCACUGACAAUCAAAUGCACGGCUCCAUUGAUAAAUCGUUGCGCAGACUAGGCCUCAGCAUUUUAGUGCUUUUGUUAGAAAAAAAAAACCAAAAAGAAAAGAAGAAGAAAGCGAGCUCUGCUUGGUGACUGCACCUUCUGGAUUUCUGCUGUUUGAUUCUUUGUGAGACUGUGCUGAUUGUUGUUAAAGGCCAGGCAAAAUUAAAUUAAAUCCUAAAUUAGAGUCUUCUGAUAUCUUUCACUUCAUUAGGAAAAUGAAGAUUGUUUUUACACUAUUUCUUUUUCAAUUGUAUUGUCCUGAAAUAGAAAAAUGAUGACUAAUUAUCGUUUUUAGUGGACCGUCAUCGGGAGAUAACAUUCAGUGUGUGCACCAAAAAGAUUUGCAAUUGGUCACAAGCAAAACAUGCUGGAAAUUGACUCACCGAGUAUUAACAAUUUUUUAUUCUACAUUUCACAAAUAUCAACUAUUAAAUAGGGCUGAACAAUAUUGGCCAAAAAUAAAAUCCAGAUUUUUUUCAUCUGAAAACUCGAUUUUUGAGUGACAACUUCACCAAACUUCACUUUAAUUACAAGUUUUUCUAUCAUCUUUCAAAAUGAAACCACUGAAAACCAUGCAGUGAACAUGCCAAACCAGUAAGUGGUGCUGUAACACUGCAGAGGAAAUGCACAAAAGACAGAAGAAGAGUAGAGGUCACGUGUAUAAAGGUCGUUUUGUACCAAUACACGCAGGCCAGUGCUGCAAGCCCAGAGCAGUGAGCCAGGCAGAAAGAGUCGCACGCAAAUGAUCCACACAUUUUAUCUUGUUUAAUGCACACUUUUAUUAAGACAUGACGGUAAAAACGUAAUAAAAAAAAAAAAGAAGCUUCCCCCCCCCCCUUUUUUUUUAAUAUAUAGAAUAAACGAAUAUUUUUUACUGAACGGAUAGUAAGGACAGCCACGUUUACACGAAUAUCCGAAUAACUGCGCACAUCCCUAAUAGAGAGGAAAAUCGAUUUGUAACAUCGUCAUAAUCAAAUAAUCUGAUUAUGAUUUAAAAUCGAUUAAUCGUGCAGCCCUUCUGUCAAGUAUUAUCUCAUAUUCCUGUUUUUUUACUACAAUAGUUUGGUUUGAUUCAUUUCCAUAGAUUCCAUUUCACAACAUGUUAUUGGAAGAGAUAUUUUGACAGGAACAGGUUGGGAAAGAUCCAUUUUGAUGCUUUCUGUGGCAGACUUUUACUCAGCCGUCAUGCUUACUUGUCAUAACAGCAAUCAAAAUGGUUCUGUUCCACUUAGGUGAGUCAUAGCCAUCACUGUGUGGCAGCAUGGUUAACCCAGGGUCAUCUACGUUUUCAGGACAAAGUAAAGAAAUAUUCCAUCUAAAAAGUUAAUGGUUUAGUGAUGUGAUGUAGUAUCCUUUAGUAUUCACUGUGUGCCGUUUUCAUUGGCUUCCUGCUUUAACCUUAUGGGUGAGUAUUUCUUUAAAACCAUCUAUGAGGAAGGUUUUUGGAUAUCCUUUGUAAGCACUCGCCGUACCACAGGUUAAUGAAAGUUCUAGUUUUAUGUGUUUUUAAUGUGUGACACCAACAGUUGUCCAGCUGAAGUGUGGGUCAAUCUAAAGAUGGCUUUAAGAUGAUAAUGAGCAGUACAGUGACUACAGCAUAAUUCUUAACCAUCAAAACUAAUUGUAUUUCCUUUAACAAACCCUGGGGCUAAAUCUAUUUAGCUCUCCUCUCCUCUCUUUGCUUUCUCUUCCCCCUCCUGCCCUCUCCCUGUGAAUUGCGCUGGGCCUAUUGAUUUUCCCGCGGGGGAUGAUUAGCCCUAACCUGUGUCAGCGUGCCAAGUUCGGGCAAUGAUAAUGCCUUCACUCAAUGCACAAUAACAACUCAGGUGCCCCAGGAGCAAGAACUAGCCGCUCUGCGCGUGCUAGCAUGCUAAUUUGUAAAGACUUGUGAUAAAUGCGUGCUGUCAUUCCCGCUGAACAAAGUCAGCCUCUGCGGCAAGGCCGAUGCGAUAAGCUACAUCAAACAAAUUGCUGAGAGUGGGAUUGUUUACGCAGUACUUAUAUGUAUUCUAUCUAACGUACAGUAUGUACACAACUGUAUCCGUCAAAGCGGCUGCAAACAAUGCAACACAAACAGCACCUUGCAGCCCAUUUACAACUCACACACCUCUGACACCUCAUUAGUCUUCAUGGAGCCACUCGAGAAUCCUUUUCAGGCAGAACCCCAACGCCUAUGAGCCGAAGACUGAACUUGAAUGCAAACUGUCUCGAAACCUCCACCUUAUCCUCUUCUUCAUUUGUUAGGUUUUCCAUCUUUGAGGAGAUUAUUAAUCCCUUACAGUGAAAGUAAAUAAACUUUAAAUCAAAAACUUUUAACUGCAUAUCUGUCUUUCCAGAAGCAGUUUCCCCUCUGCAUAACCCACAACCCUCCGUAGAUAUAUGAAAAAGUACCAAUGCAGUUCACUCACAGUGCAGUUCCCAUUUCCUGCCCCUGAGGGAAGUAUUUUAUAAUGUUUCCAGACAACAAAGCACAUACCUUACAGUAAACCAGGGGCAGAAAGUACAAAAUGUAAGUACAGUUAUUCAACUUGUGAGCUACUUUGUUUCUAUGUCAUUUCUUUUCACUUAAAAACUCCAAAUAUCUAAAUUACUACUAUUUACCCAAGGCUCUAUCGAACAUGAGCACUGACUCAUUUUUACCACCCGCUGGUUUUUGAAGUGGUGAUUGUAGAUGGAGCAAAAGUUAGUCUGAGUCACAAACAGGCAAAAAAGGUGCAACGAAGGUCGUGAGCCUCCUGGCAAACGGCUACUAUGCACCCACCUGUCUGUGACCUCAGCUGUGUCCGUGCAAUUAUGCAGAUUUACUCUUAGCCCUGAUAUAAUCAAAAUGGAUGGGUUGCUAAAAAAUUCACCCCUCGUGCAGAGUGUUCAGCUCAAUAAUGAACCACAAAACCCCAAACUUUUUGGAUGCAAAUUUGAAUUUUUUAGUAAAAAAAAACUUCUUAACAUGAAGAGGUUUCCUGCGCUUUUGCAGCCAGCCUCAGGGAACACGUAUCAUUUGAAGGUCCUUUAACACCUUCACUUUGACGAAGAGAUGGUUUUUCUUGUGAUUCUUGUAGCUCUUUUGUUUUUUUUUGUUUGUAUCCACCCACGCUGCCAUACCAGGGUUGCCAGGUUUAACUAUAAUUAUCGUAUUUGUACGAUAAUUCUGCCCUCUGUGCGAUGUAAAAAAAUGGAUCAUAGGAAAUCUUAGUCUGCUAGACACAUUAUUUUUUCAGUUUUUUCGUUUGGCAUUUUUUACCACGUGAUGUUUCCAUCCAAUCGUAGUUUCAGUGACGUUUGUCAAAGAUUUACAACUACUGCCGAUUUACAAAAGACAAGCUGCCAUAUUGCCCAGCCCUACUCUGGUACGAUAACUGUUACGUAUGUGUAUGAGUACAAAGGAGCAGUAUUCUAUAUAUCUUUCUUUUUGUCGCCAAUAAUAAAAAAUUUUUUUUGAUUAGUAUCCGAUUAAACUUUGUGAUCAGUUGGUGAUGUUAAAUCCUUGUUUUAUUCAGUGUGUGGUUAACAGCAGAAUGUCAGUCAUGUCAGUCUGUAACUGUCAUUUAUAGACCCAGCACUGAGAGAGGACCAAGACCCGACAUAAACGUGUCAGAAAAUUCUCUCACAUGCUUCAGUUCAGUUUCCUUCCAGCUCUCUGCUCCUGCCACCUCCUGCUGCUCCUCCUCACACGCACAUAUAGAACGGUCUCCUUGACUACCUAUGAGUCAACGGGUGUCAGAUUAGAGGGGUAAAUAAAUGCAGAUCUUUCAGUUCGGGGCACACAGGGGUCACAGACAGACAGUGGAUUUCCAUAACACAGGAUUUCCAUACCAGGCUGCACAUUUUCAGACCUCUGCUGAGCUCAACACGUAUGAGCGACUCUGAAGUGUCACCCCCAGUGAGCUUGGCAGUACCACAUCAUCACACACAUCAACACACACAGAAAGCUAUUCCAGUGACCCCCGAUACAAAGACGAUUUAUUUCCUUCAUUUGGUCCCUCUUUGUGGCAGAGUAAUUUGAAUUAGUCUCAGUGCAGCCUGUAGCAGACACGUGGUGAACUCUGCAAGCCCCAUUAUUGAAUUUGGACAAAUGUGUUACACGCGGAGCAGAGAAGCCGCAGCGUAAUGGGCAAACGCAGGGUGUGGGUUUCCACACAAAGACAUACAGUACAAAGAGGAUCUGUUGGCAGUGCCGGCGUCAAAAUGAGACUGCAAAGGAAGAGAGGGAGGGAAGCUUUUGAGAGGAAUUUGUGAUCCUCUUGCACUUACAAAAAUGCCACAAAUACCCACGCAAACACACACACACACACACACAAACAACAGCAUGUGUGUGUAGACAGGCUUUUAUUUUGACACAGAUAAAACAAACAUCUAUGUCCCAGCCUCUUCCUCUCUCCCAUUCACCCACAUAAAACAUGUAUACAGCGUCUUGACACACACACCCCUAAUCAGAGAUCCUCUCCUGGAAUGGCUCUCACAUCUGAAAUGAGACAAAGAGGAGGAGGAGGAGAUGGAGGAGGAGGAGGAGGAAGGGAAUAAAAGCAGAUUUACAAGGCUGCUUCCAGCACCAGUCAGCAACUUCAUUCUCCAGGCCCUGCUGAUGCUCUACAGCAGUCACACACACACACGCACAGUGACACACACACACACUUACACACACAGUCUUUAUCUCUUUGUUUGUAACACAUACACUCUGAUGGUUUUAAUGAAACAGUCUGUAGCAGUCUUUGGCUCCGUGGUCGUGUCUGAACUUUUCCCUCACAGCCAGGACUUGGCGUGCGUCUACAGGAGAAUGAAGCAGAGAAAUGAAAUGCAGUGCUUUCACUUAAAGCCUUCUUUAUGCUUAGUCAUUAUUCAAAUGUGCAUGUUGAGAGUUUGAAUACACAAUGUGGGAGAAGAUUGGUUGAAACAACAGUUACAUAUCUUGAUCUUUGACAAACUACUUUGUCGACCUUUUCCACUUCACUUGCAGCACAAAACAUCAGAAAUGUGUUUUUAAUUUGCCGCAUUGCAGAUUGUCCCCGAGCUGCUGCAAACAAAUGUUAAUAAUGAACUUCUCAAACAUGUUUUUUUUUAUUAAUUCAGAGAGUCAGAUGGCAUGAGAAGCAAGAUGUUUGUCUUUACAAAAAAAACUCAAAAGCUGCUCAUUUAUCUUUCAGAUGCAAAGAGGUGAUAAACAAAAAUCACUUUUAUUUCUUUCCCCACCAUUUCAUCUCUGAGGCCGAGUGUGUGUCUCCGUCUGAUCUCUGCCGACCUCAGAGAUACAGGGAUCAGAUGGUGUGAAAUUUUUGUGUAUUUGUGUGUGUGUGUAGGAGCUUCACUUUUGUUCCCAGUGUCGGGAUUAGCGGUUCCUUUUAAAAUUUAAAGAUUGAAUCUCUUUCUUCCUAAAGGUGACAGCAGCACAUGUUUCAGGAGUCAUUCAUGUACGGAUAAUAAAUGUUUACAGUAGCGGUGAAAUCAUGCAAUAUAAUGUAUGCUAGCAUCUGGUGUCGAAUCAAAUUAUAUCACAAAUGGAAUAUUAUAAUAUAAUAGUUCAAAGGAGACAUAAAAAUGUUUUUUCUGUCUCUCUCUUUCUCUGUUUAUUUAUAUAUAUAUAUAUGAGGAAAGAAAUCUUCAUAUUUUGUUAAAUUUAGAUGCAUUUGUUGUAGGGCUGGGUGAUAAACCAAAGAUUUCUCAUUAUAACCCAAAACUAUUCUCAUUAUAACCGCAGCUUCCUCAAUUUUUGUCAAACACUAUGUUGUACCGAGAGAUAACAACUACAAACUAUUUCAAAACAAGCUCAUAGGGCUGGGCGACAAACUGAAAAUUUGCCGAUACUGAAAUUUACUGCAAUAACUGACGUCAUUUUGCCCAUAUCGGUGUAUAUACUGUGACAAAAAAAUAAAUAAAUAAAAGUUGGUUUUGGACUGUCAGUUAUUAUGAACACUGUUUCAGAGAGUAGGUGGCUUCAAGGUCUCAUGAUUUGGCUCAUUAGUUCCCACCUGUCAUUAGUUUAAAGGGGACACAUCAGUGUAACACAGCUGAGUUGGAGCUGAUGAUCGUACCCUGCUAAUGUGAGGCGGGGCAGUGAAUGACCACAAAACUGUAGCCUCAAAUUCCCAAGUGCCUGUACGGCGCCAAAGUGACUUUUUGUGACUGUUAUGGAACGUUAAGAUUGUUAUUUUGGUUAUGAUGGGUGUACAAUAAUUUUUCUCAAAAAUACAAUAAUUUUGAGUCUCUGGUAUAGGGCUGGGCGACAAACGAAAAUUUACAGAUACCGAAAUUUACAACAAUAACCGACGUCACAUUGCCCAUAUCGGUAUGUUCGGUGUCAGAAAAAUAAAAAAAACAAAGUGAAAAAAACAAACAAACACAUAGCAUGACCGUAGCUAAACAACAAAACUGCACACUCCAAAGUUCACUCAGAAUAUAUACUGUAUAUGUUGUGUCUUCCCGCACAUUUGAACAAGUGUGAUCGCAAACUUUUCCAAACUCGUUUCGACUCUCCUGUUUCUUGUUACUGUCUCUCUCUGUCUGUGUGCGCUCUGUUGUUCUUCAACUAUGGGCUUAAGUGAACGUAGUGAUGGUUGGCUCCCUGUUAGAGAGGCAGAGAGAGCACAGCACAGAGGAUUGGGAGCGAUUGCAUUUCAAACAUGGCGAAAUCUCAGCUGAUCACUGACCAAGUCUGGCCCCGGGGACACGCAGCUCAGACAGAGAGAGAAAGGGAGUUUGGACAAAAAAGGAAGAGGCUUUUGAAGGAAAAAACAAAAGUCAGUGAUAUAAAACCAGAUUAUUGUGAUUUUUCUUAGAUUUACCUUCAGAUGACUUCUGCUGGUGAUUUAUUUGUGUUAAAGAAGAUGUUAAAAAGGCUUUAAUGUAAGAAGAGACUGAGAUAUUCAAUAAUAUAACGGUUUAAAAAUGAGUGUUUCCCAUCACUUAAGUUGGUUAAGACAAAUUCAGCCUACACCAUCAAAAUAUCGAAUCUCACCAUCAGUGUCCCCCUCUCCCUCGCUCUUUUCCUCCUCCUCCUGCAUUCACCUCAUCCACUGUGCUGUCAGAACACAAGCACAAACUCAAUCUGGGUCUAAUGAUUACUUUAUUGACGAGGCGAGUGUCUAUUCACUCACGCACGCCUGCAACAACUACAGGCCAAAUCAGUCAGAGAGAGGAUGAGAGAAAACACUGGGAGAGCCACAGAUGAAGAGGGAGAGAUCUGUGUUAUAUUUACUCUCUGGACUAAAUAAUGCUGAACUUGGCAGAGUUUCAAUUUCAACAACUUUGAAGCCAAAAAUAUGGAGAAAAUAGCCGACUUGUUUACUGUUUACCAUAUGAAUCUGUUCUAAAAAUAGCAUAAAUAUAACGAGUGAUGCAAAACAACGCAAUAAUGACAUAAAUGUCUGUUUUUGUUUUUAGCCAUGCUAGCCAACUGGCCUUACACACGAUGUCUCCCUGAUCCAGUUCUGUAAAUCUGUUUGUUCUGUUCUGUGUAUCGGGGAUUUUGAACAUUGGUCUUCCACUUUGGACUCAACAGUUACUGAUCUGGGCGAUAGACUCUGCAAAAAAAUGGGGAACAAGUGUCAUAUAAAAACACAACAAAUUAGGGCUGGGCAAUAUGGCCUCAAAUCAAUAUCACGAUAUAUCGAUCAGUUCACUUCGAUAACAAUAAAUGGUCGAUAACUACUCCACACCUCCUCCCACGUUAACUUCGUCUACUUCAGCCGCUCCAACUUUUGAACUGUCCUCCAUCUCCUCACCUGUCUUUCCCUCUUUGUUACGGACCGGAUGGGGUGGAGUCACGUCUCUGACGUAGGACAGCGUCUUAAAGGGACAUGAGACCAUAGCCUACCUACAGACAUCCAAAACCAACUUUAAUUGAUUCACUUUUUGGACAACAAUAAUAUUGACAUGGGCAAAAUUAUGUCAGUUAUUGACGUUUAUUUUGGUAUCAAUAAAUUUUCGGUUUAUUUCUCAGCCCUAAGCAGUAGUUAUCUUUCCACUCAACAUACCAGUGUAUGACGAAAAUUGGGGAAGCUAUAUUUUGUAAGACAGUCAGUUAAAAUUACACUCUCAGAAUCUCACAGUACAAUAAUAUUGUAAUAACAACAUGUUCAUUAAUUGAGUAUUCAGUCCACUGAAGCUUUUGUCUCUUUGUAGAGAGCUGGUGAUCAUGUUUGAUUAAAGUACGGCUGUGAUGGGAAUUAUACUCAUAAAACUUUGGCUCCAAAAUAUUUCCCACUUCUCUGAUUCUUCAGUCGCCAACCACAGAAAAUGUCAAAUGGCUAUUUAUUCACUGAAACAUCCUGUGAUCUCUUAAACUCUCUGUCACUGUUAUGGAGAAUUGAGGCUAUAAACACGUCUUUUGAGUCGUCCGGCCUGCCUGUUUUCUUUUUUUUCCUUCUGCAUCUUCUCAAAGCUUUUUGGGUGAUUUGCUCAUGGCGUCUCAUAUUACUCAUAUUACCUGACACACAGGUCAUCGCAGUCAGGCAGCGUUUUCAUGUUCUUGUUUUCAUCAUUUUUUAUUCCUUGACAUGUGGGAAAAAAAAAUGCUUCCACAUGUCAGAUUUAAAAGCCUCUUGGGAAAAAUCAUGGCCGUCAUUUCUGCUGUACUGCAUCCAAGACGGCGAGCAGAGAGCAAAGGUUUGGAACGAUGGUCUUUGUCACAACUCCAACAUUUUAUUAUGAUAUUGAAACUACAGUGGUUUGGUUUCACCACACAUGUUGAGUGUGUAAACUGCAGAACAGAACUUUAUUGAACAGAACUAUAAAGUAGUCAUGAAGUAGCGAUUUUGCUCUAUUGAUACCUGAUCUAAUUAAAAAAAUCUUAAUUUGUUUAGAAACUAGCAUCUAACGCUGUUUUUCUGGCAUUUGGUGCAGUUACCUCUAACAACGUUAUUAUAAUCUUGCUACAACAGUUUUGGUUUUAAGCUUGCUCUGCGAAGCUGCAGUCUGAAGUAGGGCUGGGCUACAUGGCCUCAAAUCAAUAUCACAAUAUAUUGAUCAGUUCACCUUGAUAACUAUAAAUGGACGAUAACUACUCCACAAGCUGCUCACCCCCUCCCAUAUUAAAUUCGUCACUUCAGCCACUACAACUUUUGAACCGUCCUCCAUCUCCUCACCUGUCACCUGUCUGGAUGGGGUGGAAUCAUGUCUCUGAUGUAGGACAGCGUCUUAAAGGGACCAUAGCCUACCUACACACAUCCAAAAACAACUUUGAUUUAUUUAUUUUGUUGACACUGUGUAUACCGAUAUGAACAAAAUGACAUCUGCUAUUGUUGUAAACUUUGGUAUCUGCAAAUUUUGGGUUUAUUGCCCAGCCCUAUGAGCUUGUAUUGAAAUAGUUUGUGAACAGUAGUUAUCUUUUGGUACAACAUAGUGUGUGACAAAAAUGGAGGAAGCUGAGGUUAUAAUGAAAUUAGAGAGUAAAGAAACUUGCUCUCGAGUCUCUUUUUAAUUAUUUUCAUCGUUUCAUUUUUUAUUUAUAGAAUAAAAAAAGAUAAAGAAGGUCUUUUUUAUAUAUACCGAAUAUACCCAUAUGGGCAAAAUGAUGUCGGUUAUUGUCGUAAAUUUCAGUAUCUGUAAAUUUUCGGUUUAUAGCCCAGCCCUAGUCUGCAGACCCUUAAACUUCUGGCAAUACAAGCCAAACCACAAGACAUUGCAGAGCAAGGAAGUGGAAGGAGUGCAAAGCUCGAUGCUAUAUAUCUGUGGAUUUAUUACUUUGCAUUAACACAAAAUAUUGAGUACAGUUACCGGAGAUUAGCAGAUUUAAUUAAAUAAUUGUUGUGAAACCCUCUACAUAUGACUGCCCUUCGCUUUAAAAGCAUUAUAGAAGAGCACAGCAUGCUGCUUUUGUUCCUCUGCGGAGUGUAAACACCCAUAAACUGAGGUCGACCACAUUCAGGUUACAUAGAAAUCCGGCUUAUUCAUCAGUGUAGGUAAACCAGCCUUGAGAGAACAGGUUUUACAGUUGUAAUGCAUUAUUCAUGGACACACAUCAUAAAAAAGUACUGGAAAAUGUUUCAUGUAGAUGAUAGCUGUAUUUCUUGCAAAUGAUCUCCCCUCUUUUUGGAGCAUCUGCCAUUUUAAAUCACAGAAAAUGAACACUUAUAACUGUGACUGGUAAAUUCUGGUUGACUUUUAUGAAGUCCCUCAGGUAGCUUCUGUCUCAUCCUCCGGUAUCUUUUUCUGCUGCUUUUAUGCCAACAGUAGAAUAUAAAACAGGGCAGAACGUAUAGAAAGUGUGCAUCUCCUCCUGUUGUGUUACUAUGAAGCAACCUAGCAUAUCUCAGUCAAUGAUAUGAAUCCAAUAUCAGUGUUUGGACUUGUGCCAUUUCUCCCCAUCGCCUCCUCUUCAUGUUCCAUUUAACGUGAAUCCAAUUUUCACACUUGUGUACAGCUAUCUCUUGCACAUGAAUAAUGUGUCCCCUCAAAAUAUGUCACACAUAUCCUCAAGGAUUUGCUCUGGGGAGAAGAUGUCCACCAGAGGAGAGACGUGUUUGACGUGUUAGUUUAUUACCUUUAUGAUUGGUGUGAUCCGUUCUGCGGUGCGAGCAGGAAGAGCGGCGCACAUCUGUUUGUACUGGAAAUCACUCACAGACCUAAAGUAUAGCCUAUAGACAUACUUUACUGUUAUCAUGGUGAUGCAGGGUGCUCUCACAGGCAUGUACACAUGUUUGUCAUUGAUACUGUGUACACUCUGUGUUUGCCCUUCUGAUUGGGAGCGGCACAAACUGUAGGAACAUGACUAAUAUUACGAACUUAAUCCCUGCAUUAUCUUUGACUUUCAUUUUAACACAUAUUUUUCUUUUUUAACCACGAUAGCGCAGAACCCAUUUAGAGUGACGCACUACCCUCGCUAAAGUGGUUUUGGUGGUCGACAUCAGGUACCGCUGAUACAGAUCUAAACACCGUGUGGCGAGCAGCCUCGUUCGCUUCCUACCUAAUCUAAAAAUGGUGCCUCCAAGGGUGCGUUUGUCACUGGUUUUAUCUAAAAAGCACAUUUCCUCACCAAUAUUUCACUGAGAUAUGACCACGUCUCCAACAGCAGGCUCAGUUAGUAUGAUUUUUCAUGCUCCACACCUACAGUAAUCACAUACGAUCCCCGACACUUCGACUGGACUCAAUAAUUUCUGAAGUCACCACUGGUCUUGACAACAAGCUAAUUGGAUGGCUGACCCUGCUGGUUGGAAAAGCCGACUCAGCAGAUCCAAAACCAAAUUAGAGAGAACAAAGCUUUACCAGGAGCUGUCAGCUGUCAGGAGGAUGAGUGAUGAUUUUAAAGGAAAACCACACGGUUGAGCCCCAAGGACAGAUACACAGCACUACAAAAUACAUGUUUAAAGUCUAUUAUAGUCUUGGAGACUAAAGGCAGUCCUUGGUAUGAAAUCUUUUGCUGAGCACAAAGCAUUUGUAAGCUUUCUCUUUACAUUUCUGAAGGUUCUGCAUGUCACGUGUCAUUCCAAACAUCUCUAACUAGAAAACAACAACCCCAUUCUAUCUCUUAUACAGAUGUUAGCAUGAAAAACACAAUGGUCUUUCUACUAGGGCUGCACGAUGAAUCAAUUUUAACUCGUAAACAGAUUAUUUGAUCAUGACAAUGUUAAAAAACAAUUUUCCUCUCUAUCAUGUCUCGUGGCUCCAGGCCACCGUAGGCUCCUUCUUCUUGCGAGAGUGCUCCCCUGUUUCCUCACACACCAGUGUAAACAAACAUGGCGUUUGCAAAAGAAGGCGAUAAUUUCGUGGGAAUUGGUACAGCUUUGCAGUUCCCCGCUGCAAAGUCUGUCUUAAGGCGGUAUCAACCUGUCCACUCAGAAACAAAUUCAGGAGUAAACGCAAAAAAUUUUGUUGUAUUGAUGUUUCAUCCACACGGAAACAGUGUUUCGGGUGACUAUAAACAAUAGGGCUGGGCGGUAAACUGAAAAUUUACCAAUACUGAAACUUUGACAAUAACAAACAUCAUUUUGCCUAUAUCAGUGCCAAAAAAAGAAAAAAAGAUUUGGGAUGUUUGUAGGUAGGCGAUAGUCUCAUGUCCCUUUAAGACGCUGUCCUAUGUCAGAGACGUGACUCCACCCAAUCCAGACAGGUGACAGGUGAGGAGAUGGAGGACGGUUCAACAGUUGUAGUGGCUGAAGUAGACAAAGUUAAUGUGUGAGGGGGUGAGCAGCUUGUGGAGUAGUUAUUUUUCAUUUAUCAUUAUUGAGGAGAACUGAUCAAUAUAUCAUGAUAUUGAUUUGAGGCCAUAUCGUCCAGCCCUAGUAAACGGUACUUUUUGUAAACGGGUCAGAGAGUGCAUAAAUCCUUAAAAGACCUCUAUUUAAUCUCUGUGUGCCUUUCUGCAUCUCUGGAAAUGAUCAUGUGACUCACAGCGUAACUCUUUUAUGGCGGUUGCGUGUGUCCGGCCAAAACAACCUUUAUACACAUGCUCUGUACUCUUCUUUUGUCUUUUGUGCAGCGUUACAGCGCCCCUUACUGGCCACUUACUCGCCACUUAAGACAUGAAAUUCCAGGUUUAUAACUUACCUGCAGUCAUUUUUUUUCCAUAGGCGUCUGAUUAGCUCCUUUGAGUGCAGGUCACUUAGUAAGACCCCAGCCUCGCCACACAACCCCGCAGGUAGCUUUCACAUCCAGCUGUUCCUCUUUCACAGUGUUGCUAAGAAUGUCCCUUUAAAAAGCUCAUUCACUGUGUCCUUUCAUGGUGCUGUGAGCCUCAGAAAAUACAUGGUCGGCUGCACUCCUGACCAUAACAACAACAACAGGCUGACUUUAAGAUGGUGCUCACUGUUUCCUCUGGGAUUAUCAGCUUUCGCUUCAAAUCUAUCUGUCUGCCUUCUUCCCACUGUGAGGAAAAUUCAUGCAGACCAAAGUGAUGUUAAUGUUGGAAACUAAAUGAUCCUUUUGUGCUCAUUUUCACAUUAGCAUCUGCUCUAAACUGACCUCAUGUGUUUUCAAAAAUUACAUCUGUUUUUGAGAGCGAUUGUCAGAAAUCAGAUACAUUUCACUGUCAAUUACUCAUAAAUGUUUGUGUUUAUUUAAUGAGACUUUUUUACUAUCCGCAGGGGAAAUAGCUUUUGUGCCUCGGUCAACAGUAUGACAUCUGUUCUUUUGAGUGUGUUGGCUGCUGAAAAGUGUCCCUGCAAGCUUUUAUGUCGCGUCUCCCAUUUGGAAAAAUACCCGAAGCAGUCACAUCUCCUCAGAUGGCCCGGUCUUUUUGUUGUGAGGCAUCAGCAGUUGUUUGUUGUUUUUCUCCGUCUCCAUGAAUUAAAUGUGGGUUUUAUUUCAGUCUUUCAGUUCAAUUCUUCUUUAAACAUAUUUUUAAGUGUUUAAACAUCAAGAUGUAAUAGUACCAGAAAUUUUAGUUUGUACAUUUCUUUUUCUUGAGCGUACAGUUAAAGGCACAGUGAGUAGUUUUGGACUCAUCAAGAAGCAGACUCAAACUGAUACUGAUGCCUCCUUAUGACCUUCAGCAACUAGUCUGAUAAUUUUACUGUACUUUAAAAUGCUAUAAGACGGUAAGGGUUAGCUAAGAUGACUGAAAGCAGACUGAAACAAAGAGCCUCCUCUAGGGCUGGGUGAUAUGGCCUCAAAUCAGUACCACGAUAUAUUGAUCAGUUCACCUAGAUAACGAUAAAUGGAUGAUAACAACUCCACAAGCUGCUCACCCCCUCCCACAUUAACCUCGUCUACUUUAGCCGCUACAACUUUUGAACCGUCCUCCAUCUCCUCACCUGCCUUUCCCUCUUUGUUACAGACUGGAUGGGGUGGAGUCAUGUCUCUGAUGUAGGACAGCGUCUUAAAGGGACAUGAGACCAUAGCCUACCUACACACAUCCAAAAACAACUUUUAUUUUUUAAUUUUUGGACGCUGAAUAUACUGAUAUGGGCAAAAUGAUGUCGGUUAUUGUCGAAAAUUUCAGUAUAGGUGAAAUUUUGAGUUUAUCGCUCAGCCCUAAUUUUAUAUAUUGAAAAAAAUUUUUCGCCUGGCUCCAGAAACAGUCAAUUAAGGAUUUGUGGGUGGUUAUAAGCUGGACUCUUUAUAGCCCGGUCUCUUUUUUGUGGUCUUGCUCUAAAGUGAAGUCAGGACGGUUUAUCGCCCAGCCCUACAUUCACCUGACAACUUGAUUGAUUUAGUUAUUUAUUUGACACUGAAUAUACCGAUAUAGGCAAAAUUAUGUUGGUUAUUGUCGUAAAUUUCAGUAUCGGUAAAUUUUCAGUUUAUCGCCCAGCCCUAGAUUCCUCCUCCUCCUCCUCCUCAAAUCAAAGCUGACAUUAUUUUAAUGCAGCAGCUCUGUGGCGAACAGAGCACAGCAGGACCAUAUCUCCAUUUAAUGUUUUACCUGUAUGAAGGUCUGCUCCUUUAACCCAAGAUUCUCUCAUCUGGAGCCAAAAAUGGUUAAAAGAAGCUGGUUGUCAUUGCUGUGGCGUAAGCCCCUUGGCAGUGAUAAUUAGCUCUGAAUGGUUCAGAGUACCGCCAGGAACAACCUGACAACAAAGAUCGUAUGACAUCUCCUGGCACAUUUUAUCGCUCCUUACUGGCACAUUACAAAAACAUAGACUCAGUAGUCGUCUAAAUAGGUAAACACUGUUGCAAACCUUUUUUGUUUUUAGCAUUUUAAUUGGUGGAUUAAACAACAUCAGCCGUAAACAGAGCAGAGUUCCAGUCAGACUGCAAAGGAAAAAACAAACUUUCUCAUGUUGUGGACUGACCCUGUUUUGCCUGGGAGACAGGCUUGGCAUGUCUCUCUGUUUCUCUAUACCUGCUGAUCUGUUUUUGUUUCCCACCACCUCUCUUAUCCUUAACCGAUUUUUCUGACUCCAUCAGGUUUGCUGUAUGCAGAGCCUUAAGCCUCUCCACUCUCUUUAUUGCAUCUGCCCAGCAAUAUCCCCAUGUCUGACGGCGCCAACAAGUUUUCCUCGACACUUUGAUGAGGCUUAAGAUUGUGUCAGCUUGUGUUUCAAGCGUACUGUAUCCCCUUCCUCAGCUGUUUUAUACUGUAAUACUGCAGGAUCCGUUCCCUCCAUCUUCAGAAAAAGAAGCCAGUCUUGAAAUUUUCCUCCUUCGAAGCUCUUGUGUACUCUACAGUUUUAGCUCAAAUCAGCUUCUUCAGGAUGUAGUCACAUUGUCGGCAUAUAUGUUUGUGGUGGAAGCACAUCUGUCUAUACAGGCAUCAAACAAUGCCAAUACCCUUUGAUAACCUGAUGAUCAAAUGUUGUGCACACUGCCUUAGUGGCGCGAUGCACAGUGCUCUCAGCUGGGCUGUAUUUUUUUGACGUAAAUUUUCGGUGGCCGAAUUUGUGGUGUAUCCCUAUUUUUUUUAUGAUAUUUGAGAUGUUAUUUCAAACCUAUCAUAGUCAACAGUGUCUAAAUAAUAGGAUAUAUAUAUCAAUACAAUAUGUUACCUAACAUGUAAAUAAAUAGUCUGCAGUCCGCUCAUUAGCUCUCAUAUGCAAGUCAUGACAAGAUAUUUGAUGUGUGUUCCAGAUAUAAAAGUGAAAAUGAGUAAAAAUAAGUCUCAUUCAAAAGCGAUAAAUAUGAGCACAAGGGUGGUUUGAAUCCUUCAGUUUUAAAGAAUAAAGUGCUUAUAUCUGUAGAAAGUCUUUAAAAGAUAAUGAAACCAGUCAGAGGUUCAAGUUUAGAGUAGAUCAUUGAGAAAAACUGUGAAGGUUAAAUACCGAACAUCUAAGGAGCUAGGAACUGUAAAUAAGCUUUUCGAUUCAAGUGUGUUAAUACAUCUGCAGUCUCCGAACACGUGAAUUCAACGCUUUUGUUUUCUCCUGAUACGCUCACAGACAGCUAGAUUAAACAAAGAGCUAAAGAAGUGUGACUCAAAGCAAACAUUUUCAUUUUCAUAAAGCAGAUUUACUGUAUAAUAAAAAAGGAUUUAGAUUUUCUAUACUCAAGGAUGCCCCCGGUCUAAACAGAUGCAUAUCCAGCUAUCCUUGAAAAUUUCAUUGUCUCUUUAUAUCAGCUUAGUGUGAACUGUGUGUGUGUGGUGUGUGUGUGUGUGUAUGUCAGCAUUUUUAACAACCUGUGUAUCGAGCAGCAGGUGAUUUCUAACACCUGGCACCAGUUGAAGCUUGAGGGCGGCAACCCCCACUGGCCCUCCAUGUGCUCUGCAUCAGCAUCCAAGGCCCCAACCGACAACACACACAUAUACACACACACAAAACACACACUGACACUUUGCUCCGACUGGGCAGGGCCAGUUGUACAGGAACAAAUACCAAAGCUGCCAGACGGAGUGGGGCUCGGUUGGAUCAGAACCAGACUGACAGUUCCCUCCCACAGAGAGAUCACGCAUACACAGUAUGGCUGUGAGUGCUGCUAAUAUUUUAGAGACUUAUUUUUAGUUUCUCCCUAACCCAGUACUUUCUAAACUUCUUCUCUCUGUUAAUAUUUUAUUGGCUUGUUAAUAUCUACUCAGCUCUACCAUAAAGUUCUAUGUCAGCUGUGUCCAGUCAAACAGAGAGAAACAGUCAGACAGUGGAGGACUAAAGGUCGGUGGUGCGAGCUCUACUGAUUAAAGCCACACACUCAUCCUGAGUUCAGCUGUGUAGAUAAACUGUGUUCGACUGUUUCUUUAAUAUUUUCUAAAUUUAAGUUUGUCUGAAUUUUAUGUCCCAGGAAAAAAAAGUUGUUUGGUAAUUAGGCUGUAUAAAAAUAGAAGGAUAUUGCAUUCACCAAAAAAAAGCAAAAAAAACCCAAAACAAACAAACAAAAAAAAACUCUCUGUUUUUCUGAGUAAAUUUUUUCUUCUGUUUUUCGGACUAAUUUUUUUUCUUUUCUGUUUUUCGGACUAAUUUUUUUUCUUUUCUGUUUUUGGGAAUAUUUUUCCCCUUUUCAGACUAUUUUUUCUGUUUGUCAGACUUUUUUUGUUUCGUUUUUCGUAAUUGAUUUUUCUGUUCUCUGGGAUCAUUAUCAUUUAAAAACAGACUCUCAUUGAGCCCGUAGUUGAAGUUAUUUAGGAGCUGGAGAAUAGGCUGAUUUGGUGCUUAACGUUAUGUGAUUGUAUGAGAUUCUCGUAGGAUUUUGAAGUAUCUUGUUUAGUCAGGAAAAAAACAGAAAGACGCAAAAAAAAAAAUCGUACGAAAAACAGAUUUUUUUUUUUGCCAAAACAGAAGGAGCGAAAAAUAUUAGUACAAAAGACAGAAGAAAAAGAGUCAGAAAAACAGAAAGAAGAAACAAAAAUACUCAAAAAAAGUCUCCUUUUUUUAUAAGUGAUAUAAUAGGCUUCCAUAGAAUGAAAAGUAGUAUAUUGCAAUAUUGUUUUUAUUGAGUUAAUAUACAUACAGUAUUUAGCAUGUUUGUACUCUAACAUUAUAUUUAUUUUUCAAUCAUUUGGAUCUUAAAGCCUAUUUUUCUGCUUUCAAACCGAACCCCCUCCUAGUUUUACCACACGGUGUCCCUCCCUCUGGCAGCAGAUCUGACACCACCAUGGUGAAGGAGGAGAGAGGAGAUGUGGCGCGUUAUUACGACACGAAUUUGGAUGAUGGAUGAAUAUCACAGAGAGGAAUAAAGAUGAGAUAACCUUUAUUUUCUGCCAAUAAUCACAUGGUCGCCUACAUUUAGCUGCUAAUGAUUACUCUUGCAUGACAACACCAUCAACAUCUCUGUCUCUCUCUUUUUUUCCUGCUGUAGUUCUUGUGGUAAAAAAAAUCCAACCUAAUAUUUUAGAUUUUUAGUCAUAAAUAUCAGAUGUUUUUUUAAAUAAUCUUGGCAGCUACAGCAGGUAAGAACUGAUUCACCAUAAUCAUAUCAUAUCAAGACAAAAUACACCCGUUUCUUACUUGGAGCAUGGAUACAGUAUCUCAAACUGCUAACUGCUGAUUAAAGCUGAUUAAGAACUGAUGAUCAAAUUAAAAUCAUUUUUAUUUCUUCAUGUUAUUUUAAUCAACGCUCUUUACCCAUGUCCUUAUUUCCACCCUGACCUUGCUUACCCCUUCACUUUUUCCAUCCUGACCACCAUCUUUGUUCUCACUCAAUCAGUCGCUGGGGUCAACAGGCCAGGUCUGCCCUGAGGCCUCUACACACUUAUACCAAUCUAAGUUAUUAAUACCACAGUUGAUGGAGAUGUGCUAGAUGGAGAAAUUGAUUAUUCUCCCCCUCUCAUCUCUCUGAACCGAUCUGUGAUGAGAGAGGAGCAGAAUCAAAAUGAUCUCAGAGCAAAGUUUAAAGGAGAGGCUAAAGAUAAAAAUACAUUUCUCUGCAUCUCUUUUAGAUAAACAGCAUGUUUGCAACUUAAAAACAUUUUCAGUAUAUAAAAUUAGGGCUGGGCGAUAAUACCGAAAUUUACCGUUAUGGAAAUUUAUGGUAAUAACCAACUUUAUUUUGCCCAUAUCGGUACAUUCAGUGUCGAAAAAAUAAAUAAAAGUUGUUCUUGGAUGUGUGUAGGUAGGCUAUGGUCUCAUGUCCCUGUAAGAGGCUGUCCUACGUCAGAGACGUGACUCCACCCCAUCCAGUCUGUAACAAAGAGGGAAAGACAGGAGAGGAGAUGGAGGACGGAGAGAAAGUUGGAGCGGCUGAAGUAGACGAAGUUAAUGUGGGAGGGGGUGAGCAGCUUGUGGAGUAGUUAUCGUCCAUUUAUUGUUAUCGAGGUGAACUGAUCAAUAUGUUGAGAUAUUGAUUUGAGGACAUAUCACCCAGCCCUAUUCAAAUACUAUAAUACUUUAUGCUUUGCUUACUAAUAUCUAGACUUCAUAGCCUCAAGUCUGAUGUCUACAAAAGCAGCGUUUCCUACUUUGUCCAUUCUUGGCACAGACUUCUCUCACUUUUCAGUAAUUGGAUAAUUGGAGAAAAUGCUGAUAGAGAUAUUUGAGGAAGAAACAACACGAUUUUUCCAGCUAAGGAGUUUUUGGAGACACAAAAGACCUUUUUUACCAACAUCUUAAAUUUCUCUCAAGUGUUUAAAAGGACUCUAAAGCAGAUUCAUGUGUCUGCUCUUAAACUGCUGAGGUUCUAAAAUUAAUGAACAGCCUGUCCUCAUAAGUUUGAAGUUUUUGGUCUCUAAAACUAAUUUUUCAUUUGUAAAAAAACCCACCCAGGAUGAUUUUAAAAUGAAUUUGUCCAGAUUAUUUAAGAGCCAAGAGCUCUGCAUACUAGUGCUGGACGAUAAUUCGAUAACAAUAUAUAUCGAUCGAUAGACGUGUGCUGCGAUAGAAAAAAAACGGGUCGAUAAAAAGUUCGAUAGAAAAACACAGUUUCCCUUUCUUUUUCAUCAUAGCCUAUCAUGUAGCUUUUACUACAGUCAUUACUUCCUCCCAACCAAUCACAAACGCAGACCCAGGUACGCUACGGCACCAAGCCCAGCCCCUAUCAAACCACAACAGACAGCACGUGUAUUAGAAAAAAUGAUACAGCAAGGAGAAGCGGAGGACAUUGUCAGUAGUUCACCAGCAUGGCAAUGUUUUGGUUUUUAGAAGUCUGACAAAAAGCGAACAGCGGUCGUUUGCAAAAUUUGCAGAGAAUUGGUAAAAACCAAGUCUGGUAACACAACCAACUUGUUUUACCAUCUAAACCGGUCGCACCCGCAGGAGUACGAGCUGUGUCGGCCGCGCCGCGGCUCCACGUCGUCGGAGGAGGAAUCCUCUGGAACCGCUGCCAGCACCAGCACAAAGCAUGUGAAGCAGACCAAACUGGACUUCGUUUCUUGCCAAAAUACGACAAAGCGUCCGAGCGGCAUAAGGACAUCACCCAUGCAGUAACAUGCUUCAUAGCGAGGGACAUACUGCCAAUAACUACCGUUGAAAAGCCUGGCUUCGACCAGCUUCUAGCCACUCUCGACCCGCGAUAUGAAGUGCCCGGCCGCAAGUAUUUCUCAAACACAGCGCUUCAGGCAUGAAAAUGGGUCAGGGGUUGAAAAGGUGAGAAGAAUGCAUCCCGUCCACUCAUUAGCUUCUUAAAGUGGAAGAAAAUGAGCUCAUAUUUUACAAAGACGCGAGUAUUUGGAUCAUGGCUACUAGCAGGGGGUGCAUUCGGCAGGGGUGCAUUCUACGACACAACACCGGCGUGGAUAAGUCCUGCUUCUCGUGCUCAGUUUGCGUAUCAAGUCAAUCACAUGAUAAUUAAAAAAAAAUAAAUCUCCCGGCCCCGGGAGAAAUAUUUCAGUGUUCAGACACCAGGCUGUGGGCAGUUUCUCACACAGUUAUAACUGGUAGUAUGCUAUUCCCACCUAAAGCUAUUCUGUUUAUUUAUAUAUUUGUUUGUUUUGUUUAUUUUCAUCAAAAGACUAUUUAAAUAUUUAUUUAUCAGAUUUUCUGGUCACUUUAGUCUUUAUGUUUGUCAGUAUUUACUGACGUCACUCAGGCCCCUUAAGUUGAUUUCUUUUUUUUUUUAGUUCUUUUUUAAAAAACUUUCAGUUGUGGUAAAAUAAAAAAGGUGGUUGAAUAAAGGUUUGAAUUUGAAUUCAGUGCUUGUGUGUUCUUUAUUAAAAGUAGGUCAUUAAGCAAUAGCAUAAAACAUCCAGGGCUGCAAUUAAAAUAUAUGUUAAAUAACUAUAAUAAUUAUAUCGAUAAUUAUCGAUAUCGAUCAAUAUGAUUUAUUUUUUAUCGAUAUGCUUUUUUUCUAUAUCGUCCAGGCCUACUGCAUACAUUUCCAUAAUUAUGCGCACACAUUGUCGCUGUUUGCAAAGCGGAUUCUAGAUUGAUCAAAAGUUAGUCUGAGUCAGCUUUUCCAACAUGGCAGCAUCAGUGGGCGUCACAGCACCUCUCCAGGAGCUGCAGGGUAAUAUCACUGGGAAUACAUCCAUGUUUUGAACCAAUUUACUUUCUGGACACUGCAAAAAAAAAAAGAAAAAAAAAACAGUGUUGUGUGGUGUAGGAAAAAUCCAUAUUGCAUUCUGGAGCCCACAGUGUUAUUCUGAGAGGUGCUCAGUUUUUCUACGAUGCAGCUUGAGAGGGGAGCAGGGAAGAUGUUGAAUUUAGAAGGAGUUGUAUAUUUGUGUGUGUGCGUGUGCGUGCAUGCGUGUGUGUUUUAGCGCCUUAAUCCUACCCUUGCUUUCCUCAGCUUUUCUCAUGGCUCUUGGACGGAGUAGGAAUAGGUGAUGAGCUCACAAUUCAGGCGCCACAGGAAACAUUCAUUGGUAAUCCAGCAGAAGUAUUGGUGCAGAACCUCUCCUGAAUCACAAUAUUGCACCGAAAAGUGAUUUCACUCUGCAGUUCUCCGAUUAGAUAGGAAGGAGGGUGUAUAAAAACUGGAAUGCAGGGUUUUAUAAUGCAUCCAUACAUCCAUUUCAAAUGUAAUAUGUGUGUGUGCGUGAGCGUGCAUGUGUUUAUGUGUGUGAAGGAGAGGGUUCAACUGAUGGGGAGAGACAGAGAUAGACGGAGAGAGAUGCUGCAUUGGUGCGUGGCAGGCGGGUUAUUACAAUAAUGAGGAUGGAUGUGUUUAUCAUGAGUUGUGUAUCCCAUCCCGAUCCUCCCCCCUCCUCCCCGUCUCCCCCUCGUACCUCUUUUUGGCGCUCUCUAGCUCACUUGAGUAGCUCCGUCUGCGUCCUACAUCUGGUGGACCGCAACCUCAUCUCGGCACUCCUGCCUCGCUGUUACAGCUUGUCUCCAGAGGACGGAGUGUUUAGGCAUGUGUGUGUCUCCACCAGCUGAAGACACCCCUCCACCUUUGUGGCUAAGGCUAGGUGUAGCUAUGGGGGGUAAUGGGGUGUGGAAUUUUUCAGGCAGGGGAAAAAGAGCCACGCCACGAUUCAACGCUUUUCUUGACAGGGCCCCUGGCGAUAACCCUCCUUCACCUUCUCCCAGACUCCCUCCUCUUUUCCCGAUUGUUUUUAGCCGCCGUCAUCUGAGAGGAAUCCAAUUUUCAGGGCGUCUUUGUGCACAAGACCACGAGAUUUCCUCCACAGGUCACUGCAUCUGUUGAGGAUUAAGACACUUGAGUGACAAUAACACACCCAGAAAUUCUCCUUGUAAAUGAUGGAAGUUGUUAAAAGGUGCCAAACUUUCAAUCCUGCACAGUUGAAACUUUCUUUAUAGAGGAGAAUGAAGAAAACCCACGGUCUGAAAAGUUCUUAAACAGAUUUUCUGUUAUACUUUUUCAGACCCAAGUAUCACUCAUCCAAGAUUUUCUUUCAUUUCCAAAGAUCAGAAGAAUCAAUCCGCCCAGUUUCACGGAGAGAAAACUUUUCCCUGGAUGUGCCAAGGGUGUUGAAUGUUAAUUGCUUUAAAAGUCAAUUAAACAAAUUUAAAGCAUGAGUGGCUUGACCUGUCACCUGAUUUGUAAAAGACAGAGUGUGGAAAGAGAGGGAAACCCUGAUCCACAAUGACUAAAUCUAUCGAGUCAAGGCUCCUAAUUAAAUCAUGAAAUAGACUGACACAAAUUCAAAGUGAUUAUCCGGUCAACAGAUCAAUACCUUGCAAAUGCCCUGUCAUUCACGAUCCCCAUGUCUCUGUCAUGCAUAUCUAAAAGCUGCAGUGGAACGGCUCUGUCGUAUUAAACAUCCUCAGUUGUUUUAAAGCUAAAGGUUUGUGUGACGUGGUGGUUUUCUGCACUGGUUCAUGAGUCAGUUUGGAGACAGGAGUGUAUUCUCUGUAUUGUGUAAAUUCUGAUAUAGUAAGCAUUUAAUACACCGUACUACAAAAGCGGAUUAGGGCCACAUGAAGAGCAAAAAAAGGAUGAAAGUCGAAACCUUCAAGAUUUGAAAAUAGAAGUUAUUUCAAUAAAGUCGAAAUUUUGAGGUUAAAAAUUGAAAUUUCGCUAUUAAAGUCGUAAUUCUGAGAUCCAAAGUUGGAGAAAUGUCAUGAAUAAUGUCAAAAUAUCAAGAUUUUCAAAAAAUUAAAUUUGGAGAUUUAAAAAUUUCGAGUUUAAAAAUUGAAAUUUCAAGAUAAAAGUUGAAAUUUCAAGAUUACAAAAUUUUGUAAUUUCAUGAAUUAAAUUGAAAUUUCAAGAUUAAAGUUGAAAUUUUGAGAUCAGAAAAUGUUAAAAUGUCGUGAAUAUUGUCAGAAAUUUUAGAUAAAAGAAUAAUUAAAAUUUUGAGAUUAUAAAAUUUGGAAAUGUCGUGAAUAAUGUGGAAAUUUCGAGAUUAAGAAUUUAAUUUUUGAGAUUAAAGUCGAAAUUUUGAGAUUAAAGUUGACAUAAAUAAAGUUGAAAGUUUGUCUUUUUAAAAUGGAAAUUAAAAAAAAUCUCCCUCCUGUAAUUAUUAUUUUUUCUCUUCUUGUGGUCCUAAUCGUCUUUCGUACCUUACUGAUAAGUUGUUUUCCACUCCACUUCCUGACAGCCAUAGGUUCGAGGAUUUGUGCUGCUUUUCUCAAGCAUCGUUUGAUUGUCUCUAAUUUUCUUUAACAGUCUGUGUAUGAAUGUAGAAUCUCUGAGUGAAUGCAGGAAUAUUUGGCUUCGGGAGUCUUAUUGAUUUCUGUUGCAGUCUGAGUAUUAUCACACUUACACAUUUCAGCAGACACUUUCUUUAUAUCUGAAAGUGAGAGAGUCAAAUCCUAUAGACCACAAUGAAAUCCAUGAACCAAAGACUAGUCAUCUUUUAGACGAUUUCUUUAGACAACAAUCUGUUAAUUUGUUGGGGCGGUAAUUUUUCAUGACUUACUUUUUUGACCAGGGAAGAAAAAAACGAGCUAUUAGCUAUUAGCAAUGCUCCUGCUGACAGUUGGCUUCAUGAAAAAGACUGAGAGCCUGAUUACAACCUGUGGCCUGUACAGUGGGUAGGUGGAGAGGAGAUGAGGUGUGGACAUAGUUUAAGGAGACUGAGUGUGUGGUACCUGACAGUGUGGACAUAAACUGGGAGGAAAAUAAAACAUCUGAAAAAGAAACCCCUGCAGUGUCUGCGUUAAGACGGUUCAGUUAAAUGGAGCUCCCUGCAGUGAAGAGGGACUUAGUGUUGUUGAAAUGUGACUUAUUUCAAUUUUCACGGCAGGUUUUAAGGCAUUCAGUGUUUCCCAUGGCGUAGAGCAGUGUGCCUAUGAGUGUGUACAUUUUUAGCCAAAAUAACCAAACGAAGUGAGGGUUUCUUUCUUCACACAGUUUUUAGAAAAUCUAAAAUAAGUCUGAGUUCUUCUGACUAAAUCCGAGACACAAAGACUCGUCUGGAUAAAAUAGACCACAAUUUUCUAAAAUAACUAAGACCAAAACAAAGUUAGAAUUCCUUGUAUAAACCAACAGGACUGUAAAAAAUCACCACUUUUGAGAAGAAAGUCUUGGCGUGAAGUUUGUUUGUGCAAACAGCGAUCUUACAAACCCUGCAGCUCUGACAACAAGACAAUAUCAUUGUCAGAGAAAAAGCCCGGGGUUUAUAAAUCCGGUUUUGUCCUACAGCUCCUUUUGAAAACUGAAUAAAAGCACAACUGACUCUCUCUUUAUUGUCUUUUCGUACAAACUUUUCUUUUCGUUUCUCAUCUUCACUUAAUCCUAACCCCUCCACCACCGUCUCUUUCACAAAUCAAUUAAGUCAGCUUCAUUGGCUCGCAAAUAAACAUUUGCUUAAUGGCACUGGAAUAAUGGAGAAAGGCAUGGUUCCUAAUGAGUAAUUGAUCGUUUUCUUUGACCUUCUUGUCCUCUUCUUCUUCACAGACAGCAUUCGAUGGUUCUGCGCUGCACUGUUGCUCUCACUAAACUUCUGCCCUCCCGAUCACAGUGACUUGUGUCUCUGAGUGUCACAGAAAGUUCAUGGUAAAAACUGGGCUCCUCUCUGCUCUGUCUGACUCUUCAUUUGUAUUUUUAUGCCUCAACAUGAUAGUUAUCGGGGGGUGUGUACGUGAGUGUUAUUGGACUGAGCGUAUGUGUGUUUUUCGCUGUUAUUUUCCCAGAAAUGGCCCCCUCAUUCCUGGAAAUGAGCGCGGCCAACCAAACAGGCACUGAAGUGCUAAUCAGUGCCUGUGUGAUUGGCUUUGGGUAAUCGUUACAGAAAAUUGCUGCGCUUUUUUUGAUGAGUCAAGAACCGACAUGCCCAUGGAUAAGUCGCCUCAGAUAUAACUGUGAGAGGUUUGUGUUUUUGUGCCGUUCAAAGAACCCAUUCAAACACAGUAUUUAAAGUUCUUUGCAGUCCUUGAAUAUACUUUGGAAAUAAGUGGAUAAUCUCCCAGUUCUACCAAAUGAUGCUGCUCAUUUACACGAGCUCUGAGAGGUUUCUUUUGACUGACUUUUCAGAAACAUCUUGCAACCAAGAUUAUGCUUAAUGGCCCACAAGUAAAGUUCACACGGAGUCGUCUCUGGAUCAUUUGGAAAAUGUUAAUCAGAGUGGUAACUUACUUCUUCUCCCUGUAAUUCUCAACUUUGAAAUCACUCUGCCCUUUCUUUGAGUGAUUCAGUUUGUUUCAGUUUGAAUAAAUGUUAACGGUGAUUGAAACGUGUGUGCGCUGUUGUAUCAGAAUUCCUGUUGCGAAUGAAAAUGACAAUGAUAGCGCUGCCUGAAGACCUGAGAGGCAGUAGAUUAUGGAGAAACUGCAUCGUGAUGAGGUCUUGGGUUUGUUUGGUGCCCUUUUGUAUCAUCAAUGGUGACUUCUGUUCUGCGUGUAAACACUGACCAGCCUUUAUGUGCCUCUAUUACAACAAGAGGACUGUAAAUCACUUUGAGCUAGGGCUGCACGAUCUUAGCCAAAAAUAAAAUCCCAAUUUUUUUCUCUAAAAACGCGAUUUUCACUUCUGAUUAUUAUUUUUUUAAUUCAGGUACAACUUCACCAAACUUUACUUUAAAAUUAAAAGUUUUUCUAUCAUCUCUCAAAACCGAACCACUGAAAAUGAUGUAGUGCGUAUGCCGAGCCAGUAAGUGGCGCUGUCACGCUGCUGAGUAAAUGCACAAAAAACAGAUGAAGAGUACAGAAGGCGCCAUAAAAGAGUGACGCUGUGUGUCACAUGAUCGUUUCCAGAGAUGCAGAUAGACAUCCACACGGAGAUGAAAUGGUCGUCGUUUACAGAUUUAUGCAUGUGACGUUUCCGUGUGGAUGAAACGCCGAUAUGACAAGAAACUUUAGCGUUUACUCCUGGAUUUGUUGAUACCACCUUCAGUCUUCGUCUAAAACUGUGAAGUCGUACCAAUUCCAUAUGACUGACCUGCUCUUGUCCUACGAAAUUAUCGCCUUCUUUUGCAAACGCCAUGUCUGUUUACACUGGUGUUUGUGGGAACUGGGGAGCGCUCCUGCAGGAAAGAGGGAGCCUACGGUGGCCCAGAGGUGCGAGACAUGAUGAUUGUAACAUCCUCGUAAUCAAAAAAUCCGAUUAUGAUUUAAAAUUGAUUAAUCAUGCAGCCCUAUAGGAACCCUGAAUUUCCACUUCAUCUGGAACAGCUCUGACCCAGAACUCCGUCAACUCCUACCUGAUCUGUUUGUGAGACGAAUUUUGUGGCGGAUUACGGACAGCGGAAAUCGCAAGAACUCACAAGAACCUGCAGAUUCAUGUGCAAUCAUGCGAUAACGAGUUGUCUCUAUAAAGACAGCCACAUAGACAUAUAAGCAGUAGAUUGUGUCCUUCCAGUGGAGGAAAUCUACUUCUAGACUACUAGAAUCAGCAUCAAUCAGAGUGUUUUAUUUUGAAAAGAAGCCGGAUGUUUUAUUUUGUGUCUGUGCCCGACUUCCUUUCCAGCACGGGUUAAUCUGUACUGAAUUUAUCCGCCAUGCUCCGGAGUCUGGAAAAAGUAGAACUCUUGCGAUCAGCUGAGGAGUCCGGCGAUCCGCAGAGGAACAGGAAGAAGUCAGUGGGCAUUGGCACGUUAACUUGAAUGGUUACGAUCAACUGCGAUUAGUAGAUACGACCUUUACCUAGCCGUUCCAGAUGCAGUGGAAAUUGGGGGAUGCUAAAAGCAAGGCUAUAGAUAAAUUUAAUCAAAAUUUAAUUCUUUCUAAUGAUGAAAUAAAAUAAUUUUUUGUCUCUUAAGAUAUCUGGACCAGUUUUAAAGUGCUUCAUUGGUAUUGAGGGUGAAUGGACUAGAUUCACCGUUUAUCCCCAGGAAACCUUUAAAUACCAACAAAGAACCAAUGUGUGUCAGCUCGUAAAGAAACUUUUUGGUCCCUGACUAAGAGAAGUUGAAUCUGUGGAAGUCUCCAGCUCACACAGAAGUGAGCCUGCUGUGCCUGCAGCUAACAAGUGCUGCCUCUCAGAGUCUUUUGCUGUCAUGCCAUGAUGCACCAUGUAAUCUUCCCCUUCGGACUGUUUGAGUUAUUGUGAUAUUUGACUGUCACGGCUGACAGAGAAGGUUGGCCUCCUCGGGGCCAUGACGAGUGAUGUAGGAUAAAUCAGCUGCAUGUCAGCUGCUGGAGCCUACACCAGGGGAAGUGGAGCACAUGCAGAAUGCAGCAAACUCAGCAGCAGCAGCACCGCUCUCAGUCACGCAAGGUUUGUUUAAUGAUUUUUACUCUUUACUCAACAGUUUGUCGAUAACUGAGAGUAACGUAAAGCUCACUGACACCUGACACAAAAAAAUGAACUAUAGGCUACUUGGUUUACAGUUUAAGUACAAUGAUUAUGUCUGCUCUUAUUCUGUGUGUCAGUAAGUCCACUCACUGUGAAGCUGUCGGCUGAUGUUUUAUCAGUGCAGUGAAGGGGAAAGGUCUUCAUGCAGAGCAGAGAAGUGGGCUUUAGUGUCGUAUUAUUAAUGUAAAUUCACAUCAACUUGAUCUGGAGACCUGAACUCUGAUUUCCUCUUGUUAACUGUUACUGUCAACUUUUUAUUAGAGAGCGAGAUGCCACGUGGGCAUAAUGUGCGUCCUCAAGCUGUCCUCAUACUAGCAGCUUGUCUUUUGUAGAUCGGCGGUAGUUGUUAAUCUUUGACAGUAUGUGAUAUCACAAAAAACUAAAGCUAAUAUUAAAACUGAUAAAAACUAAUCUAAAUGUAAGUAUUUUUAAAAACUACUAAUUAAAUUCAACUAAAAAGACUUGCAUGAAAAACAAAGUUAACCCAAACUGAGGUUUGAAACACAAACUCAAAGAAAAAUAGAAAUAACUAAAAAUUUGCAAAAUGUAGUGAAAUAUUUGAGACUUAAAGUAGGCCUGGGUGAUAUGGCCUCAAAACACACCAUGCACAAAAGUACCCUCUACUAACAAACACCACACUUGUAUGUAGGCAGCAUUUAUUGCCGUAAAUUUUGGUAUCUGUAAGUUUUUGGUUUAUCGCCCAGCCCUACAGGAAAGUAUCGACUCGCCCUGCAGAUCUCGAGAAUUAACUUGGACUCAAAUUACUUGUUUUUACUUCAAACUUGGACUUGCAUUGAAAGACUUGAGACUUCAAUUUGACCAGUACCUACCCAGAGAGACCUGAGGUUUGAAGCGAAACAAUAAUAACUCACCUCAAAGGACUUGGGACUUUAAUUUAGUUUUUAGAAAUGUAGUAAUUUUGUUUUUUAAUGACAAACCAGCUCCACACAUUGAAAUUGAUUGAUUGAUUUACUUUCAAAUGGACUUGAGAAAGUUUGAGGACUUGACCGAAGAAACUUGAGACUCAGCUGUGACAAGUGCUUCCCCCAUAAAUCUGUGACUAGACAAAAAAGAUGGAGGACUUCUUAGAAUUCACAAACUUGGACUUAAACGAAUCGACUCGAGACUUGAUUGGCUAGACUGUGGACCUUGAAAGUGCUGCAGCGGACCAAAGACUUGAGCUUAAUGAGUUGUGAACAGACUUCUAGGCUUGAACCAAACGUGUCUCAAAACGACCUGAGACUUGUGUGUGUUUUUUUUUUUCUUGGAAUCUGCACCGCUUCACCGUUAGUAAUAACAGCCAACUAUCAUUGAAACUGCAGAUGGAAGAAAGAAAACAAAGCUGCAGUGAGAGAGAGAACGAAGAUUUAACUCCAGCCUGAGUGAAGGCUAACAGAGGAUUGUUCCAGAGCCACUCUAAUAGAACAAAGAAUAGAGAAAUAUUGAUCAUACUGGGAGCUGAAAAAAAAAAAAAUCUCUGCCAUCCUGACGCCCUCAUCUUCCUCUCCACGCCUUUCUCCCACAUCUUUCCCUCAUCUUCAUCGCUCUGAGUCUGAGAUUUUUUCUCCAUCUCAGAGUGAUAACAGUAACCGUGUAGGCCGGCUGUUGGAGGGAGAAGACAAUUUCAUUUCAUUCUGGAUCAGUUGAGGCCGGGGACUGAAAACAGAAACAUUCUCGAGGCCGAUGACGGCCAGUGGAGCGGUAUUUUUGGAGGGGAAUUGAUUUAUACAUUUUUAACCACACAGUGAUGAAAAAACAUUAUGGAUCAGAUUUUUGAGGGCGGGGACGCCUGCUGAUGCCCCCUGUCAUUACCCGCCGUCGUAUGUUCGUGUGUGCAUGUGUGUGCGAGUGUGUGUUGUGUAAUGGAGAGUAAUAGCCCACCCUGUGGAGAAUUGCCCUAGCUGUCGCAGGAUGAUGACAGAUGAAGCUUCAUGUCCCCUGAUGAUGAUGGUGAUGAUGACACUAAUGCAUUCACAGUCCGUUUCCCUUGCACUGAUCUCUGCAUGACAGAAUGAGAGAGGAGAAAUGAGGAGAAGGAGUGCAUGUAUGUGUGUGUGUGUGCCAUUGAAAACAGAGAGGGGUACAUUUGCAAAGAAAAAAGCAGAGGUCAGUAAUAGCCAAACAUUCAGCACCUUCUUUUCUUCUCUCCAUAACUUUCUGUAGUUGUGCUUCAGAAUUUAGCUUUCUCAACCAAACUUCCUUGCUCUCCCUCAGUCUCUCACUUUCUCAUCAGCAGGGAGAGAUUAGCGGUCAUUAGCUCGGGACUCUGAUAUAAUGAGGCUCAUCUUCUUACACAUGAAGGACAGUCUUACAGAAAAUGAAAGCUUCCCUUACUUCCUUGGGGUGAGCAUUUGAACCCUGACUCACAUUCAGCUUUCUGGACUCCCGUGGCGUGCAAGGACGCCGACAAACCAAUCCAAUAGGGCCCGACCCAUGUCUCAUCUGGAGACAUGCAGCUGCUUCAGUAAGAGAAGUAGCUCGAUCACUAAUGUGUACUGUUGUUUAUUCUACCAUUACUGGCAUGGCUAACAGUGUAGCAAGGCUAAUAGCAGAUGGCUAACUCUAACUUUAGCUUGCAUAUCAGAAGAUUCUAGAUUCGGCUCCUGGCUGGCUCGCCACUUAUAUUGUGGAUUUCAUAGAUGCAAAGGUGCAAAAAUGAACUACUGGAAGACAGAAUCAAGUUGGCAGCCUCUUGCGGGAUUUGUCAGCUCAUGUCAAUCAAAUAACCCCAGAAUCCCCCUAUAAAAUAUAACUUAAAAUUGGCGUGCAGUAAUACAGUGUUACUGUUUCGCCCAUAAUAAGGAGCAGUAGUACUUCUUUAUAUUUGUUGCUGACCCCAUAAAACUUUGGGGCAGCCCAUCAAAAGAUAGUCAUACACUUUGGAAACAUAAUUAAUGUUGCCAAUGUGCUGAUAUACAGACAGAAUAUUGAUACCGAUUCUUUCAGUAACUCAUGAUCCACCAGAAAUAGGGUUACUGAGUGAGAGGGGCAAAUAGGGGUGCACAAUAUAUCAUCAGCAAUAAUAACUUAAUUGUUAUAACAAUGUUCAUAAAGAAAAAAAAUCAAGUAUUUCAGUAAUUUGGCCAAAAAAACAAUCAAAGCAUCACGUGUCAAGAUCCAGUGGUAUCGACAAUUACUCCUGCACAUUGAGAACACAUGCAGUGUUCUCACAUAACAUGUGUUCUCGACUAAAGUAGAAAACAAGUGAUCAAACAGCAUCAGCUUCAGAAUUGAUGUAGUUAGAUUUAAUGAGUAGACUUGGCUGUGAACGAUACGGCUUCAAACAGACAGAUGUUGCUCAAAGAAGCUGAUCUGCAGUUGGCUUUAAAGACGGUUCAACAAAAACCUCCUUCAUCUGCAGAUUAACAGAUGCACAGAGUAUGGUGGAUAAUAUAAAUAAAAGCUUUCGAAGUUUAUUGACCAACAAAAUGAAACUUUAAACGGUUUACUUUUAUAUGCACCAUUUGAUUUCUUUAAAUCUCCCUUUUCUGACUUUGGACCGUCUAAUCUAUCUCGAACUCUGAAUAUGUUUUGGCUAGAAUCAGUAAAACAUCUAAUUUACUAUGAACAAGGAUGUGCUAGAACAGGGUUCGAGUUUUACAAUGUCGGCACACUGCAUGCAUCAUGUCCAGCUCAGUGUGUCCUCCAUCAUUGUAUUUCCCUCUUUGUUUUGGUGCCUUCUGCGCAUGUGUGUGUAUCAGAACCGGCUGUGUGAUGACGUCAGGACGUCCAGCGUAGUUCCAAAAUGGAGUCCGACAGGCAGCGGAUAUUUAAUCUUUUAAAAUCGAUUUUGGGACAUUUUAAAUAGAUUCUGAAUUGUAGUAAAUUAGAAUCACGAUUCUUGUGUAAAUCUAUUUUUCGGUGCACCCCUGGCUUCUAUGUCACGUGACAAAAUGACCUAGAAUUGAUUUCAAAUAAUAGUACUUAUGUCGACCAAUAAGACACAAUAUUUGAUCAAUUUUCAUUGUGCCCCUAAAGUACUUUGUGUGCUCCUUACUUUUUUAACUUAGUGCUAACAUGUGCUCCUUCUGAACAAAGUUAGUGUCAGGCCCUGUAGAACAGAUUUAGAUUUUUAUACACUUUUGGCACAAAUGGCCCCAAAUCCCGGCCUGAUUACGCCCCAUGGGUGACCUCAAGGUGACCAUGUCCACAUGAAGUUUUAAAGUCAGAGGGGAAACUUUAAUAGAAGUUUAUUCAAAGAUGAAACUCUAUUCAUAGAAAUAGAGAGAAUAUGUGCUUAUGCCACGUGUCGACAGAAAUUUGACAGAAAAUAAUUAUUCUACAUCACUUAAUCAUGAGGAAUACACACAGAGACACAAACACACACACAAGUACUCGUAAAUCAUGCUCCCUCCCUUCUUUGACUGUGAAAUUUACUUCUCGAUAUUUCUACCACGUCUCCCCUCGGUUCCUGCUUUUUCUGUCUGAGCCAGAGCCGUAGGUGUGUGUCGGGAGUCUUUUCAGCUGCGCCCAUGCUUCUGGCUGAGAGCUCUAUCUCCUGUGAGAGCUACCUCUCUGAACAUGACAGAUAAGGCCUCCUCAAUGCCACAGCCUGUGCCAUAAGCUAUCAAAAAUACACAAACACGCACAGACCUGCAAAACACCCACAUGCAUUUUUGUAAACACGGGAUAGAGCUCGUGACACACACACAGAUAUAUAUCCAGAGGUUAUGACACACGCUAACACAGUAUUGAUUUAAAUGAAUACAGAGAGAAACGUCCACGUCUGCUCCUGCAGUCCAACAUGCAUCCACAUGAACAUUUAGUCUUAUCCUCAUGAAAACACCAUGUAGCUUAAAUCAUGCAGUCUGGAAAAACCAAGGCGUGGGUGUGAGAGAAACCAGAAAUACCAGAUGGCAACUAUGUGUGCUCGUGCGUGUGCAUAUGCAUGUGUGUGUAUGUGUAAGUGUGUCCAACUUUGAAAUGUAAAUUGUGUGAGUGGAUGCGCUGCCAGGUACAUUGACAGAGUGCAUAGCGGGGGAAGUGUGCCUGAUGUUUCUGUGUGCAAUGAGCCACUUAAGUGGGUCCCACCGCACACAGAUGAGUGUUUGCAGCUGGUAAAGACACAGCUAGCUGUAGAUUGAGGGAGCUUUAUAAACAGGCAAAAACAAACUCACAAGUUUUACAGCGAUGAGAGACAUUUUCUUCACGGGGUCGCCGCUCACCCGAGACUGGAGAUCAUCUGCACAUUUGGUGUCAGAGUUUCUGGAGCUGCUGGGUGUAUUUUAGGGUGAAAUUUCUUCAGUUUCAGAUACGCUGAGGGGAGUGAAACUUAUGACUGACAGUGUUGAAUAAUCAUAUCAGUAAAAGGACAGCAGUUCCUAAACUAGGUUGUUUAUUAAAAAUGUGUGAGAGUAGUGCAGUGUUUCCCCUACAUUCAUUUAGCAGAAUUACGUGCAUUGCCACUGAAAUUUCACAUAAUCAUUAAUAUCAAUGCGCCACUAAUGAUUUCGAUUCGCACUGUGUGAGCCCAAGAUCACAUGAUCUUCGGCUUGUUUUGAGUCAUCAACGAACGCAUCAAAUCACCCUCUUCCAUCAACGUAAAAGGUAACGUUCAAGCUUUUACACGGUCUAUAUAGCAAGUACCAUUAAUAGCAUUAGUUGGAUUAAUAUCAAUGCGCCACAAAUGAUUUAUACUCGCACUGAGUGCGCGCAGUUGGCCAAGUGGGUUAGCGCGCCCCCCACAUGGGGACCACGGUCCCCGCAGCGGUGUUGGGUUUGAAUCCAGCCCAGACCAUGUGCUGCAUGUCCUCCCCUCUCUCUCUUUAUCCCCCCACAUUUCACUCUGUCCUGUCUAUUAGAAAAAUGCCAAAAAAUCAUCCCAAAAAUAUAAAAAAAGGCUAAAAAAUAGCCCCAAAAAUACUACAAUAAAAGGGUAAGAAAAUUGCCCCAAAACUACAUAAAAAAGGCUAAAAAAUCACCCCAAAAAUACAAAAAAAGGCUAAAAAAAUCGCCCCAAAAAUACUACAAUAAAAGGGUACAAAAAUCACCCCGAAAAUACAAAAAAGGCAAAAAAAAAAAUCGCCCUUAAAAUACUAAAAAAGAGUUUUAAAAAAAUCACCCCAAAAAAUACAAAAAUAGGCUUUAAAAUCACCCCAAAAUUACUAAAAUAAAAGGCUAAAAAAUCAUAUAUUGAUUUGAGGACAUAUCACCCAGCCCUAACCUAAACUAUGUUGUUUUUAAAAAUAAGUGAGUGUAGUGUAAUCUUUGUAGUUUUACGUCUCAUACAAAAAAAACUUAACAUAAUCGAUUCACAUAAGUAUCACGAUUUUUUGUUUCACAGUUUCUGAAACCGUUUUUUUGUUAAAAAAAUCAAAUUUAAUAAUAAAUUUGAAAAAAACUGACUUACAUGUGAUGUGUAUUUUUUUGGGGAAAUAUGUUUCCUGGAUAGUCAGUAGAUAAUCAUAAUCGUUCAACUGUUCCACUGGAGGUAAAAAUGCGGACUAAAAAUCGAGAAAAUCAACAAAAUCGCAGAAUCACAAUUUAAAUCAAAUCAGCAUCUAAAAAGCGUUAAAGAACCGAAUCACAAGAAAAGCAUAUCAUCCAAGCCCUACUAUGGCUGCUGGAGCACAUUAACCACGAAGAACAUUCAUGAACCAAAACUGCUCAGUUUCAAUAACAAAAUGCUUCUAAAAAGAGAGGUUUACACAUCAGCAUAUGUUAGUAAAAGAGCCUCACAGGAUAAAUUAUAAGUAAAUUAAAAUAUUUUCUAUGUAAAUAUGUGUAACAACAUUAUCCCGUGUCUUCAACAGCUGCGGUCACUGAAGUUAACUAAUCAAUGUGGAUAUGCAGGAGAAAAAACAGGCUCUACUGUGUACUGACUGUUUUUAAAGAAGCUUAUUACCAUGAAUAUGUAUGACGUCUCAUUUCAGAUCUUACAUUUAAAGGAUAUACAGAGAGGCAGCGAGGGAUACAAAUGUUCACGUUUCAUGUCACAGCCAAGCAGAUUUGUUCAUUUACAUAUAGCAUACUCUUAGAUGAAUAAUGGAAAGUGGCAGAUGCCCUGAAGGAAAUGAAUGUUUAAUGUUUACUGUAUCUUAUUAAUUUUCUCAUUUGCUGAGGAUGUUUUUUUAAAGGAGAAAGAAUAAGACAGAUUUUUUUUCUAACAUGACUAUAUAAAAUUCACAUUUCAGGGUCUUUUUGUACCCUAAUUGGCCUCACUUGUAAUGUCAAGAAGUCAAAUUGAGGCAGAAUUGUGUUUUUCUUGUGAUUUCUCAGAGUGGACCUUGUUAUUAUGCUGCUUUCUAGCCUGUUGUGUGUCCUGGUCAGCUCCAUAUAUGAUCAUGUUGCUUUAGUUCGUACUGUUGGCUUGAUUUCACUGAGCUUCAUCAGAAAUCUAUUAGCGUAGAGACGCAGUCACACACAGAAAAGCUCCAACCACAUCUCUCUGAUUAGCAUAAACAUUUGUAUCAUCUGCAUAUUACAAAUUAAUCCCCCCUCUGACAUUCCUCUUUCCUUGGCAGAAGUUCACGAAUGUUCAGACAGGAACAGAAGAAGUUUUCAAAGGAUGGCACCUCGCUGUAAAUACACUAAAAAGCUUUCAGUACUUUUGAUGCGACUUACAUUUUUGAAGGGUUUUCAGAGGAAAGCCUCUGUUUCUCCUGCCAACCGCGCCAUCUGGAAGACCGGGCAGAAUCACUGACUGCGGUAGUGCGGGGAGGAAAAAUUAUGGUAUCAAGAUUUGCAGACUGUGUCCAGAGAUGAUGCAGUGGAUAACAGUCUUCUUGGGGACUGGUGCUGGCCUGAGAAGCUCUCCAGCAUCUUAUCUUUUCUGCGGCUGUCUGGAAUUAGUUUAAAAAAGCAAUAAAACUCAAUUUUACAGCAACAGUUACAGAGCUUUGCACGUCAUUAAGUUUCAUAUUCGACCCAAAAAAAUCCCCUCUUUUUAUUCAAAACCUGAUAGGCUCUGCCACCAUAGUGCAAUAGCUCCUCAGGUUUCUGUUUUCAUUGUUCUUUGAUAAUGAAAAAUUAAACUUUUUCUUAGUAAAAACUUUGGUUAGCUGUUAUCUUUUUCACAUGAAAACUUUUAACAGCUAAUUGCAGAUUAAUUCACUCGCAGAAGGAUUGAUAUUAUGGACUAUUUUACAGUUUAUUUCCUUUGUUAAAAGUUCCUUUUCGAACUUUAAAGGUCCAUUUUACAUUUUUCAUGCAGUGAUCUGAGUGGGUGGGGAUGUCAGGAUAAAGAAAGGCUGAGGUGUGUAAUCCACAGGGAAGCUGGGCAGAUAGAUUCAGGGGGCGUAUCUCACGAUUUGAUUUCGAUUAUGGGACCUUCUAUUCUUCGAUUCAAUUAUUGGUGCCACGAUUCUUCAAUUAUUGCCAUUUUUAAAGCUUUUUUUCAGACAAGAUUGGUUUUGUCUUCAUCUGUGGUUACAGUUGUGAAUAAAUAUCCUAUCAAUUAACUCAGUUCCUCUAAAACAGGGGUGGACAACCGUGUGCCAUGGAGAGCUAAGAGGCUGCAGGUUUUCUUUCCAACCCAAAACUCCACCAGGUGAUUUCACUGAUUAGUCUCUGCUCUCUGCUUGGAGGUAAGGUAAUCAGUGAAAUCACCUGGUGAAGUUUUGGGUUGGAAAGUAAACCUGCAGCCUCUUAGCUCUCCAUGGCACAUGAUUGUCCACCCCUGCUCUAAAACUACACUCAAUAAGUAAAUAACAAGGUUUUUUAAACAAUUGACUUGUAUUUUAUAAAGACACAAAAUAUUUUAUUUUAUGACUGUAUGACAUUUGCACUUUUACCUAUUUAACUUAAACUGGUAAGUUUGGAGAAAGUCUCCAGGAUGGUCCUCUGUGUGGCGGGCAUGACCGGAGGAGCCUUCUCUGUUUGGGGAUGAAAGUGUACAAGGCGCUGCCUCAUGUUUGUGGUGUUGCUAAGGUACUUUAUUUUUUACUUUAUUUCAUAAAUUUCAAAGUACUUCCACACGGUUGCAUUCAACCCCGGUGGCGAGAGAAUCGGCUGCUCGUUGGAGCCUGCUGAAGCUGUUGCCAUUUUGCAAAGAAACUAAUGCCCUCUGUUGUGGUCCAACUCAUUAAACAAUCCGGGCGGCGUGUGCAUUAAGAUUUCGGUUAUGUGUUUUUUGUUUUUUUUCCGGCCUUGCGGCAACCCUUGAUAUUAUUAUUUAUUUUUUAAUUUAUUUUAAGCAUCGAUGUUAAUUAAUCGAUGCUGAAUUGUCAAGUAAAGCAUCGUGCUGCAUUGACACAUCAAUGAAUUACAUCCCACCUCUAAAAACACCAAAACAAACUUGGCGAGCUCCCCAGAAGAACAGGCCUGAUGUUUCCUGUUUUAAACUGUGAAUUAAAUCACAGAGCGGCAACACUCAGUGAUGGCGGGCCUGGGUCACAAAUUGUUGGUACUGAUCCAUCUCUUUUUUGACCACUUUGUUGAAGCAGUUCGAGGAGAAGUGCUACCACAAUUUUUAUUGGUCCUCGACUGCCGCGCCGUAAUGUAGACGUUUGUGUUGUUGUUUUUGUAACCAGCGUGGGUGCAGUUGGUGCGUACGGCUCUUAACUGUUUUCAUCUUGACUCUUGAACACUGAAGCAAAAACACAAAAGAGCAGGAGGAGGUAGAAUUGCUUGGCGUGGUUUUGCAUGUAUACCUAUACAAAUCACUCCGGUAUUACAAUCACCACAGGAGCUGGUUCUGGUCUCGCUUUAUAAAAGCUUUACUUUCCCAGUAUGUGGGCUUCAGUAACAAUGCAGAGGCUUUUGUUUCCCCAGGGUCGCUCGGCGAGAAGAUGACUAAAGUUGACAUGUAUAGCCAAGGUUGUUUUGUGUUUCUCAUAUCGUAAAUCUCAAUCUCUUUAACUGCAGCAUACAAGAAAAAAAGACCAAGAAGUGAACAUUGUUUUUUUUAUUUAUCAAUUUCUUUUCUUACGUCUCUAAAAACAUGCCGUAAAUAGUUUUGACCUAAUAAAAUGAAACAGAAUUGAUAUUCAACCCCAGCUCUUCGUCUUCCUUCUCCUCUAUCUGCUUCUAAAUAGGUUACCUCUCAGGCAUUCAGACUCAGGGGAUACACUGACUUCCCCAUGAGUUCUUCCUUCCCCCAACUUCACUGCAUCUGCAGAAAAAAAAAGAAAAAGAAGGAGACCAGUGUCUGUGAGAGAAAGUAAAAGAGGGGGCGGUGGUGUGACUGGAAGGGGUAUUGUGUAGAAGUAGGUCAAAAUGGCCGGAGCUGAACUCUUUUGGCCGGAAACAAGGAGAAGGGGAUGGACAGAGGGAUGGAGUGGGCUCAGGGUUUGGACACGAUGGACCGAGAGAGAGAGAGAGAGAGAAGUGGGACUCUGGGAUAACUUUCACAGGUCAGCUGGGGCCGGUGGUUGGAUUAGUAUGUUGAGCAUGAAGAAAAGGAAAGUGAGUCAUUCCAUGUGAUGGAUGGAAAAUAGAUGACCAGUCAAAGGCUUAAAUAUAUUUCAGCACAUUUCCUGCUUUUCAUUUUCAAUUCAGCAGAAAUCUUAAGCUGUUCCUUCUGUUGUCUUCUGUCUCUUCUAAGAAAUCAUUGACGGCGACCAAAGCCCUUCAAACUAAGUCUAUACUUUUUUCUCCCACCAAAAACGUCCUUUAAAGCCGUCCCUGCUGCUGUGGCUGGAGAUAAGAGACAAGACAGAACCUUUUGAAUAAUAACUCUGAGGGACUUUCACUCUCACUCUGUGUGUGUACCUAUGAGUUGGAUAAGUGUGUAUACAGUCAGUGGAGCUCUGUGUGCAGCAGACAAAAUAACCAACAGUAUUUCUACCUUAUUAUUGUUCCUGUAAGUACAAUAUACAAAUAUUUGCAACGUACUUGGUUAUUUAAAUGUUGUGCAAAAGGUCCAGUACAUUUUAAAAGAAGGUACAUACGACUAGGGCUGGGCGAUAUGGCCUCAAAUCAAUAUCACGGUAUAUUGAUCAGUUUAUCUCAAUAACGAUAAAUGGACAAUAACUUCUCCACAAGCUGCUCACCCCCUACCACAUUAACUUCGUCUACUUUAGCCGCUACAACUUUUGAACCGUCCUCCAUCUCCUCACCUUCCCUCUUUGUUUCAAUAUCGCUGGUUUCUCGUGGGUCAACUCGCUGCGCCGUGCGUCCCGUGCAUUGACUGUAUGGUCCCAUGUGUUAGCAAUUAGCAUCGCCGUAGCUACAUGGUUUAGAGCUGCAGCGCUGCGCAAGGUUGUAUCUCAGCCAAUCGGUGGAGAUUACCCGCAUCAACCCCUCGUCUGAGAGCCUCACAUUGGCAGAAUGAAUCGACUACAGUCAAACAUGAACCGCCUACAAUAACCGCCGAACUUAUUCAAUGUCUCACAGUGAAAUAUGCAAGAUCUCCAUUUGCUGCAGCGAAUCGCAUCCGGUAGGCGCUUAAUGCUUGCGUAUUUGAGCCACCUGCCGGUCCGUAGUGGAGCCGUUCUGGGUCCUGUGGAAUCCCGGGGCUAGAGGGUCUGCCGCUGGUGUCAUGGCGGUUCUUCUGCUCCUUUUUGGCGUAUUUAACACAUCAUAGUAAAGGAUUUGAAGCCGAUGACGUAAAAUAACUGAAUAUUUACAAGACGACCUCAAACACAGUUCCAACUAAAGGAAAUUGCCGCUCUUAAACUUGACCUGUCAAGACAGAUUCUAGCGUUUUCGAUGUAAACUUGACAGUCUUUGUCUGAACAAUUUCAAUGAUUUUCAAAAUACUUGUUUUUGUUAUCUUUAAGCAGCCACAGAAUAGUAGAGGUCACUUUUCUUGUAUAGAGAGAUGGAGAGCUGCAGCUCGACACAACAAAAGAAAAACUCUUCCACAUCAUGUAACAAAAAAAAAACGCUUUGAGAAAUGAAACCCAAAGAAAUCCAGCUUUGAUGCACCAAAUCUAAUCUGCCUUUAUUCAAAAGCUGCAGUCUGUGUCACAAAGGAAUAAAAAAAAUAUUGUUCAGACCCAAAGAUUGGUGAACAUCCCUCUUGUCUGUUAUUCAGAGCACCUCAAGAAGUCACUGUUAUUUGUUGAGGAGCCAUUUGUGUGGGCUGAGAUGGCUCUGCUCCCCGUGUCCACGCAGGCAGACAUACACUUUACUUAAAUCCUGAUUAGUGGAGUGUUCUCUAAGCACAAUAGCAUGGUGGGAAAAUAAAUGCCGUCCACCAUGCUCUUCAUGCUUCUAAAUUAGAAUUAUUUCAAAUUACAUCCCCGGCCUUUUUUCCCCGUACGUGGUGAGAUUGCAGGCUGCCCUCUUUGACUGGUAAUUUCCUCGUAUUCUUACCCCAGCGCAGAGUGGCUUUUCUAGAGGGAGUGAUUGUUUUUCAGCACAUGCAAUCAGUUUGUGGUUCUGUGUGUGUGUGUGUAUCGUGUGUGUCUUCAUUUAUCACCUACAAUCAUCCUAAUCAAGUCAUAGCAAAGCAGCUCAGGACCUGGGCUGCUCUGAAAGUCAUCCUGAUUACUGUGAGUGUCUUUUAUUUAACACGUGACACAUGACUCACACAUAAAGACAGGUUACGAUCACACACAUUCAUCUCUUUUGUUCGCACUCACACUCACACACACUCCUACAUGCCUCUGCUCAUGUCCCUGCACUUCCAUUCUAACUUAGAUAUUGUACUUUCCUAGAAACCCAAUAAGAUGCCAUCACCUCCACGAAUAUGCAACUGCGCAAAAACAAACUUUCAGCUGUUGAAAAUGAAAGUUAUUGUCUAUUUUGCUGUGGUCUUUAUCCUCAUGUUUUCCAUGUGUCCACAGGCUCUAAACUAGUGCUGGACUAUGAAUCGGAAUUUUAAUCACGUUUUUUGGGGCGGCAGUAGCUUAGGAGGUAGAGCGGUCGUCCGAUAACGGGAAGGUUGAUGGUUCGAUUCCCCUCUAUCCCGAGUCUGUCCGGUGUGUCCUCGGGCAAGACACUUAACCCACCUUGCUCCCAGUGUGUGUCCUCCACUGGUGUAAGAUUGUGGGUGUUGUGUAGUGGUGGUCGCAGAGACAGUAGACGCAAAACUGGCAGCCACGUUUCUGUCAGUCCGCCCUAGGACAGCGUGACCAGUAAGAUAGUUUACAACUACCAAGGUGUGACUGUGUGAGCGAAUGAAUGUUGGAUCGAGUGUAAAGCGUUUUGAGGGUCUCUGAUAAAGCGCUGUAUACAAUCAGAUGCAUUAUUAUUAUAAGUAGUAUUUGAUUUUGGCUUCCCACAAUCAUAAAAACAUUAUAAACUGAGAAAAAUGAUUAAUUAAUGCUCUGCACGGCGCGGCGUGUACGUAAGUUCCGUGCAGCUGCAGCAAGUGUGUUACCUGUGUGGAUCAAUAAUAUGAGGAGCGAGCGAUUGAAAACACAGCAGAAAGGCAGCGUUUUGUUGAGAAAAAAGGUAGGACAACUUUAGUAAUCUGGAAGCAUUUUGGCUUCAAUUUCAAACAUCGAGCAAAAGGAAAUUGUUUGCAAAGUUUUUCACGUUGUCGUCAACACGACCAACUUAGGGUUUUCCCUUAUGUGCAAUUGACUGUGGCGCACCGUCAUUGCUAAAUAUCAGCUGGAACGCCUUAAGAAUGUGUUUCUUAUUUUUAAAUUUACGUAGCUGCAACUCAGACUUGUGUAUCAAUAUAUGUGCGCGCACUUGGGUGCUGCACCCCAGAGCAGGCGCGCGCCAAUUAUUAGCACUCGCAAGUUAUUGUCGGUGAUCGCGGUGAUCACACAACUUUCACAAGUUUAUUUCUGGCUGUUCUUAUAAGUUAUAUUUAAAGUUGAGUUUUGAGUUGUUGGUUCAAUAAAAACUGAAUAACCGUGUUUAUCAAUUGUGAUUUCAAUAUCAAUCAAAAUAAUCAUGAUAAUUAUUUUUGCCAUAAUCAUACAGCCCUACUUUCCCAGAAACCCAACAAGGUGCCAAUACCUCCACAAAUCUGAAACUGUGAAAAAACCAAAUAUCUUAGCAGUUUAAAUUGAAAGUUAUUGUCUUUUUUGUUGUCGUCUUUAUCCUCAUGUUUUCCGUACGUCCACAGGCUCUAAACUCAUUCAGAGUUUAUCUAGUUAAGAUGCAUCAGACGGUUUCAAUUUGUUUGUUAUUUCUGCAAUUUCUAUACAUCCCCUGUGGUAUCCGACUCAUACAGGUUAAACAGAGGACAUGUGAAUAUCAGAUUAGUGGCAUAUAGAGACACUCUCAACACAUGCACACACAGUCACAGACAAACCUUAACACACACACACACAGCCUAGACUUAAAAUUCUCCAAGGCGGGGGAUGUGUCAUUUCUCAUAUGUGUGAGUGACUAGAGGGUGUGAAGGGGAUAGAAACAUGUUGGAUGAAGAACAGAGGGAAGGAGUGAAGAAGAGGAGUGACAGGCUGUAGUUGUUUGGCCCUAAGAAACGGAGAGAAGGAGAGAGAGAGAGAGAGAGUGGGAGGAUGGAGUCAGGAGGUUCUAAGUUGAAGCUAAUUAAGGUCCUCUAAUAAAAAAAAGGGCCUGGACAGAGUGCGAAGGAAGAUGUUAUUAAAUCAUAGCCAGUGGUAAGGAGGAGCAUAAAAACAUUAGUGCGCACAUUCAAAGUACCGCCCUGGGCCUAUUGGCUCGACUUAGAUUUAAAAAGUAACUAAUAUGAAAAAUUAAUUAAGGCUCUCUUCCAAUCAGUGAAGGGGGGUAUCUCUCCGUCUUCUUAGGAGAGGAAACCGUGAGCAAACCUCCAGGUGACCCGACUCACAAGCUAAGAACACCCACAUAUAACAGGUGAGGGUUCCUGAUAAUGAAAUACGUACGACCUGUCAGAACAGGCAGAACAAGUGUUAAGAGCGCCGUCCUUCGGUAAGAAAUGUCAGGAGGCACUGUGCUCAAAAAAGGAAAAAAGGAUCGUAAGGACACUGUUUUUGUAUAGUAUAGAGUUUAUGUGCCUCGUUGAACAAAGAAAACAACACUGGGUGUUUAAAAGCGAGUCGUUCUCAAUAAAAAAUUGACUUAUAGAAUUUAAAGGUGAGGAAACACUCAGACAACAGAAGCAUAACUCAUGUAACAUGACCAAACACAGGGUAACAGAGUCUGGGGGUAAAUGUAGGGGUGUCCCAGUACACUUUUUUUUUCUUACCUCCGAUACGAUACUGAUAUUGUAGCCUUCAGUAUCGGCUGAUACCGAUAUUGAUCCGAUAUUGGCACAAACUUGUGCAUGACAAGUUUUGCACUUAGCUGCAACGUCUUUCGGAGUUUAAUGAAAAAUACUGCCAUAUGGCCGUUUCACUCUGCUAGCUAGAGGUGCCAGAGCGGAGUCUGAAACGGACUGCUUGUAUCGGAGUGCUGAUAUCGGAGAUUGAGGAUGCAGGGGAUAUAAUCCGAUAUUCAUUUUUUUGCUGAUACCAGACCGAUAUCCCAUAUUAAUAUCCCUAUAAUGCCUGAAACCACAAACAGCGGCUAGAAAAUUCAAAUCUUUUUGGAGCUGAAAUGUUUAUUUUACCAACUACUGAAAACCAAAAAAAUCUAAAAGUCCUUAAAAUGUUUGUUGUCUGAUACAUUAGAUGUUUUUGGAAACCAAUAAACCACAAGAAGACAGUUUUACCAUUUAUCGGACUGUAUUCAGGUGUUUUUUUAGUCAUUUGUUGGUUUGUUGACCGUGUUGAUCCCUGAUUUGAUAGAAGUAUCAUAAAAGUAUCAAAUAUGAUACAAAAGGAAUUAAAGAGACACCCCUAGACACCCUUAAAUGUCAAUUGGGCUAAUGUUAGCAGAGCUACCACCACCAGCCUUCAGUCCUUUAUGUACGUUAAGUGGAUAUAUUUCUGUUGAAGCAGUUUUAUGACGGAAUUACACGUUUUAAAACUGUAAUGUUUUAGAAAAAUGAAAUCCACGUUUGUUUUUUCAUUUUUAAAAGGAAGCAGGCUUAAAAUUCAUCCUUCAGGGGGAGCUCGAAGUGUUUGGCCUCACUUAUGGGCAGCUGCUCUGACCUCCAUUCUUUAUACAGUCCUCUUUUAUUUUUGGCGAACAGCGCCGUGUCGGCAUUUCACAGCGAGUAAAACUGAAAGCGAGAAAAUAGCAAUCUCUGCGCGUCUAACAAUGCCCAGGGUUGUAAUUGAUUGAAGAAACGCUUUAUCCCCUCUGACAAAUACAAGUUUUUCUUUUACCUCUAGACUCAGUGAAGGUGAAAUACAUUGGACAAAAGUGUUGAAUUCAUGGUAAACAGAAAAAAAACAAGCUUGAACGUGGAGAAACAGAAAUGAUUAGGUGAAAGUCAAAUUGGACAGAGCAUAUUUAAUUAUUAAACACAUGAGCGGUUCAUAAUUUAUUUAUUGUUUUACGGGGGAAGAGCUGAAAGUAAAGGAAAAUUACUGCUUUGAAAAUCAUAUGACCUACAUUUGCAUUUACUGCAUGUGUUGGUAACCGUUACAAAAACACUGUUUUACAUUUUAACCUUGAGAAAUUCUCCUUAUACGGUUCACGAAUCUAAACAACUUCCCCGGUUUGACGCUGUUUCUGCAAAGUCUUAAAAUCCUUUAUUUGGAAAUGAUAACUCAGGCAAAUAAAAUAUUUUUCUGCCCUCUUGUUUGAGACACAAACAUAAAAGCCUGUGAGUCAAUAGGUGUCAAAGUCUCCUAUCAGAGUGGAAGCAGCAGACGUGGGAUCCAUAAGUGCCAACCAUUAGGGGAACAAAAGAACAGCGUGGGAGGGAAUAAUAGCUUUCUAUUCUGCGGGAAAGAAGAGAAAAAAGAAGGGAGCGUUUCCUUCCCCUCUCUCUCAUCUCUGGGUCUUAGGGCCACAGAGGGCGAUGAUCCAAAAAGCUGCUCUGGUAUGCCAGAAUAAGCCGUGCCACUUGGAUCUGUCGCUCUAACCGAGGAGAGGACUCACGGAGGGGGAGGUAGACUGAAGACGGAGUGAGCGGAGAGUGAGGGGCCAAAGGGGAGAAAGAGCAAUAAAGACAGGCCUCACACUCAUCAAAAACCACACGGCUUCUGACCUGCCAGCCUGCACACAACAUCAUGCACACUGAUUACUUGUUGAUGAUUUUCUCUCAGUAGGUGCUCAGGGUGUUAUCCUCGGCUGUAUGAAAAGGAAAAGCUCUCACAUCUGCAUUAGUGUUUCCCGUCUCCUCGUUCUCGGUGAAACACAUUCAGAGACCUUUUCUUUCUUUCUUUUACUCAUUUUGUGCAUCUCGCCACUGGCGUGCUAACUGAAUUAUCCAAGCAUAGCUGCAAGGCAUGCUUUGGUGUUUUAAGAGAUGGUAUUAAAACAGCUCUGCUUUGUGAAAUCUAAUAUUACACUUGAAUGUGAAAUACCGGAUAGAUCUCAAGUCACGUUGAAGCAAAUUUCACAUCUAGAUGGACAGUGAUUGAGACGUGAUGGACGGAUAUGUUCUCCUGUUUGUUAGUAUUCCAACUCUGCUGUGACUGUUUCUAUGAAAUAUAUUUUCUGUUUCACACAUGCUCCGCACACCUUAACAUGCCAGGACACCACUCAGAGGAGCUGUACGCCAGCAUGUAAACGUCUCAAAUUGAAGCAGACAUGAAAUAGACUUCGCUCUGCCGUCUCUUCUUGUAUUGCGUCAUUUCUGAUAUCAACACAAACUGAUGUCAGUUAGUCCUGAACAAGACUAUUUCCUUUAAAGAGUGAAAGGACCUGUGAUUCCAAGGUUACCAAAUACUGUAGUUUGCCCAGUGCUCGUAAACUGAGACAGUAGUCCAGUUGAAUCACCUAAUUGAGCUUGACUGUACAUUAGGGCUGGGCAAAAUGGCUGCAAGUCAAUAUCACAACAGUGUCUUAAAGGGACAUGAGUCCAUAGCCUACCUACACACAUCCAAAACCAACUUUAGUGUAUCAAUUAUUUGACACCAAAUAUUUUGACAUGUGCAAAAUUACGUUGGUUAUUGUAAUACAUUUUGUUAUCAGAAAAUAUUCAGUUUAUCGCCCAGCCCUACCUGUAUGUUUUCUAUUGGUCCUGACCUGUGCCCCAUCGACUGGAAACCCAGACUGGGAAAUUUUAUGACCUGAGGGUUCCCAGUUUGUCAAAAUGUACAAAAACACAAAGGACAGGAUCAUACCAAACAGAAAUCUGCGUCUAAGUAUCUGAAAUAAAAAUGAUUAAAACCAAAAAAUUAAGAAUAUUUUCCAAUCAAAGUCAGCCAUAACAGAUUUAUUUAUAAUACAAAAACAGUUAGAUAUGGUAGGGCUUGGCGAUAUGGCCUCAAAUCAAUAUCACGAUAUAUCGAGCAGUACACCUCCUUUAAAUUUUUAGGUGUAUCGCCCAGCCCUAAGAUAGGGUUUUAUAUGUUAGUGCUCCCCUGUGGUCACAUAAAGCUUGUUUACAUGGACUUGAGUAUCCCGGUUAGGACUGGAUUUAAAGGUAUCCUGUUUUGUAUUUGUGCAUAUAGAUACUGUAUUCCAGAAACUGUUCUAGCCAGUAUUCCAGUCUUGAGAAACCUGGUUCUGUUACCUUGAUAACUCCCAAAGUAAAUGGAUUACCUUACCUUAUCCUGGUUUUCAGGCGUGGGCCAGUAGACAUAAGACAAGGAGCAAAACCUGGAUCAGCCUGUCGUGCUUUAUAAUCUAUAAGGGAUGCAAACUUUCCUGUGUUUCCGUAGCAACAGGCAACAAUAUUUCUGCAAACAGUGCACUUAAAAAAAAAAAAAAAAAACACACCAUCAAACAGGAGGACUAAACGUCUAAAUAACGUCUAACAGGAAAAAGAUAACAAAGACAGUGACUAUAUUAGAGUUUAUUAAUGCAGCACAGACCUGUAUGUUAAUGACGUUAAGCUUUUAGUCUGAAAUCAGAGACUUUAGUUUGCAUUUCGAUUCAAAGAGAAACUGAACAACCUCCACAUCAUGAAAACAGGCAUCAUGCAGAGAAGCAGUCUAAACAUUUAUGUCUGUCUUUAAUGGAACAUUAGUGCUUUUUUUUACUGCAAAGAGCUUAGCCUGUAGUAAUUAUUGUAUCACAAAUACGAUCAAAAAUCUAUAUAAGGUUUAUAAACCCAUAACUCAGGUCCUUGUAAAUGCAGGGGUUGACAGACCUUAUAAACAGCAGUUCAUAAUUUUAUAUCCUUUAAAAUCUGUGGUGACAAAAAGGAAAGACUUGUUAUAUCUCUCCCUCUUUCACCCCCGUAUAAUUGAGUCAAACAUCAUACAGAGAUACUUUGGGAAACUCUUCCCAAAGGGGGCUGCUGGGCUGUAUCUCUCUUUCAUUUAUACUCUCAUCUCUCCUGUGACUCUUCUCAUUAAGCAAUCUAACCACGUCGGGUUAUAACAAUGCUAAUAGGAGCUGAUGAUCAAUCCUAAUUGGUCUCUUCAGAGCGCCUGUCCGGUUUUUUUUUUCUGAGAGUGUGACCGUUCGCUGCUGCGCCCUGAUGAACUAUUCAUCUAGUAUCAGCGCUCACAAAGGUCACACCAGUUAUAUAUCACAGCAGCUCCCUCACAGAUACACACAUAAACACACUAUAAGUCAACAAAUAUACACUCAGACAUAUUAUGUUGUUAAGAUCACCGCAGAUGAAGCUCAUGGACAAAAACGCAAAUGAGAGUGUUUCACAUCCCCCCACAUUUUAACACCAGUUAUCCUGAUGAUGCUGAAGACUAAUAUUAUUCAGUGCUAAGUAUUAUUCGUAGUGAUGAUAACAGAGGGAGUUGUUGUACAAAAACAGAUAAAAAAACAGAGAGAAAAACAAACAUUUUAACCCUGGAGGAGCAGUCAAGCAUCUGUUAAACGCUCACUCUGACCAAAAGCUGUAGGGCUGGGCGAUAGAGUCUCAAAUUAAUAUCACAAUAUAUUGAGCAGUUCGCCUUGAUAACGAUAAAUAAAUGAUAGCUACUGUAUUUUUUCAUAGUUUGGCUGGGUUUGUGACUUAUACUCAGGUGCGUCUUCAUAUAUUAAAAUAUAUAAUUUCACAUGUUUGUUAUUUUCACACUAACAGCCACUAGAGGGCACUCUUGGCUGGUGUACCAGUAUCUGCUACUCCUGUACAACUGAUCAUUUAAAAAUUAGCGUUAACUCACAUAGACAUCUGAGAAAGAUCGAGCACAAAUGCCGCCCAAAAGAAAAUCAUAUUUUGACAAGCUGCAAGUAGUGAAAUGUACGUUAGCAUAUCGUAAACCUAUUCAGCCUGUUGUUCUCUAUUCUAUUGUUGUUAUUAUAACUUACGUUUCAUAAUAAAAUGUCUGUUUUCGGUCUUGGAUUUUGUCAAAUAAAUUUCCCCCAAAAAUGCGACUUAUACCGGCACAUGUUUUUUCUUCUUCAUUAUGCAUUUUUUGGCUGGUGCGACUUAUACUACGGAGAAAAUACGGUACCCCGCAAGCUGCUCACCCCCACCCACAUUAACCAAAACCAACUUUUAUUUCUUUAUUUGACACCGAAUAUACCGAUAUGGGCAGAAUGACGUUGAUUAUUGUCGUAAUUUUCUGUAUCGGUAAAUAUCGGUAAACCUUAAAGUCUCUGAAGUUACAAGGUGGGGCCUCCACAGACUAGACAUGGUUGUCCAGCCCUUCCCCUCGAUUUCACUAAGGAUAUUUGACACUGUGAAUACAGACACAUUCUCCUCUACUUAUGCAGUAAGAGGUCAACUUCUCAUUUGGUGUUUGCCCUGCCCACUUGCAUGCCAUUUUAAUAUUGUGUGAUUCAGAGAUGCCAAAAACAUGAAUGGAAUCAAGCUAUUCAACAUUAAAAAAUUAAUCAAAUUAAUGGUUCUUAACAUUUUUUGUCUUUAAUCUAUUUUUUUGACAACAAAUAAAUUCACAUAGACAAUAUGACGUUGGUUAUUGUCGUAAAUUUCAGUAUUGGUAAAUUUUCGGUUGAUCGCCCAGCCCUAUGAUCACGUAUUAGGCCUGAUAGUCUACGUCUCUCCUUACAAGAGCUCCUCGUAUUGAAACGUGACAUUUAGACAUUUAGUUUGAGUUUAGUUUUAAUUUUCGGUUUAUCGCCCAGCCCUAACCAGCUGUAGUAGUAAGGUUGUUUUCCUGUCAGUCUAGAACAUACAGAAACAGCACUGAGAAUAACAUGAACACCACAAGGUCACCCAACCACACGCUCGAUUAAAAAACAACAAAAAACGAAAACUCGUGAGCGUUCAGUGUGAUCAUCCAUGAGGAAAAAUACCAUCAAAGUUGAAACCUGCUGAUAUAGAGAGGGAACACAGUCACGUGUGUGUCUAGACUGUGUGUGUGAGAGAGAGUGUCAGCUGCUUUCCACACGCUGAGGGCGAAGCUGCUUGUUCAAGCCAACUCUUAGACUGUAGUUCAGUUUCCGCUCGGAUGGUUUGAAUAAGAAUUUGGUUUAAGGGAAGGCUGUUCCCAGAUCUAGGUUCACAACAGAGGAAAUCCUUGGUCUGUCUUAAAACCCCCUCAAAGCUCUAUCUCUCUCACACACACAAGACCGCAGCCUUUCCUCGGUUAAUGUAAUGCUCCAGCAGGAUGAGCGUCAGGCGCUGGGGGCAUGACCAGCAAACAGGCUGCAGGUUUUCUUCUGCUGCGAAGAAAGGAGAGCAGAGGAGAUUGGGGAAUAUUACUUGACACAGAAAGAAUGAAGGUUAGGGCGCUCUCGUGACACCGUUCCUCCUCCCGUCUCUGUCGCUCUCUGCCCUCUCUCUUUUUUUCUCUUACUAAUCCUCAUUUUAAUUUUCAUCAUCCUGGGUGUUCGAGCCACCUCUGUGACCUCUUUCUGUUUCCUGCUCCUUCAGUUUUCGUGCCGCCCUCCUCCUCCACCUCCCAUCUCUGUAUGUGCUGAACAUGUUAUCAUCAUUGUCUGUUUUCCACAGCGUCUCUCAGCAAAUUGACGCCCACUACUCCUGUUUGCUUUCUGUGUCUCUGGCCUUGUGUGUUCAGAAAUGUGAAAAAAGCAGAGAGGACUUCAAUGAGGAAGUCAGCCUAUUAACUGUGAAUACAAAAGCUAUGUGUGUGUGUGUGCGUGAGUGUAAUUUAAAGCCCAGAUAUAUCUGCGAAUACUACCAUACUGUGUUUUAACAACAGCUAUGUUAAAGAUGCACAAAACCAAAAAACUUGGGGGAGUCAAAGUAAGGAAAGAUGCAUAGAUGCUCUAUACUCAAAUACCUUAGAGGGUGGUGUAGUCAGGAUCUGAGUUAGUUCCGGUUUUUAGGAGAAAUCUUGCAUGUAAACUCUACCCCUCCCAACCAGUUUUCCCCUCAGCUCCUCCUCUCCCCUCAAGCCCCGCCCACAAACAGACGCUCCUGCUCGCUCGUAUCGUUCCAGUUAAAUUCAGAUAUAAUGCAGAUAAAUCCUUCAGAUCAUUACAAAUGGGGCCCAGUCAAGGUGAAAGUCAAAAGCAUUGGUGCUACUGUAGAUGCCAACAGACUACCAGCAAACACAAUGUUUGCAGGACUUCUACAACUAGGAUAAAGUGACAUAGUCCAGGACCCGAGGGAGGACAGUUUAGCGAUGGCGCUACAACACGCUACAGCAGGUCCGUUUGACGAGAAACACUUCUGUUACAGACACUUGUCUUACUUUGUUAAAGCGGUUUACCUGUCCAGCAGAAAGGUUACAGGGUCACCAAGAUCCCCAAGCGUCCCCCAUGGUUUAUGUUGACCCGGCUUUUUAGCUCUUGUCCGGUCUACCUCCGUUUUAAGCGCCCGUUAUUCCUCCAGAGUCUCCGGUAUUUACUUUGUUUUCUUGCUUGUGUCGGCAGUCGUGGCCAAAGGAGGAUUCAGACAAUUUUCCGAACUUUCUGGUUGGUUUCUACUGUCCGAUAUUGUAGCACGCUAACUUUGCUUGGGCUCCUGAACGACACGGGGGAGCAGCGUCUGCCUCACAACCAAUCAGGUUAGAGGAGGUGGAGAACGGCUUUGUUUACAGUCAGAAAGAGCGGACCGCUCAAAAAUGUUCAAAUGUUGACGACACAGACAUAAGAGAACACAGAGAUAUCGAUAUAUUACCAAAUGUCAUCAAUAACUAAUAACUAUUGACUGAUAUUAGAAGAUUUUUUGUAUGAAAACCACAAAAUAAAAAGAUGCUCCUUUAACAGAUUCCUGUCUACUUCACCUUUAAGUUGGUUUUCUUCUUGUGGACCAGACUUCUUUCCUUAGUCUAGAGAUCAGCUGGACUCUCUCAUAUGAACUCUGAGUUCUUGUUGCUGAUGUGGAUCUGUGUGAGUCUGAGUGUGUUUGUUUUUUGCUGCCAUUCUUGGUCAGGACCCCCCCUGAAAAAGAGAUUGAUGAUCUCAACAGGACUAGUCUGGUUACAUCAAAUCAAAAAGACACACAACCUGCCUCCUGUCUUUGUCCUCUACAGAAAACCUGAUCCAGCUGCAGGACUCACAUCUGGGACAUGUAAGACCACAUGGAUCCAUGACCCAGACGGAGCGGUAACAUGACAUCCAGCAGAAACAGACACAAUAAAGACAAACAGACGAGGUGAUUUCAGUGACUCAGUUUGAGGAUUUUUAUGAUUUUUUUACCCACAAUCAGAGACUUGACCACAAUCUGAGCUGAGUCAGAAACAUCCAAACAGUCGGACUAAUAAAUGUGAUUAUUAUUAAUAGAGUGAUUGAAAAGCUCAUAACAACAUGUAGAUCUGUCCAAAGUCUGAUUCUAGAUGUCUUUACAAACACACUGAUCCAACAGAAGCAGACAGAAAUAUCCAUCGAUCACAUGAACACAAAUAUUCAGCAAACAGAGAAAGAAACAGAUCAUCUGAAGAGUUUUUGGGGACGACUGGAAAGACUUUAGACGCUUGGAUUUGGGACAGGAAAUAAGGUCGUCCUUUUUCUGUGAUUUUGACCUCACUUUUUUCUAAAGUCUCAGACCUUCAACAUCUGCACCAACUGAAGGUGAUUUGAACAAACCAUCAUCUUGAUGUUGUUGAUAUCAUACUGUAUGAAGAUUUUUCAACAUGAGAAAUACAAACAAUCAAAGUUCUCCACAAUCACUGUCCUUAAAGCUGCGACCAAAUCAGCAUCUUUAGAAAAGAAUCAAAAAGCUGAAAUGAAGAACUAAACCCAGAGUUUUUGGUGAGACUGAUCCACAAACAUUUACAAACCAGAACAUUUCAAGAGUUCAAGGAUCUCAGUCCAUGAUUUUGGUCUGAUGGACUCAAAAUUCUCUUUAGUUCACUUCCAUAAACUCAGCAGAGUCUCCAACAGACCAGACUAACCCCAGUCCAGCAUGUAGAGGUUCAGUGAAUGUGGUCUGGACUCUGUGGAGGAGAGUCAUGGUUUCAGAGACGCUGUAGAAGGACAGAAUACCUGCUCUGUGAUCCAGGUACACUCCUAGUCUGGAGGACCGAGGACCUGAGACAUCAGUGCGGACUUUGUUGUGCAUAAAUUCAUAUCUGUGUUUAUAACAGACUAACCUCCAAGAUUUGUCAUUGUCUCCAAAUCUACAAUCCUCUGAGUCUCCGUUUCUCCUGAUAGUCUUGUAUGCGACUGCUACACGAACCCCGCCCCCUCUCCAGUCCACCUCCCAGUAACAACGUCCAGUCAGACUCUCUCUACUCAGGACCUGAAAAUAAACAGUGAAUCUGUCUGGAUGAUCAGGAUAAGACUGUCGUUUUCCUGUACAUGUUGCUCUUCUGUUUCCAUCAGAUAAUAACAGAUUUCUGUUUGCUGUGUUUGGAUCCAGUGUGAUUCUUUGUGAAUAUCUUAAGAAACCAGCUCUGGUCUUGGGUUCUGGUUCUGGUUCUGACAGUAAAACAUCCACUUCAGUCACUGCCUGUGAGACGUUUGUCCACGUCUCUGUGAGAAGAUCCUGGAGUUUCUCUCUGACCUCUGACACAGCUGCUGUCACCUCCUCAAAGUAUCUCAGAGGACGGAUGUUGAUCCUGGAUGAGUCUGCAGGUUGACCCGGUUCUGACAGUGAGGGGUAGCUGUGCAGAAACUGGUUGUGGUCCUCUGUGAGUGAGAGCUUCUGCAGAUCAGCGUCUUUCCUCUUCAGCUCAGUGAUCUCCUGCUCCAGUUUCUCCUGAAGCUCUUUGACUCGACUCACUUCACGUUCCUGCUGGGAUCUGACCUGCUGCUCCACCUCAGAGCGGCGUUUCUCCAUCAGACGGAUCAGCUGGCUGAAGAUCUCCUGGCUGUGGUCCACAGCUUUAUCAGCAGAGCCGUUGAUAGCCUCCACCUCCUGUUGGAGCAGCUUCACAUCUUCUUCUCUGUCCUGGAUUCUCUGCUGGAUGUUUCCUCGACUCUCCUCCAGAUCUUUCUGCCUCUCAGUCCUUUCUGCUGCAGCUGAGACUGUGUCGUGACCUUUGUGUUGGUCCAAACAGCAGAGAUGACAGAUGGACUUCUGAUCAGUGCGGCAGAAGAUCUUCAUCACCUCAUCAUGACGAGAGCAGAUGUUCUCCUGGAGCUUCUUGGAGGGCUCCACCAGCUUGUGUUUCUUUAAUGGAGUAACUUCAAAAUGAGGCUGGAGGUGAAUCUGACAGUAAGAAACCAGACAUUGAAGACAGGACUUGACAGCUUUCAGUUUUCUCCCACUGCAGAAAUCACAGGCCACAUCUUCAGGUCCAGCCUCAGAGGAACCAUCAGGAGCAGCUUGGAGUCCGCUCUUCUUCACUUCCUCGGGCCUCGGUGUAAAGGUCUCUCUGCACUGAGGACAGCUGUAGAUCUUCUUCUCAUCCUCAGUAUCCCAGUAGGAUUGAAUACAGCUCAUGCAGAAGCUGUGUCCACAGGUGAGAGUCACCGGAUCCUUCAGAAGAUCCAAACAGAUGGAACAAGAGAAAGACUCACGGUCCAGAUGAACUCCUUUCUGCGCCAUUUCAACACUCACUGUCGACGACGACUGACUGAGUUUUAUUUCCUGAGAAGUGAAACUAGUCUGAGCUCUGAUCUCAACAACAUGUGAGUCAGCAGGAUCAGCUCAGCACACGGAGGUUACACCCAACCAAGACUGUAGAUCUGAAGGGGAGGGAGCAAGGUAGGGAAGGGAACAAGGAAGUGAAUGUGCAGAGUGGAGUGAGCUGUGAGAGACGAGGGAGGGGGGGGGAUCCAGUUUGUCUAUAAUCCAGGAAGAGGAGUGUCUCUGUGAACUUUAGACUCUCAAACUCCAACAAGCAGAAGUUCUUAAAGCUGCAGCCGUCCUGAAGAUCAACUGAACCAACAUUUAUUCACCUCAUAGAAACCUCAUCGAGCAGAAACACACUUCAACUGUUUUAGAGCCACAGAGUUAAAGAGACAACACAGAGAAACUCUCUCUCUCUCUCUCUCUCUCUCUCUCUAUCUCCUCCUCUCCCCUCCCUCUCUGCUCCAGCAAGCCCCGCCCACAAACAGACGCUCCUGCUCGCUCGUAUCGUUCCAAUUAAAUUCAGAUAUAAUGCAGAUAAAUCCUUCAGAUCAUUACAAAUGGGGCCCAGUCAAGGUGAAAGUCAAAAGCAUUGGUGCUACUGUAGAUGCCAACAGACUACCAGCAAACACAAUGUUUGCAGGACUUCUACAACGAGGAUAAAGUGACAUAGUCCAGGACCCGAGGGAGGACAGUUUAGCGAUGGCGCUACAACACGCUACAGCAGGUCCGUUUGACAAGAAACACUUCUGUUACAGACACUUGUCUUACUUUGUUAAAGCGGUUUACCUGUCCAGCAGAAAGGUUACAGGGUCACCAAGAUCCCCAAGCGUCCCCCAUGGUUUAUGUUGACCCGGCUUUUUAGCUCUUGUCCGGUCUACCUCCGUUUUAAGCGCCCGUUAUUCCUCCAGAGUCUCCGGUAUUUACUUUGUUUUCUUGCUUGUGUCGGCAGUCGUGGCCAAAGGAGGAUUCAGACAAUUUUCCGAACUUUCUGGUUGGUUUCUACUGUCCGAUAUUGUAGCACGCUAACUUUGUUUGGGCUCCUGAACGACACGGGGGAGCAGCGUCUGCCUCACAACCAAUCAGGUUAGAGGAGGUGGAGAACGGCUUUGUUUACAGUCAGAAAGAGCGGACCGCUCAAAAAUGUUCAAAUGUUGACGACAGACAUAAGAGAACACAGAGAUAUCGAUAUAUUACCAAAUGUCAUCAAUAACUAAUAACUAUUGACUGAUAUACACCACAAAAAAGAUGCUUCUUUAAUGGAUUAAACCUGUAACUAAAACACAGCCUCACAGUUCGAUCAUAGCUGAUUCUUUUAGUUGUUGUCCAACUAAACAGGUUACCAGGAGACGAGACGGAGAAUAAUAGAGAGACCGUGUAACCCACAAACAAAUCACAGGUGGGUGAAGAAUCACCUGCCUGGGCGCAGCAGGUUUUGACCCGGGUUCACACUAUUAAAGACUCAUUGGACUCCAGAUUUCACGCAUUAAAUGAUUCCAUUAAGAGUCUGAAAAAAGAUCCCGCCGCCGUGUUGAACAGGCUGAUCGAUGCGGAGACACGGACAGGGGAACUGGAGAGAGUUAUCAAAAACCAGACUGAAGACACCGGGGAUGAUAAAUUGGUGCUGUUGGGCUUUUUUUAUUGAUUGUUGAUCAGCAAUUUGAGCCAAUCACCUCACCUGACCGUUCAUGUCAGCGAUCACUGAGUAAAUGAAUUAUUUAGUUUAGCCCAGCACCUCUUCCUGUAUUUAUUGACGGACUGUAACCAUCAAGGUUGGGCUUAAACUUUAAAACAUGAACACUGUCGAGGGAUUCACGUAUCAAUAAUGAUCGUUUGUGAUGUUGUUGGCCUAUUUGAUCGAUUUCCUGUUGCUAUGGAGAAGUGAUCAGAGUCGUGUUUUCAGUAGAGCCAGGUGCAGAAAAGGAAGUGGGAAAUAAAAAGCACUUUUCUGCAUCCCUUUUGCACAUCCUUCACCUCCAGCUACUGUAAUCAAUACAAGAGGCAAUCUAAGGAAGCACACACACACACACACGGGCAUGCACGGAGCGCGCUCAGAUGGAGGAAAGCGAGCUUUGCAGAUAUUAGUUUGAUAUACAGUAUGUGCAGCCCGCUCAGGGGCACACAUGAAUGCAGAACAUGAGCACACAUAUCUUAUAUACACAUCCUCAGGCUUCACCCUGUUUUCUCCUUUUUCCGUCCUUUAUUUAUCAAUAUCUACUCGGCUGCUGUCGAGAUUGCAGCCCCCUUUUCCCCAUUAUCUUUCUAUUUAUUAAUAGUGUAGUCCACCUCGAGUGCUGCUCAGUUCUUUUGUCUCGGUGACGGGCCUCUCAGGAGAAUGUAAAUCAAAUAGAGAAGAUGCGAUUUAUAAAAAAGACAUUUAUUCCUUCCUUAUGUGCAAGGUUAUAUGCCCACGCCGGUGUACAGUAUGCGUGUUUGUGCUGGAAUACAAAGAAGACGUCUUUUUGAAGCUCACAAUCGUCGCAGGAAAUUGGAUUUGAAUAAGAAGAGAGUGAAUUAUUUUACCGAAUACACAUCCAAAAGAGAAACAGACUGAUUUACAAAUAUUGAAUUAAAAAAGCACAAUAACAUAUGUACGUUUUCUCAUAAUAAAAGCAUAAUGACUGACAGUGAGACACGGCCUCUUUUUCAAUAAACCUCAGUGAUGAUGAUGAUUAUUCUUCAUCUGUUUUCUGCCUCUACCUCCUGCUCUCUGUCCAUCUGUUCAAUCCUUCACUCCGCCGUUCCAUACCUCCCUCCCACUGCACUUCUUCAAGGUUUUAAAUCAGGACUUUAUCAAGCUGGUUUAUUUAUCUCAGACUGACAGAAAAGUGCAGCGCUACCAACAAAGUAAAUAUCGGAAAGUCAAUGGAUGCACAUAGACAAAUGUAAGAAUCUAGAUAAAAGACUAUUACCUGCUGAGGUUGGGUCAAAACUGAACUCCAGGUGAAACUAAGUUGAACUUCUUUUUAUCCAAACUGUCAAAAAGAAGUUUUAUGGUCAUUACUAGGGCCAGACCGGUUUAAGUUGAGCCGAUUAAAUCUGCAAAUUUGACCCUGUUUGAGACUAAUCGGUAAUCGGCCAAAACUCACAGAUUUUCGCCGAUAUUUUCAGAAAUAAAAUGCGGAGAAUAAGAUUCAGUUUCACUUCGAAAAUAUUCCGCCAUAGAAAAAGAUCCCCCGACUUACCCUGUAGAUGGCGCAGCGACCUCAUGACAAUCUAACAGGAAAUACACAAUAAGUCAGCAAGUUUCAGUUCAGCCCACUUCACCAUGUUCCUGCGAAAAUACGCCACGGGAGAACAGAGUGGGAGAGAGAAGAAGGAGAAACGAUCGCGACUCCAUCCUCAGGUGAUGAUGACCGGAGGUGGAGGAGUUCCACACAAUGAUCCAGAAGCUUAAAUUGUGUCCAGAGAAAUUCUGACAAUACUUCAAAAUGUCCCUCCGACAAUUUCAAGAACUGCUCCAUCAGCUGACUCCACAUUUGCAGAAGGAGAGGACAAAUUACAGAGAGCCGAUUGAUCCAGAGCAACGUUAUAGCUGCUCGCCUUUGGCUGUUCGCAAAAUUCGCUACAGGGGCAAAAAAAUUACAGUUGCUUUUACGCUCUGCAGAAGUUGGUAGCCGGAGUGGAAGCUUGCAUUCACUUUAUGAUGUUUUUAAAAAAAAAAGUGAAUUAUUCGCUUCGCUAAUUCGCCGGUGUGUCACAACCUUUAUAGCAGAAGAGUUCAUGCAGUAAAAUUCACCAAACUGUGAAGAUAUAAAAGCACUAAGUUCUCUAACAUAUCAGGUGAACUGAGUAUCUGCAGGUUGUUUUUUAACGAAGGCAAAUAAACACAAUUGAUCCCACUGAGGCGAGAUAAGAUUUGCUUCAGGUGUGAGAACACCUCUUCAAAAUACAGAAAGACGUCAAGACCGUUCAUUUUCAAGUUUUGUUUUAAUAAAAGGAUUAAUCAAAUUAAUGUUUGUGAAUAACAGACGACUUUGUCUUAUAUCUGCAUGUCAGUAUACUUCUGCCUUAUGGAAGGCUUAACUUGUUUCAUCAUUAUUCAUGUGAUACAGUGAAUUAGAUUGAGGUUAGAUGCUGCAUACACAUCUUUAUUAUCAAUACUCAUAGUGGUAGUGAUCAAUCCCUAUUUUUACACAAAACCAAAAAAGUGCAGCCACAGACGGGGUCAGUAUUCCUACCUUUUAUAACGUAAUUUAUCGACUAUUAUUGUCUGAUUAUACUACACAAUACAUGCCAGCCAGAACAGACGCUAACUUUUCGUUUGUGUUAAAGCAGUGUUCAGUGUCUCUCAGCCAUGCAGUGUUUACACAUGAGACCCAAUCACCAUCAUUUCUGACCCGUUACAUCUCCUGUAAUAAAACCUCCUCAUUAAAAAGUUCUCAGUAAAAAAGUUUGUUACGCUGAAGCAACACGAGCCUGAAACAGAAACACAAUUUUCUCACCGUUUAUUAACAAUUCACAGAGACUAACAAUAAAAAAAUCAAACCUCGUCUUUCUUCAACUUUUUGAAGUGGUUGUUUGUUAAACGGAGGUUGGAUCAUUAAAAGCAGUUUGAAAAUCAUCACAGAAUCAAGCAGAUCUGUCGCUGUAGUGUCCAGAACAAAGAUAUCCGAUAAUGGAGAUAGAUUAAUCGUUAUCAGAAGUGAGGAUGUCAUGACAGUAGUGUGCAUUUCACCUGCUUUGGCUCUUUACAUCGACUUUCUUCCCCGUCGAUACUAAUCAGACUAAUCCAGAACACUUCCUGUGCAGAAAAUCACAUCUCCUGUCAACGAGUUUGGAGUGAAAGAGGUUUUUCAGUGUCAUUAAAGUCGACUAAAUGUAGGUUAAAAGGAUGAGAAACAAACAUGACCCCAUGAGGAAAAGAAUUUCAAACAUCCUUGAAUCGUCGGCUGUUUUUUCCUUUUCUCCAAUGUGGCACCAAAAGCCGGUUCUCUUUGCAUUCAGACUUUCCUCCAAGGAUCUUUUUUUUUUUUUCACAUUAAAGUACAUAAAGUAGAUUUAUCGGAAAAGCAGGCUCAUUUCAUUCGGCUUCUUAUCAUUGUAAUAACUGACAUGUUUUCUGGACAGAUGUUGUGCUACAUCUGUGUUUAUGCCUCUGAAGAUACUUGGCAGUUUUUCUAUUUUGAUCACUCGGGGUCGGAAAUUGUCACAGCGUGCGUUCGAGUAAUAAUUUGUCCAACAGUAUGAACCGUGUAAACAAACUCCCCUCCCUGGGGUUCAAGAGUAAUUCUCUUUAUUGGAGCUUCUUCCUUAUUAUUGUGUGUUUUCUUUCUUCUCGUGUUUCACCAUGUUGUUUUUUUGCUGUCAAUUAAACUCUCUUAUCCAGCGCAGUUUUGCUUUUGCUUGUCAUCUUCAUAUCGUUUGUUUUUGUGGGAGACGGUGGAGUUUCCUUCCCUUCAUUUACCAACAUUUCUUUAACAUGUUUGGAUUAUUGAUCUCUUGUUUUCCUCGUAAAGUAUUUUCGCCACGUUUCCCGUUUCUAACCCUCAUAUAUUGACAAGUAUUUUGAAGCCUCUCCUGUGAAACUUUCCUUUUUGUCGUGUUGUAUGCUCUGCUCUUAAGAAUUUCUAUCAACACUUUGGUCUUUUCUGGCCUGUCUGUCAUUUUUGUCAAAUUGGAGAAGGACAAAUGGAAGUGCACUUCAGCUGAAAAUGUCUCCGGUGAUGAGGAUUGUGUGUCACUCUUCCUAACAGAGCUGCUUUUGCUCUUAUGUCAUUCUUCCUCCCUCUGUGCUCUGCUGUUUGUGUCCCUUGGUGUGUAAGUAACAAAUGAAUGGGCCCUGUGCUGCUGCUGCCGCUGACUCACUCAUAAUUACCGCUAAUAGCCGGGGCAGCUGAUGUCCUAUAAAAGGCUCUGCAUGUGUGCAGACACUAAGUGAGACACAGAGCGCCUGUUUGGGACCGACUGUUUGAUGGAAGUAGAAGCUGAACCCCUAAGGACCAAAGUUCAACGACCUUCUAUUUCCCGGUUAUGAGAGGAUGUCCGUGAAUAUAUGUGUUUGUGUGAGUUAGGGCUGGGCGAUAUGGCCUCAAUUCAAUAUCACGAUAUAUUGAACAGUUCACCUCGAUAACGAUAAAUGGACGAUAACUACUCCACAACUUCGUCUACUUCAGCCGCAUCAACUUUCUCUCCGUCCUCCAUCUCCUCACCUGUCUUUCCCUCUUUGUUACAGACUGGAUGGGGUGGAGUCACGUCUCUGACGUAGGACAGCGUCUUAGAUGGACAUGAGACCAAAGCCUACCUACACACAUCUAAAACCAACUUUUAUUUAUUCAUUUUUUUUACACUGAAGAUACCGAUAUGGGCAAAGUGACGUUGUAGUAAGUAAAUUUUGGUAUGAGUAAAUUUUCGGUUUAUUGCAUAGCCCUACCUCUAUGUUUCCUACUGGUCCUGACCUGUGCCCAAACGACUAAAAACCCACUCAGAGAAAUUUAAUGAUUUAAGUGUUCCCAGUUUGUCAAAACAGAAAAACACAGAGGACAAGAUCAAACCAAACAGAAACCUGCAUUUAGGUAUAUAAAAUAAAGAUGAUUAAAACCAAUAAAUUAAGAAUAUAUUCCAAUCAAAGUCAGCCAUAACAUAUUCAUUUACAAUACAAAAAUAGUCAGAUAGGGUAGGGCUGGGCGAUAUGGCUUCAAAUCAGCAUCAUGAUAUAUUGACCUCUAAAUUUUCGGUUUAUUGCCCAGCUCUAAGAUAGGGUUUUAUAGCCUACCUACACACAUCCAAAACCAUUUAUUUAUUUUUUUGACACCAAAUAUACCGAUAUGGGCAAAAUGACGUUGGUUAUUGUAGUGAAUUUCAGUAUUGUAAAUUUUAAGUUUAUCGCCCAGCCCUAAUGUCCGUGCAUUUGUGUUUGUGUUUGUGUGUAAAGCCCUGAGACUUGCAGCUAAGAUUUAGGGCUGGGAUGAUUUUCGGAUGCUGACUCGAUUUAAAUUGCAACUCUAUGAUAUUGUUGAUUUUCUCGAUAUUUAAUCUGCAUUUUUAACACCAGUGAAACAGUUGAAUUAUUUUGAUUGUCCACUGACUAUUGCAGGAACCAUAUUUACCCCAAAAAAAUCGAUUUAGAGAUUGUUAAACAAAAAAUUUAAAUACUUAUGUGAAUCAAUUUUUCCCCCACCCUUACUAAGAUUCUAUUUACAUUCGGAAAUGGGAAGAUCUGUUGGCUCUGCUGCAACACAUACUCACACUCACACAGACACACACACACUCACAAGGCCACUGAAUGGAAUUACAAUCCCCAGAUGGGUGUUGAUGUAUAGACAGCUCAACAGAGUCAAGUUAAUUAUUGGAUACAAUGAGAAAUCCACAGAUGAUAAUAUUCUGUACAGUCAAGGGCAAAUAACCCGAUAACUACAGGCCGGAGGAUUUUCAUUCUGUUCAGUGAGUGAAUGUGACACUGCUGUGGACGCCUCCACCCACACUACUGAUGCUGUGUUAAAACAGAUAUAUAUUAUACAGAUCUACACAUACAUACAGACCCUGUGGUCUGGGAAUUAAUGUCAACAUAAAUAUUCCUGCAGAAAUCACAUACUCCUUCUUUAACGUAACCUUCAAGGGUUGUGUUCAGUUUAAUGUGAAUCAUAACAAAUUGUCAGGCGUUUGUUCUGGUUGACCAUGAAUUCAGAUGUUUAAUAUUAAUGCAUGAGGCAAGUCUGCUGAUAAGAAUCCGUUUCUACUGAAAGAUGAGCAACCUUGAAACUGAGGGUUUAUUAUUUAUAUCUCUCUAUUUGAAUCUUUUAAAGCAGGAAAAUCAUCGUAAUAGAGUGUUUUUUACUCAAGUCUAAUUCACGAAACCAUCAGGUCACUUCACGUUAUCCUUAACAAAUUUGAAAAUAAUAUCAUUUGUUCAUUCAGUACACUUUAAUAAAUAAUUUAGUAAUCAUAAUCUGUAAAAUGUCACAUCCUGGUAUCCUGUGUUAACCAGAUACAGACUCAAAAACUAAAUCAGGUAUCAUGACAGAGGGACAAUCCUCAGGGCAGAUCUAUUCAACUCUAUUCUAUAGUUCUAUGCAUGUGCGAGUACUUCAUCAGUAGCAAUUAGCCAGGCCUCCGCUAAUGUAGCAUAAAGAGAGCUAACCACAAGAGCUCAUUAGUUAAGGGAUGUCAUGCUUGUUUCACUAACACCUCCAAUAGCAACUCACAGUUUGUUUGAGUUAGGGCUGGGCGAUAUGGCCUCAAAUCAAUAUCACAAUAAAUUGAUCAGUUCACCUUGAUAACGAUAAAUGGACGAUAACUACUCCACAAGCUGCUCACCCCCUCCCACAUUAACUUCGUCUUUUCAACUUUUGAACCGUCCUCCAUCUCCUCACCUGUCUUUCCCUCUUUGUUACAGACUGGAUGGGGUGGAGUCACAUCUCUGAUGUAGGACAGAGUCUUAAAGGGACACGAGACUAUAGCCUACCUACACACAUCCAAAAACAACUUUUUUUUUUUUGACACCGAAUAUACCGUUAUUGGCAAGAUGACGUUGGUUAUUGUCGUAAAUUUUCGUAUUGGUAAAUUUUCGGUUUAUCGUCCAGCCCUAGUUUGUAGACAGGGAUGGUGGUGGAGGCUGUUGUGCCAUUGUUUUAAUAUAAUUCAGCACUAAAAAACAGUAUGAGUGAGCGCACUCAAACAUGAAACGACAUCCCAAAAGAGAGGGUACUCCUAGAAAUGACGAGUAAAUGCAGGAAAGACAGAGGUGAUUAAGUCAUCUGCUCACGAAGAGGUAAUGACAACAAGGCAUAGGGAAAAUAAGGAUGAACUAAACACAGACAUUAACUGAAUCAAGGUUAAUGAAAACCACUAUUAGCACAGGGCUAAAAGGCACUCUUUUAUUAGUUGAUGUAUGACUGAUGAGAAAACAGAAUUAAUUAAGGACCGAAAUUACCCAAACUCACACGAGGACCUUAAUGGAGCUUUAAUAAAUACAGAGGCAGGGGGCUAAUGACAGUGAAAUACCUGCCUGUCAAUGAAAAGAGACUUCACGUCUCGGCUGAAUCGCUCGGUGGGUUGAAUUGGAAAUUAAAAAGACAACGUCAGUUAAAAGUUAUUGUACAAUUUUGACGACACAGGACACAGUAUCAAUACUAUUGAUUUCUUAACCCAGCCUGUAAGGGGUUAAACCCAUAAAUAAAACUCUGUGAAUCCGGCCCUUGUAUUUCUCUAAAGCAUUUUUUCUGCUCUUAACCAGGGUCGAUGUUUUUCACAGAUGGUUGUAAAGCAUGGCACAUCCCUUUAGAUGUCCAUCCUGUAUGUUUACCCUUGACGGCCCCACAACAUCAGCAGCAGCAGCAGCAGCAGACAGUUGGUAAUCUGCAGACUCCUGCAGAAAAAUCAAGGUUCAACCGUUUUUAUCACCAACCAACCUGAGUGGGAGAUGUGCAGAGAGUUCACUUGAGGAUCUCAUGGUCCAAGAACCCAAAGAAAAAGUAGGUAACAUCAGCUUUGACUUGUAUGAAGUAUGCACAAAAGCACAAAAGAGUGGAUGUUUUGGCUUGUAGAAGAGGUUUGUGUUGUUAUUUAUUCACCACUUGUACAUUUUAGUAGAAAAAUACUCAACCUUCAUGUUGGAACAAUAAGAAAAAUCGGUGUUUCUUAGUUGUCUGGUUGUUCACAACAAAAAGCACACUCCAGGUUCUUUGGAGAGAGACGCUUCAAACAAAAAAAGAGCUGAUUUGAAGUUGAAGUCGUAGAUUUAGACCAAUGAGAAAAACAAGAAGAGAAACACUGAACUGAAUUUAGUCAUUCCACUCAAAUACACGAGCUUUAGAGUCACCAAACGGGAAAUUCACUUACCUUAUGACGGUGUUUUCUGACCAUUUAGUGUUUUCGUUCUCCUUCCUUUUACGACUGUAGCCUGUGACUCUUCUGGUUGAAACGACCGACUCUUCAACAAGCCCCAUUUUUCAUGCAUGGGCACCCUAAAAUUAAGAGGAAAGACGAAACAGAUCCUUGUAAUUGGGCUUAAUUACUGUAACCCAUCCGACAAAAGAGGGACUUGCUGCAGGGGGGUCAAACAUAUUUAAAUGCAAAUUGACACUGUUGCCGGCAAGUGUAACUUUCAAGUUUAAUUUCUCCUCUCGCCUUGGCUGGCUGACAAAUGACAACCUGUCUGUGUAUGAAGAGAUUAGGCUUGUUCCUCCGUACGUGCCGUUUUGUUCAUGUUCUCUCUUAGCCCUCGAGUGCCUCCCUGUCAGACACAGAAUUGAUAAAAUAUGCUGAAGCUUUGCGUCAGGGUCAAGUCUCUAUAUAACCUAAAUAACCACCCACACCACAUGCAUUCCCUGCUUAUUACCCGCCUAUCGAGGGUCAUGGAAAAAUUGACACUGACUAUUGAUUUAAAGAUGAUUCAACCAAGGAAUUGAUUAUUUUUGUACAGACUUCUGAGACUGAACAUUUCAGUUAACAGUCAGGGUUAAAGAUGUAGCUUGAAAAUAUAAUAAUCAGUCCACUGACAGCUACGUUAGACAAGGUUGAAUGGGUCUUCUCCAAGAAUAUAAAUGUUGACUUUUGUCCUCAUUCGUCAAAUUACGUGGUCGACACUUCUUUAAAAAUAAAUUAGGUAAAGGUUACAACUUUUAAUACAAUUGCUUUACCGCUGCCGCUCAGGGUUUAAGGUUGUUUGUCGGUGAAUAAAUAUGCUCUCGACAGCUCUGCUGCUGUUGCCUGAAGGCCAGGACAGGACCGGAUUUUUAAAUAUCCAUUUUGUUUUAACCUGACUUAUCAGUAUGCCAAUGGGAACUAACUGUUUACUUCGGUGUCAAUUAAAAAAUAAUAAUGUGCCAGAACGUGUGAUCUGGUUUACUCUGGUCUGAUAACAGUUGCUAUGGGCUUUUAAACAAUCAGAAUCAAGUACUCAACACAGUGAGGUGAAUAGUAAGAAAUCCAAGUGGUAAGUUUAGUCUUUGUUGUGUAAUUAAACAAACUGGAGGUGUCAGCAGUUAACCCUCAGGGAGCAGGAAUGUUGGAGUCAAGCAUCAUGGAGAUUAGUCCAAUCGUACCGAGCACGAGUAAAAUCAUCUACUCGCUUAAUUCACGCGAAUCUAGUUGCGUGAAUAAAUAGUAUUUACUCACUCAUUUGCGCGUCACUGGUUAUUUCAAUAGUAAUCCCUGUCAAUUCAACCGGUGGGAUCAAGUGAUAGACAAAGGUUUUUAACAAUUUACAAGGUAAUCCGACCUCCACACUCACUUGCCUCUGGGUGAGCUCCUUUUUAUUCUGGUUUUGGUAACUGAAAGAAAAGGUAUAUAAAUCGGGGCACCCACACACCGACUUCAGUUACCAGUGAACAACCGUUAUCAUACGUCACAAAUAUCGUGACACAAAUACCCACUCAAAUUGAGACUUUUUCAGCUCUUGCCCAAUUCACGUCAUUGACGCUGCCAGAUAAGUAGGAGCGUCUAAUCGCGUCUUUGUGUUGGCUUAACAUGUAAUUCAUUCGCGCGAAUGAUUUUACUCGCACAAAUGUUUUUACUAGUGUGAAUAAUUUUAAUGUCUUCCUAAUUCCAGGAGCCUCGUCUGUAACCUGUAACGCUCAAAAAACCUGUAGUUCUUCAUAUUUGUGAACACCAUGGUUGGGGAUCAAUAAAGGAAUCAAUAACGUUAGUGAGGUUCAUCCAGUGGGAACUAUGAAUAGCAAACUACAAUAAAUAUUUACAGCGAUCAAAAAGAGCGAGCAGUAUUGAACUGGUGUCUUUAGAAUUUUGCCAUUAGCAAGGUUCACCUGUGCAGGUUUAUGGUAUUUAUUAUGAUGACACCUCUGCAGUAAGUGUUUCUGUUGUUGUCGUAGAAUAAUGGAACAAAUGAUCACUGAUAGUUCACCUUGUAAAAACAAACGUCAAAUGAGCAGUGUGUAAUUACAGUAGCCAAUGUUUACAUCCAUAACAAAAUACUAUAUGUAAAACAAUUCAGACACACACAAGCUAUCUAAAUGUAAAAGACAUUCUUCUCUGUUCAAACUGCACACUGAACAAUAUCUCCUGGGAUAUUAGAAAGAGCCGAGAUCUUUACAGAGCUGAACUGGCUGUCAGAGGGGAGCAUCAGUAAUUAAAUUGCAUAUGCAUACCGUAGCACAGGCCACAGACCGGCUGAACUGACAGCCAAACAGCAAAAUGCAUGACAGGAGCCACGCAGCAGGGAAAUAGCACACAGAGAGAAGAAAAUAAGAUGCUGACAGAGAUGAGAGAAAGACAGAGUGAUGGAGGACAAUAGAAAGAGACGGGCUGGAAGGAAAGGAGAGGGAAAAACCAACCGGGGACAAUAGUGUCUGUAAAGAAGAACAAAUGGAUGUGUUUAAUCUCACACAGGUCAAAUAAAAAACAGAUAAAGACAGGAUGGUAUGAAGCAUGUCAGGAAACGCCAAGCUUACACUAUCCCUUAUAUACAUUUACUCACAUGUAACAGGAAGUAAACAAGAUAGUAGUGGGUUAAAACUGUUCAACACCAGGAGAUGUUUUUAUAAUAUACCGUAAGUGAUAACAAGGACCUGAUGGACCAAAUAGGGAUGGUAUGGCAGGUGUCUGAAGUCUGAGAUAAUUUAGCUGUCCAUCAAUAAACUGAGGCGCUUCAUGCUUCAUCACCUGACAAACUUCAUGAAGAUGCUGAUACUCUCUUCCAGCUAGGGAUGUAACAGUAUGAAAAUACUACCUCACGGUUAUUUUGACCAAAAUAAGCAUGUUUUCCAGUAUUACUGCAGUAUUUUAAAAAAUGUAUUCAAAGGCAUUAAUUACGUUUUUGACGCUUUUAACUAGCGCUUAACGAUGCCUUGUUUUUGUCGUUUCAUCGUAUUUAGACAUGAUUUCUAUCUUCAAUUAAGCGUUUCCUCGACAUUCCUACAAAACUUAAAAUAUGCCCAUACUUCCGACUGAGUCCUCUAGAGGGCUGAUGGAUGUCUUUGGCGCUGUGGUCUCCUCCGUCCACCAUGAUUCCAUUUCAAACUUAAUAGAAAGUAUAAAUGCAAAUUGUAGGCUACACAGCUCGCCUGCACAGAUACUUAAGGCGAGUCAGAUGAAGCUGAUUAACAGGGAGUUUCAUCUACAUGCAAUUAAUCGUGGCACGCUGCCACAAAUGAGUUUUCUUCUUACCUCGGACUCAUGUAUCAGUAUACAUAUGUGCGGCGCACCGCAGAGCAUUCGCGCUGAGCAUUAGCAUUGGCGAGUUAUCAUCGGUGAUCUCACAGCUGAUUCAUGAAACCCCCGAUACACAUGCACCAGCUUUUGAAAUUAGAAUGGUAAUCGUUAUCAUCAAAAUUUUUAUCAUGAUUUACUAUUCCUGCUAUUACUUCCAGCAGGACUUAUUGUGCGUUCAAGUUACCUCGGAAGUCAGGUGUCGGAGCUGGGAAUGACGUCACACCCAAGUUACCAUCGUUUCAGUUACCAAGUCGGAAAAAGAUGGCUACAUCUACGAAAGUUAUCUUAGCGCUUGCCUUGUCCUAAUAUAAGCUACUUCUGGACAAAUAUGAGGUUCUUCUGCGAAAUGCAAACACAGUGGAUGAAGAGGAAACACAAAGGCGCAGGAGGUAGGCUAUUUUUUCUUUUUAAGUAUUUCAUUGUUUACAAAAUGCUGCCAUCUUUAAACAUCAACUCGGGGACUGUGUUGAUCGUUCAACUUUCCAAGUCGGAAAUCCAACCUCGACGUUCAUUCCAGUUGAAAGUUCUGACUCUGAGCUCAUAAAUUCCUACAUCUGAGAACAACUGGAACGCACCAUUAUCACCUGCCCACAGCGCCAAAACUACAUACUACAAAAACAGGUAUGUGUUUUUCCCUCGUCCUAGUCUGCAGAAACUAUUCAAUGACUGUCCACGAGUUUAACUCACCUGAAUGAUCAUAAACGUUGUGAAGAGUGACAACAUUAAUUCUCUACUUUUGUGUAAGUGUUUUGUUUACUGCAGUAAAAAGUUCUAGAGACAGACAUUUGUUUUUACCCUUGGCUUUGCAGUCAGCGUUGGGCUUUUCCAAACUCACAUAAAAGGGGUAAUUGUAAACGCCUGCUGCUGUUGGUGAACCUGGACAGCUAAUGUUUUGACAAUGAGCUCCCAUGACACUAUCGCCGCAAAGUAUAGAGAUGUUUGUUGGAAAAAGAUGUUGUUGUCGACAGAAAGCACGCAGCUUUAUUGUCGAGAUAAGCCGGCAUUCGCCUUUUCUGCUUUUUGUUUUUCGGUGGCAUCCGCUGAUUGAAUUCUUAUUCUGCCAAGUUCUCCCUCCUCUCCUCCUUUCAUACAUUUAACAAAGACGUCUUCAUGCAAAAAGAAGAAGAAGAAGAGGUGUGGGAAUAAAGGAGAACAGCAUGGAGAAACAGAAGUGUACUGUAUGACAUAGCCAGGGAGUUUUGUGAAGGCACAUUCAGAAGAAGGAGAUGGACAGAAAGGAAGAUACUGUGAUUCACCCGAAACUUUGGGAAAUAGCAGGUUCUGUUUUAGAUUCAAAGCGCAUGUUUCCCUUAAGAUUAUUGACCAGAAAUGUCAGUGAGGGAAGAUUCACAGGCAAAAAAGCAAGAAUGAAGAAAGAGAGGAGAGAGGAGAUAUUUGAAAUAGUUGGUGUAACACUUGAGAAAAGAGACGAAACAAAGAGAGGUAGGAAGUCAAGAGAGGUGGACGAGGUACUCGGAGGUUGGAUGAGGAUAGAGAGGAGGACACGGCCAAUGACGGACAAAAGAGGAGAAGACAACAUUUGUUUUUCAGGAGAGGUGGACGUGGUCAAGGGCACUUGAGCUAGAGGACUACAUCUCAUCUGCUCAUGCUCACAUACAUGUUCAAUUGGAGGACGAUUUGGGAAAUCAGAGCAGGCUCAGAGCUGUGCCGGUGUGUGUGUGUGUGUGUGUGCCUAUGAGAGUGUGUGUCCAUGUUCAAGAGUGUCUGCAUUUAGCCUUCAGCAUUUUAACAGGCUGCCUGAAGCCCAGGGGAGAGCGGGAUGCGGGACUCUCUCGUACUACCUGUGUCUGGAAUGAAAAUCUAUUCCGGCAGUCAACGCCUGACCUCCAACUGACUGAGAAAGCCAUUUUUACCCCCCGCUCUCAGGGAGAGGGUCGGCUCUCUGCCCUACAUUUCGCAACCUUUUCCGCUCAUUGUGAGGGGCAGUAAGAGCUUCGGUCCUUUGACUCAUUUCUAACAUGUAUAACGGUGAAGGUUAUUGAAUGUACGGUUCACAUUUACUCAGAAAAGGAUAUUUGAUUUCCUGCUGGUCUGGCUGCAAAAAUCACAGACCAUUCACCGGGCUUUUAUCUUCUAUUUUCCUGCUGGUAUUUCAGUACCACUAAAAUCCUUUUCCACAACUGUCAGAACAUUUUCACACAAGCUUUUUAUACUUUUUAAAUCUGUUUUUCACCCAAACAGAAGUAUUUUCCUUUUCUGGAUACUCAACAGCUUCUGUAAUCCGUUUAUUUGUUGUAGGAAUUGCACAAAUCACAAGGUGUAUUUAAACGUCUGGUUACAGUAACAGGCUUUUGUAAAAUCCUCGAAUGAUUCUUAGCCUUGUAUCAUUUAAUCCUUUUGGUUUCAGGAUCAAACACCUUGAGUUUGUCUCAUUUUUUAUGACUCUUACCAGAGUUAUUGUCACUGACACCUGCAGAAAAAUCUGCAUUUACCCAAGUCUUGACUCGAGGACUGCAGAAACACCAAAAGCCACGUUUACGCUGACCCCCAAAUUCCGCUGCAUGUGGAACGGCUGUACAUUUCACUGGAAUCGUGAGGACUCAACAGAACCUGCGAAUUCACAUGCAAUCGAGUGAUAGCGAGUUGUCUAUAUAAAGACAGCCACAUAACCAUAAAAGCAGUAGAUUGUGUCCUUCAAGAGGAGGAAAUCUACUCUGUCCAGACCAGCAGAUCAGACGUUUUGUGGAGAUUGGGAUUUACCCAUGGGUAAGUGCAAUAUUUAUCUAUAUCCAUGAAACCGAUUAUAAAAUAACAUGUUAUGAGUAUGUCUUUUUCCUCAUCCAUGGUGUCAUCGGGAUGAAAUGAGGUCUGAAAACCUUUUCACUUCGAGACGCCGGAUGUUUUAUUUUGUGUCUUUGCCCGACUUCCUUUCCAACCCAGGCUAAUCUGUGCUGAAUUUAUACGGCAUGUGUUCGGAAAAAAUAGAAGACUGGCGAUAGGCUGCGGAGUCCGCUGAACCGCAGGAAGCCACCGGAAUUUGACACCUUAACUUAAAUGGAAACGAUCAGCGGCAAUCGGCGCUGAUCAUCUGCCUUUUCGCUGCUGUUCCACUUUUGUUGUAGUUUGGGGGUAAGCCUUGUUGCAUCGUUUUAUCCUUUUGGUUUCAACCUCGCGUUUGUCUCAUUGUCAUGACUCUUACCUAUGUUAUUGUCAUUGACACCUGCUGAACUGCUAAAAUCUGCAUUUCCCCAAGUGUCGACUUGAGGCUGGCUGCAGAAACGCCAAAAGCUGCGUUUACGCUGAGCCAAAGAAGCCCUUUUUUUUUUUUUUUAGCAGAGGUUAAGUUUUGGUGACCCCGGGUGUCGAUGUUUGGAUGUCAUAAUCCAGCAUAAGUUGCUGUUUUUGAGUGGAGUACAGGGCUGUUCAAGGUUUACCGUAUCCGUCCAUUUGUGUCAGCGGGAUGUAAAGCUGUCACAAAUUUCAUCACGCUGGCUUCAGAAAUAUCGAGCACUCGAUGAUGGGGUUGAGAGCAGCUCUGUCCGAGGUGGUUAUUUACAGGCUGACAUUCAGCUCGGCUCAAAUGGACCGUACUUGACCCUGAAAACUGAAACUAAUUCAGGAUGGGGGCUUCAAGAAGACAGUUUGACAGACCUCAUAAAAGCAUACUUAAAAACAAAGUGUGUGUGGGCCGCUAAUUAAAGAAUAUUCAAAGCAUAUUCCUGACAACAAAAUAACACGGUUGGUGAAGGAUGAACUCCAGUGUGACACCGACGUUGAAUGGCUCUGAUCGAUCACUGAUUGAACAUUAAUAGUCACCUGGCAAACACGCCUCAGAAGGUGAAGAAAUAAGUAGCUGCUGCCAUUUAGCUUACGCUCUGCGACUUCAUCCCUUUUCUUCCAGCAUGCUCUUUUUUUUUUUUUCAACUUCAAUUUAAGUUUUAAGUUCAUACACAGUCGAGACCCCAAAGAGCAGAUGAUGCUGGAAGCUCUCCGUGCCAAAGUUUCGCAUUGAGAGGAAAUGAAAUAGUGCUUGGAUGCAUGAAAUUGCAAAUAUGGACAUGAGCGCAACAACUGUAAACGAAAGUCCUGAUGGAGAUUGAGCCCACAAGAGCCGACGCAAGUUCGGCUCAUGGCACGUGAAUUUACUGCCUGUGUGGCUGUGAAAUAGCUCUUUUAUUAGCGGGUGUCUCCUGACGUAUUAUGGGGCCACUAGGGGGCUCUUGGGAAGAGAUUGCAUUAUAACCAUCGCCACUUUACCGCGUGAAAUAUAGGUAACUCUGCGACACAACUCUGCCUUUAAUCUUUGUGAGACUCUGUGUGCAAUCAUGUAAAGCUGUGAGUGUGUGUGUGUGUGUGUGUGUGUGUGUUCAUAUGUGUGUGUGUAAGUGUGUGUGUGUGAGUUUGUACAGUCUCUGGGCUCUGCAAUCCAUAAAAAGGAAUGUCCCACCUUGCCCCUUAUUUGAACCCCCUUCAUCACGCCUUAUUGUCCUCCUUGUUCCUCCUUUUACCUUCACGCACACACACACACUCACACACACACACACGCAAACACACACACUAAUCAGGGCUAGGCAGCCAUUGUAAGAGGCAAAGGUCUGUGAGGCUGUUUGAUAGCAGAUUAGGCUGGCAUGUCAGACAAGAGACGGGGCCACACAGCAGGCAGUCACAUGCUGGUUACACACACACACACACACACACACACACACACACACACACACACACACACACACACACACUCUAAGUCGAGCUUAGUCCAGAAGGGGGGGAACAUACUAGAACUCAUGAAACGAGUAGGUGGUGUCUGCAGAGCCGGAGAUCCACAACCGUGACAGAUCCACCCCUGUUUCUUUCUCGAAAGUUAUCGGCUCAGAUUGAGCGACGUCAUUCGAGUAUCAAACAUGAAUCACAUGAUUUUUUAGUAAUUAAUAAAACUGUUGUCUUUGUCUGUAGGCUCCAUCUAUGACAUUUUCCCUGUCCAUUUACCAUGAUAGUCAGAAAUGUACAUUGAAUCUCGGUCAAGCUAAUGCUAACAUUAGCUUUAUCCAAAGUCGGAAAUGUACAAUUUGACCCGUAGGCUACUAGCAUUGUGGCGAAGGAAACAGAAGUGGGAUGACUAAUAAUGUGCAUGAGAUUGUGCAUGAAAAUAUACGAGAAAAACACAUAAAAUAUCACAAUAGUAUCACAUACGAUCUCAUUCAGGGGUCAAAAUCAUCGCCAAGGAAUGAAGAGUAUAAAAGCGAGGCUGAUCUCUGUGAUACUGGGAUAAUAUAAGUUGAUAUUUUGGGAGAAUAAACCAGAAAUAUUAGACAGACAAUACAUAAAAACAUGAUAAGUAAAAAAUUUAAAAUAAAUCUAAAAUCCUUAAAAGGAAGUCAGAAAUAUAUCUACAAAUGUACACGGUAUGAAGGAGAUACAUGAGCAUAUCAGGGGUAUAUGACGUUGUUAUGAAUAUGCUAUUACUAUAAGCAUGUACAGGCUAUGAACAGAUUAUACAUAUGGUUAUAAAUAUGAAGGCUGUAAACAGACUAUAGAUAUUAGAAUAUGACAGAUAAAUUAUGCUGUAGUGCAAUAUUGGAUGUAUUUACAUUCGUGCAACUGAGAUUUAAAAGGUUUUAAGUUGUUUUACAGAUAUAAAAUGCAGGUAAUUGUAGAUAACUGUAAUUGGUGGUUCAGAGGGGUGUGGAUCUGUCACAGUCGUGGAUCUGUUCAGCUCUCCGGCUCUGCAUACAUGAAACCUUUUAGAAGCCAGACCUCCAAGGUCAGAGCUGUUGUUGCAACACAGCCGCUCCAGCGUAAAACCAAAUAACAUAAACAGAAAGAAAAGGAGCUUAGCUUUGAUGUGAGCAAACUUUGUAGUUUUAGUCCAGACGAUAGGACUCCAGCACGGCUCAUGAGAGUCUGAGUUCUGGGGGAAUACAUUAUCAGUUAGUUUGGUAGCGGCUGGCAUCAGUCAUAACCAAUCUUAUCACCGCCGCUUUUACUUUCCUGCGAAAGCUGUGCACUCUGCAUUUCCUGAUGAGAGCGGCCUUCAGCACAGCUGCCACAAAAGAUUCUCCCAAGGGGAUUCAGUGUCCUUGUGCGGGAGGUACAGUAUUUACUCAACACGAGUAAAUACACAGCGUCUUAAAUUAAAUUAGCCUAGGAGGAGAUAACGCUUUUGCAAACCCAAGGAGAGCUGUGGCAUUGUUGGAAACUUGCAUGAAAAGCAACAUAAAGCAGUGGUAUUAACGAAAGACUGAGACAUUAGGACGGGUAAAAGAAGUCGGUUAUCGAACUGCACAACCUGGUUUAAACGCAGUAUAUCUACAAGACUCUAAUAAACAGCCUGAGUAAUAAUCUGACUUUUCAUCUACAAGCUGUUUCUUAUCAGGACCUGAUUUGAGAUAUCAGAUAGAGCAAAAGCUACAAGUUUAUUAUAGAACCCAUAUGCUGUGCCCCUCAGGUAAGGUCUGUGCUGGUGGGAAGUGCAAAGUACAGAAAUCGUGACAUCAAAAUUGCUCCGUGGCGCCUGAUAAUAACUGACACACUCCCACUGAGCCUAUCCUUACUGUCAGGGGAAAGUCAAUAGAGAAACAUCCUUGAGGAGGUGGGAACACAUACAGUCUGUUUGUGCAUCCACUAAAAAAAAAAACACCACGUCACUGUGGUCUUGGCUGCACGCCCUCACAAAGUUCCAGCAGCUCCUCGGUAUCAUCCAUCUUUUGACAAUCAAAACCCCAUUUGUAAUUUAAAUUCCUGCAUGCUAAUUCCUCCUUUACCUUGGAAAGACUCGCUGACUCAGACCUUUGACCCUCUGGAGCUGUUUGUACAUUGACAUUCAUUACCAUCCACAUUUUAAAUGAAGUAGCACAGGUGAUUUUUUUAUGAAGUAAACACCGUGAGUGAUGCUGUGAGGACAUUUAUCUUACUGUUAGAUGAUGUUUCUGCAGUAUGAGAUCGAAUUGGUGAAAUUUACACAGCAACACUUCCAGUCUUGAAAUGAUGAUAUAAAAUAAUCGUGCAACGCCACAAAUUUGUCCUUAUUCUGUGUUUAUUUCUGUCGCUGUGAUUUCCAUUCUGCUCUCAGCGGGCCAGAUUGUACGAUUGUUGAGGGAGUUUAGGAAACACAGAGAGGAGGAAUAAAACUGUCCAGUUUGAGACAAAAUAAACAAUAUAAUGUUGAAACAGUAUAAAAAUAAAACACUAUAAUUAAGCCCUGUCUUUAUGUUGUAUCGUAACUGUCUAAUGAGAAACACAUAUCUCCACUUUAAGCGAUCUGGACUUUUUUCAAUUCAUGCAUGGUCCGUCAUCUUCCCUAAUAACCCGUAGCUUUGUGUCUCCAAAUGACCGAUGGAAAGACUUUUUAUAAAAUCAACUUUUCAACAAGCAUCUCCAUUGGGUGUCGGAAGUGUCAACAAAGCUUGUAUCUCUUGCCCUGGUAUUGUCAUGUCUUUACACUGUGACUGACUCAUUAUAGUCCAGAGUAAUGCUACACUAAACCUCAAACUUUUUUCUAACCAUGACAGUGCUGUUUACCUGAACGUUAGAUUUCUUGAGCCGAAGUUCAUCCUCAGAGGCAAAGCUGUUGCUCUUUUCUCUCUCACACUCGGUCACGGACACUAGUUCAUGUUAAAUCGGGAGUCGCGACUCAAAAAGGUUGACAACCAAUGUGCAAUGUGAAAAUCUUUUAUAGCCUGCUAUCCAUAGUUUAUCAACAUAGUGGGACAUAAACGGGAAACUCACAGCUCAUAAAUUACCAAACGUCAUUGAAGCGCAUUAUUAAAAAAAAACAUGUAUGUCUACUGUCACUUUCAACGCAAAGCACGUUGGUCCGUUUAAAAUAUCAAACAGGUCACUGAUGACUGUGUAAAUAUAGAUUUUUAUUUUGAGUCCUAAUUGUGUCUAAUUACAGUAUUUUGGGUUUAUCCUGUAAGGUAGUUUAUGAAUAAAAUAGUUUUUCAAUGUUCCUGAAAAAAAAAAAUUUGGAGAUACGUGUUUUUUAUUGGAUAGCGACGAUAUAUUUAUACUACUGACUCGGCUGCCACUUUUACCUUUUUAUUUUUUUUAAAUAAAAAAUGCAUCGUUUUUUCAACAUGUUUGGUUUUAUUCAAACAGAAGCGGGACAGGAGUCGGAGUCAUUUUGAGUGGGAGCAGGAUGCGAGUGGGAGUCAUUCUACGGGAGUGGGACAGGACAGGAUAAAUUUUUUUACUCCAAUCCGGGAUUGGGACGGGACAGGAUUUUUGCUCUGGUAGUGGGAUGGAACAGGAGUGAAAAUCCACUCCUGUGUCAUGCUCUAGUGCCAACCAAUAAGACACACAUUAUUUCAUCAAUUUUCGUUGUGCCCCUAAAGUUCUUUGUUAGUGUCCAGCUGUGUGACGGAGGGCAGAGCAGGAACACACAGUGGGCUGUAUGAAGAGCAGCAGUGGAGGUUUUUGUCCUUACAGGAACUUUAACUUAAUGUAAUAACCUCAAAAAUGUCCUUUCUAGAGUUAAUCAUAUAUCAGGUACUUUCAUACUCUGGUUGGUUUCACUGCUGCAGGUACAUGUAUUCAACUGGAGCUCUGAAUGUAACUUGAAUGAACAGCAAUUAGAUGACGAAUCAGCUGAAAAUGUUCUUUGAAGUCGUCAUUGAACCGGACUGACCCUCUUUCAGCGCUCUGCAAAGAUCCGCACAUGAACUCUCACCGUGAAAAGACACAGACAAGAGGCUGGAUCAUGAACGUAAACAGAGAAACAAAAGGUUUGAUUUAUCAAUGACAGAUUCAACACAGUCAACAUUGAAAUCAAACAACUUUAUUGACAGGGGAAACACAAAUUGGAAGACAAACAAAGUUAAUGUGUGCUAAUGUGCUCGGAGAUCAGGGGGAUGAAUGCGCUCUGGUUCAAACAGCAGAGGAGGAUAAUCACUGUUAAGGCGGCUGAUCUCACAACACUAAUUAUUUUAACCUUUUUUUUUGUCUGGGUGAGGUUUGUUUACACACACUGAUGCGUCUGAGCUGCCAGCUGGAGGCAACAAUCUCAGUCAUCCACUGAAGCGUUGAGGUACAGCGCUCGUAGACACCGUCGCACUAGAUGAACUGUCGACAAAAAGAUGGGAUUAGAUGACUGAGGGUGGCGUCUUACACGGGGAGGAUAUUGUUCCUGAUUCGGUUUUUGUUCUGUGACUCACUUUUAUUUUGCCUUUUUUUCGAUGAUAAGCAAACAAAAGUGAGAAAUAAAUCAGCAGAAGUCGUCCCAGAACAUUUGUCAAAGCGGCAGAGUCAGAACUGAAAACGGAGCCUCUGGGUCCGACAUUCAGAUCAAAUAUUUCAGCUCCUUUGAGGAACUCUCGGUGUGCGUCAGUUUGACGUGCACAAAGUGUUUUGUCUUAUUUCCCUGCUGAUACUAUUCUGUUUAUGUGCAAGUAGUGUUGUGUUGAAAUAACUCAUCCUGUCUAUGGUAUUACUCAUCCAGAAGAUUAGCUGUGUGCUGUGACCCUGCGAAUGAAAGUGUCUAUCUUCUCUGUAGGGCUGGGCAAUAAACCGAAAAUUUACAGAUACCGAAAUUUACGACAAAAGUCAACGUCAUUUUGCCCAUAUCGGUAUCUUCAGUGUCAAUCUAUUUCAUUGUGUGGAGCUGGUUUGUCUUAAAAGUCUUUCAAGUGCAAUUCCAAGUUUUAAGUAAAAACAAGUAGGGCUGGGCGAUAAACUGAAAAUUUACAGAUACCAAAAUUAUGAUUAUAACCAACGUCAUUUUGCCCAUGUCAAUAUAUUUGGUGUCAAAUAAAUAUUCAUGAAUAUAUCAUGAAAUAAAUUUGAGGCCAUAUCACCCAGCCCUACUUCUCCCUGAUGGUCUUAUUUACUUUGCAUGUCCUCUUGAAGCAUCCGUACCAUUUCAAUCAGUGUCAAAACCAAGUAAAAACUCCUUACAGGAGCUUUAAUUUCUCGUAUAAAAUAGUGUCUGUGUCUGUUAAAGCGUAUUCUUCUCCCUCGCUGUGGCUCAGACUCAGACUGGACCCUGAAAAAACCCACAACAGCAGAGCCGGUCAUUUCGCUGUGAUGAAUGUGAUCAUAUUGCACAGCUGGCUCUGUGCAGAAGAAGAAAAAAAAACAGUAAUUUAACAUCUGUGUCAAAGAAAAUGACCUCUGUGUGACCUCCUUGGUACUGCUCCACUUCCUCCACACCAGCACUUCCAAAGACGCACACACACACACACACACUAACGCACGCACACUGACACACAAAGUCUGUUGGUGUUGCUGAUGUUGGCACAUUUGUGCUCUGGGACAAGAGCUGCUUCAUUGGCACUGAUUACUGCUUUAUCCUUCCCCAGCAAACAGCAGCCAACAUCAGCCUGCAUACCAAUGGAGUGUACCCACCAGAGAGCGAUGAAGGAGAGAGGAGGAGGAGGAGGAGGGAGGAGGGAUGAAGACGAACUGGAAGGUGAGCACGCCCGGUCAAUACAGCAACAAUACAUCCUGUCAAAACAGCUCAGAAAAGGGUUACAGUCAUGUUCUGGAUACGUUUUAUUAAAUAUAUAAAAGAUGGACCUAACAGCUGGUACUAAAAGUGAAGCCAAAACCUUGAAGGCUUUUUUAAUAAUCAGAUUCAUGUGCAGAAGUUUAGUUUUAGUAGUUUUGUUUAGCAUAGAGGAAGAGGAACAGUGACAGAAAAUUCAACACUAUUUCUGUUCGUCUUGGUUAAUCAGUGCCCGUCAAAGCACUUUAAUUCUAAGCAGCCAUUUGUUAAUAUUUGUUAACAAAUAAGUGAAUAUCUAGAUAUUUUACUUAAAUUAACAACAUUUUUAAAACUUCAUAAAAAAUUUUAAAAAUCGGCCGAUUAAGCGGUAAUCAGAUUUUUUCCCCCCUAAUAAUCGGCAUCGGCCCCAAAAAAUCUGUAUCGGUCCAGCCCUGCUAGCCACCAAACAACUUUUUAACUUUGCCUAAACACUAAACUCACCGACUCUCUUCCAGCAGACGCUUGUUUGUAGCCAGACCUCAGGCCAGUCCAUUACAGACUACAGCGGGGUGCCGCAGCUCAAGGAAGAACAUUUAUGAUCGACGCUAAGGCAGAAGAACUACCGCGUCUGUAAAAUGAUUAAUAUGGUGAUUAUUACUUAAAGGAAAUGAUAAAGUACGACUAAAUUCAUAUAAACAGGUCUUUUUGGAGCGUCUGUUUGUUUAUUUUCCUGCAAAAAAAGGAAACAGACUUUGUAGAAAGAGAAAAAAAUAGUAUUUCAUGUUAUAUUUCAAUUAAUAAUCCGUAUUCAUGCAAUAGUCCAGUUCACCUCAGCCUGUUUUGAGUUUUCAUGAUUUUGUUCACCGCUCAGUCUCACACACAGAAAGCGGGAUUCAGGAGGUCUGCCCUUUCCUGCGCGCGCACAUUUCUGUGAAAGGUAAAAGUCUCUUAAGAGCAUGAAGUUGAAGAUGGCGGGGACGGGAGUCUGCAGGAGUUAACAUUCACAGCCACAUCGAUGGGCUUCAGAUGUGUCAGACUACGGCCCCUGAAUGAGUCACAGCCCACAGUCUGAGGAGAGCUGAUAAGACCUGACGGAAGACCUGCCUUUCAGCCGGAGACAGAUGGAGUUGGAACGAAAUGUAUGAAACAGCCGCACACACACACACACACACCAAAACCUGUCUGCACAUUCACACACACACUCACACAAGGUCAGAUGAAUACAGAAGAUUCAGGAAAAUUAUAUUUGUAUGAAGGUAAAUUCACAGUGAAGUCCUGCCUAUCAGAGUUUCACAUAUCGACCAGAUAAGACAAAGAAAACGCGUUUAAAACGCCGUUUUAGUCUCGAUACAAAACAACAGUGGCGUAUUUUUAGACCGACAUUGUGCGGAGACAAACGGCACAUGGAUGAUGUUUUUGUGUCACAAUAGGAGAGAGAAACACGAGGAGGGACAUUUGGAUCUGCUGCUCCUCAGACGCACUUGUGCCAAUCCAAUUCUUCACAUUGGCAGAGAGAGCGUUUCGUGACCAAACUAUCCCGACUGCUUCCCCCUGUUGAAUCACAGAGCGUCUUGGGACAGCUUGUUGCCAUAUGUGACAGCUUGGACUCGAACCAGAGUCUUUGAGCCUAUGAAAACUCACACUUUGAACAUAAGUAAACAUCUCUGUUUCAAAGUAAUACUGUAAAUAUACGAAGCAACUUCAACUUCAUUAUUUCUGCACUUUUAAAAGUCCUGCACAAUACUCGAUGAACCAAAUCUAAACGUUUCUCUCUCCUCUCUCGUGGAAACAGAUGAGCUCUGAUUGGAUGGCAGAUAUCUUCCACAUGGAGUACCAGUCCAGCCUGAUUGAUUAGCUCCAGGAUUUCUGCCAAUAAUCGGGUUAUUUGUGCUCUGAUUUGGGUUCAUUAUCUCAUAAAUUAAAGUUCUGUCUGAAAAGGAGAAACGAGACAAGAAUAAACUUCAGCAUGUUGCUCUGACAGCUUGACUUUAAGACUGCAAAUAUAAUCAUUUAUCGGUGUCUGGUGACGAUUUCAACUUUAAAGAUUAGACUUUUGUCAAACGUUUCCAGACAUGUGCAGUUUUAUUUUCAUCCGUGUGAUAAAUGACGAACCCCAAACUUCUUGACAGUCACAGCUUGAUUUUUUGUCUGUUUUAUAAGCGUCAGAAAACUUUUCAACAUUUGUUUUGUUGACAUUCGCUGAUUUAUUUUGGAUUAUUUGAGGUCAAGUGGUUUGACGGGCAUGUUAGCAUUUCCAUCUCAGACAAACACUGUUGAAUCUAUGUAUUUAUACACUGUCGGACAACGACAAGCUGCUGUCUACACAAUAUAUCUCUUACUAAAACCUGAAACAUAAACUCAGAGAGAAACAGCGGUCUUUUUCAAGCCCAGUCUGGAUUUGAUUUCUUCCUCUCCUCCUUAUUUAAAAUUUCUUGGCAGUUGGCGAACGGGGAGUCAGUGCGUUUCACCACCUGCUGAAAUGGAGAGUGGGCCAGAGCGUCUCAAGUAUUACUCUUUCUGCAUUUUUAGAUUAAAAUAUAAUAAUAAUUUGUAUCAUUUCUAUCAACUUACCAUGAAAUUUUAAAACUCUCAUUUCCAGAACUUUUUAAUAUCCAGACUUUAUUAUGCUGAAGUUUUGAAUUAGAUGUCUCCUCUCCAACUGUUUCCUCUUUCCCACAAUAUGAAUUAACUACUUUAAAAUAAUAUGAUGUUCAAUCUAAUCCAUCUAAAUCUUAAUCUGCAUGGCAUUGUUUGAUUUUCCUUAUUUAAUCUGACAGAGCUCCUUUCACCCUGCUGAGGCGUCCUGAAGCACAUCGAGGGCCUGUGUCCACUGACAGCAGUUUUGUACCCGCACACCGUGAAGGUAACUAAACCUGUUCAAUGGAACUUUUGCUUUAAUCCAGAGUCCCCGCCCCCUUUUAAGUGGCCAGUGAUGCUUUUCUGUGUCAUAAGAGUUGAACUGUUUUUUUUUUACUUUGUACAGGAACACCAGCCACCAACUUUAACAUCUACCUGCUGCCAGUCAUUGAUAUCAGUGUGGUUAAAAACAGGUUGAUUAUUUGUGUUUGUGGUUAAACUUACAAAAUAAGUCAUAUAUUGAAUAUAAUAUCACAUAUAUAGGUUACAUUUGAUGUAUUUCUGCCGCUAACCCCCAAUUUUCACCGCAUCUGGAACUGCGAGGUUUUCACCUUCCGCCAAUU